rnacentral:lncRNA from 1 species
UUGGGUAAAAUCUAUCCGUUACUCGGGUUUCAGGUGUGUAUUGCCAUCUUGAGCAGGGAGGCUCGCUGCCCGUGCGGCCACCAGGGACGCAGGCCACGCGGUUGCCAGAGCACUUGAGCUCCUUGCUCGCGACCGCGGGAUUCCUAAUUGCCACUUGUAGGGUGCCUUGAUGGAGCCGCAUGUGACCAUCGCUACACGCGAGCUGGCAUGGAUCGGCAGGGACACUGCUGCGCGUGAGCUGGCAUGGAUCCGUGGGGUGCAUGCGACCAUGAGAGACGCGGCCACUCGAUCGCCAGGACGCUUGAGCGCCAUUGUAGGGCAGCUCGACGAAGCCUCCUGUGUGGCCACCAAGGAUGCGAGCCACAUGGCCGCUGAAGCACCCGGUCUCGCCACUCCCGACCGCCGAGAGGCCCGAAUGCCACUCCGGUCCCACGUGCCUCGAAGCCGACAGUGACCACCAGCGUCGGCGCUCCUCUCUCCGGCGACUGGUGCGAGAAACACGAAGGAAAAGGAAAAGAAAUGAGCUAAGAUUUUGGGGAGCCUAAAGUUUUGUUCUGCACAGGCGUGUCCUCGACCAUCAAAUGGAUUAGAUGGCUCAGAUUGAGCCAAGCCUUAUCAGACCGGUGGACCUACGUGACCCAGUGCGGGUGUAUGGCCCAGGCCCUGGUAACCAUGCUUAAGACCUUUGCAGCCGUUCUGCAGGCUGAAAGGCCAUAAAGAUCUAUUUUCAAGAUUCAAAUUAAAAUAAGCAAACAAAGUCUCAAUUUAAUUUAUUUUCAGUGCUUAUAAUUUCCUAUUAUAGUUAAAUAUUUGUUUAAACACUGUUAAAGUAAGUAAUAUUGUCCGGUAUAUAAAUUAACUCAUCUCCAAAUUUUAAGAGAAAACAAUAAAUUAUAUGUCUCAUGCUCCCGUUGCAACGCACGGGCAUUUUUACUAGUGUUUUAAAAUUAGACUUUGAAGAAAUGAAACAAAGAUAUUGGAUUUGAGAGGGGGGGCACUCCACCAGUGCAAUCGAUGUAGUUACUUUGAGAUUUUGAUAUAAAAGGUUUUCUUUUUUGUGAUAUUCAUCCUUGAUUGUUCUGUAUGAAGAAUUAUAUGCCAUUUCAACAGAUAAUUCUUGUAUUUAAGAUGGAAGAUGUAAACACUUGCCACAAAGCUUGCUACCUUUUACCAAGUUGUAUCAUUAUAUGAAUGGGGGACACAUUUGGUUGGUUCCAGUCACAACACGUCAUAGUCACAACACGUCAUAUUUUUCUUUAAAAAUAGAAGAAAAGUUGUCCAUGUCAGUCGGCCAGUAACAUGUUUUUGAUCGUAUGUUCAAACGAUGAUGAAUGUAACCUUUGAUGUUGACCAGCUAAGUGAGCCAUAUAUUACAAACUGAACUUGUUCAAUGGAACUCUGAAUAAAGAUCCAUGUCUCUACAAACAAGAACUGCAAAGCUUUGGAUUUAAGAAACAAAAAUGUUUUGAUGAUGUUAGCUUUUAGUUUAUUUUCUCCUGUUUUUGGACGAGAUCUUUAUUUGAAGAGAUGUAAGCCUUAUGUAGUAUUUGUCAAAUGCACUUGCCUGCAGGACCCAUCCACAUUUGCCCCUCAAAUUAAUCCUCCAUGUCCUACUCUCUUUGUUGCGAACCUUGGUCCAGCUUGUUCGGAGCAAGAGCUGAUAGAUGUUUUCUCAAGGUAUUUCCAAUAAACUGGUGCUUCAUGAGAUGAGUUACCAUCAUAUGAAAUUUUUUAUUUGGUUUGACACAUAUUUUUGUGAUUAGUUGUGCGGGAUUUGUGAAGCUCAAGAUGCAAAACAAGCUUGGAGCUCCAGUUGCAUUUGUUGAUUUCAAGGUAUAUGUGGAGAAAAGCACCAUUCUUCCUGUGCCCCUGAUUUCCAUUUUAAUUUAUUUUCUUUGAAUCAGUGAUGUGAACUAUCAUUGCCUAUUCUCAAUGUCCAGCCACUAUGCUGGACUUAAGGGUGAAAACUCUGGUAUUGGUAUAAAUACCGUUCUGUUCUGUCCAGAUUUCUACAUUUGACCCACUCGAAUUCUUAUUGAUGGUCAUUCCAAUCGUUUUUUAUUUUUCUGUUUUUGGUAAAUCUGAAAACGGGACAAAAAUGUUAUUACUAUUUUCGCUUUUCCGUUUUUUCCUGGGAUAUCCCGCUUUUGUCCGCAUAGAAUAUCCCGUUUUAGCAAGUGCAAUUAUGCAGCAGUCAUCUAUGACACAUCCUAGUAGCCUUGUCAUCUUAUGGUCUUGCACUCUUAUACUCUUGUCAUCUUAUAUGAACCUUAUAUGGUAUGAAUUAGAAUUAUUUAUGUGUUGGCAGUGUUGCCAUGCUAGGUCGGUAGGUAAGUUUGUGAUGUUUCUUGGUUCUAUGCUUUCCGUUUUGUCUGUCUGUAUCCUCACCGUUAUCGAUACGUUCCUGUUCAAAUUGAUCCGUUUUCAAUUUCCAUUAAACCCCAUUUCUGGCCUUUCCCAUUUCAAUUUCGUUUCCGUAUUAAAAUGUAAAAGUGAAAACAGGAGAGGGUUUAUCCUGACCGAUCCUGUUCAUUUUCAUCCCUAGUUGGACUAAUGUUUUUUUUGGUUAGGUGACUUUAAUAUACAGGUUUAAACUUGUAUGAUGGUUAACUGUUCAAUUAAUGUGAAAUAUAGAAGCUUUAAUUAGAGCUGACACAAGAAUUGCACACUUGAUUUCAUCAGUAGGCAGAUAUGGGAAAUGCAAUUUCCUAAAAUGAAGCCAAGAAGACAUCUUAAACCUUCAGAGUACCUAAUCAUAUUCCUUCCUAACGAUUGAAUUCUUCAGUGAUUCUCUGUUUAAUGUGUUUUGUAGUCCAAGAAAUUGAAACUGAAUUGCAGUUAUGCCGUUUUGGUAUUUGCUCUAGUGAAGCAGGUUAUGAAAGGACAACAUGUAUUACAAUAUCACUGGAUCAUUAUACAUAGCUAGUUCCAAUUAUCUCAGUUUGGCAUGUUAAAUAUUUAAGAUGAACUCAAUCAAUUAAGGUUAGGUUAUUAUUUCUUUGUUUGAAUGUUUUGUAUACUUUCAGGUUUAUCUUACUGUAUAAUGUACAUGAAUCUCAUUGGCUUGCUGCAUACACAGUUGCUGAUACAUACAAUGCCCCAUUUAGUAUUUAUAAUAAUCUACUGUGUACAGAGUUUUGAAUGCAAAGCUGUUGUGAUGUGAUGCCAUUAUAUAGUGGGUAGCAACCUUAAAUAGCUGAAACUAGAACUAUGUCUCUUACAAUAUAAUUACUCCUUAAGAUUUUUGUACACUACUGAACUACUGUUAUCUAUGUGUUUGAAAUUCUUUCCAAACUUCAAAGUAAACCCUAAACCUAAGUCCUUAUGUCUGCAGGAUUCAAUCAGUUCAACUGAAGCCAUAAAUCGUCUCCAAGGAGUUAUCCUGUACUCAUCACUUGGUGAGGGAAUGCGUUUGGAGUAUCCUACAAUUAAGAAACUUAUACUAUUAUUAUAUUUUGCUGCAAUUUUUAUCUUAGGGUUUAUUUGAUUUCAAAUUAAUCUGAAACAUCUAGUCUGAGAUUAGUUCAUGCCUGUUCAGUCUCACCUCAAUUCUUGAGAGAUUGGCAUUGCAAGUUACAGAUUACCUUUAACAAUCAUUGUAAAGUAACUAUUGUAUCAGAUUGCCAACGGGUGCUAGACCAAGUGGUCAAGCACUUUCCUGCGGCACCCCAGGUCCCAAGUUCGAUUCCUGGGUGGGACGAAUUUAGGAACCGGCUGGUGUGUGUGUGUGUGUGCGCACUUCGGUGCCGCAUCGUUCACUGUGCCGGCUGGGUAAAAAAUCCCCCUCGCUGCUGUGGCAAGCUUGGGGGGUUUCUCGGUCGGGGACUGAGGUCUUCUUCUUAAGAGUCUAGUCCAGCCUAUGUGAUCGUUGUGGGAGCGCUAUAAGUGCCGCACGGCCAUAGGAUCUGGCAGGCGUUUAAUACUGUGAGGGGGUCUUCCCCUCACCGGCCGAGUUUUAACUAUUGUAUCAGAUUAAACUAGCUUGAAACUCUGAAUAGCGAUGAUUGCAAUACUUUCCAUUCAUCUUUCUUGUACUUUCAAUCUAGUUCCUUAACAUGUUUUAGAUAUGCAAAAUCACGGAUGGGCCUUUGGAAGCGUGAUAAGCACCCCUAAGUGCAGCUGAAAGACGAUACAGCAGUUGUUCUCCAUUCAGCACAAGCGGCAGCUGAGCAUACUCAAGGAUGUUUGAUGUUCGCAGGCGACUUGUCCUGACACCCGAGUUCAAUGACAUCUUCAUGCAGCGAAUGUUCUGCCCAUGAGUUAGGCUAUGAGGUCCUUCAGACGCGUGACAUUAUGUAACAGGGUUUGGUUGUAUCUCAACAGUUAUUAUUACCUGUACACCUCUUCUUUUAAAUUUCCUUCUCUGGAUCUUGCCUCCUAGUCCUCUUCGGAUUUUAAGCUAGGAUUGCCCCCCCUGUUUACAGUUGAAUUAUUAUAAGAAAAUCAGUUGUGCAGUAUGAAAUCUGUUGUACCUGUCGACGGGUGACAAUAAGAUCCAAGUGGGAUUGUGGGGCAAUGGUAUAAUAAUGUGGGGCGAUGAGUGUACUGUGAAUAGUGUGUCUGCUGUUCGCAUCCCUUGUCUCAUGUGAAAACAGAAAUUAGGGGGUGUUUGGUUUGCCCUGUUAUAUUUUACCGUUCGUCAUAUCAAAUGCUUGGAUACAUACAUGGAGUAUUAAUAUAGACUAUUUAUGAAACUAAAAACACAGCUGAAGAGUAAUUUAAGAGACGAAUCUUUUAAGCCUAAUUUGUCUAUAAUUGGAUACUAAUUGUUAAAUAAAACAAAACUGCUACAAUUUCUGUUAAACUUUACCACCCAAACCAAACAUAUGAGAUUGUGCAGUUUGUCGCUGAAGUUACUCAUAAGAGCCUUCGAUCAGGUUUAUUGUGCUUAAACUAGAUGGUGUAUGGUCACUGUCACGUUUUUUAAUUAUUAUUACUAUAUAUUAUAUUUACCUCUGCUAAGUUUGAUCAAAUCUAUUCUUUUAUAGCUAAUUUUGUAGAAGACAAUAAAAUUCAGCAUACACGCAACCUAAAAGAUUGCCACCUGUCUCUCCACCUCAAAAAUGCUCAGAAAAAAUGCACUUGAAAAGAAAAUGCAAGAAAUUAGCAUUAUCUUGUCAUACUUUCUGCAUGAAAGUACUGUAUCUAAAAAAUGAUGGUUCUGCUGAACAAUAGCAGCUCUUUUGUUCUUCUAUCUGAAUAUAAUGAUUGUUCACGCCUUCCGUUAACAGGAAAAGUUUAUGGUCAUUGAAAGGUGCUCACUGUACUAAAGACAGAAGCUGCGAGUGCUUGCUUUGAUAAUCCACGGAUAAUUGCACAUCAUUUCGUUGAAAAUAAUCCUCUGCAUGCCUGCCAAAUAUCUGAGAGAGACUUGUCAUUGGACCUGACAGGAUAGAGCGAUUAUCUCAACUCACUGUCAAAUUCAGCUGCAGUCACCACCAACCGACCCCUUUGCUGUUGGCUGUUGCAACAGAACACCUAGGCAACCUGAACUUCUUGUACUGUACCUCUAGCGAGUGGUUGGGUUUGCCGCCCUUUUUGUUUAGAACAACACACUGGAUUAUCCCUCAGUCAUUGCCUUGCCUUGUCCCCACUUAACUUCAAAAGCCAUCACGUCCUCCAACAAAGAGAGAUCAAAAUACCGGAGCCAUUUAUCUAUAAGCGGAGAGACAAGUACAAUACCUUUUGGUUUUCGUCAGAUAUGAUACACUAAUUCAGGUGCUGUUCAUCAGAGCGCUACUACUACUAAGGCCUUGUUUAGUUCGGGUGCACCUUUCUGAAGCACUAGUGCAGUCAGACCCCAACAGCUCCCGUUAAUUGCACCAAUAGCAAUGUGAUAGUGCCCUGUCAGAAAAUUGAAGCUAGUUCUAUGGUACACUAAAAUGGUGUCUGCCUUGCAUUAUGCCACACUGUUUGCUAGCCUGCUGUUAAAAGUGACAGCUGACGUUGUUUGUUUCUCCUAUCAAUGUUUUGAGUUCAGAGAGGUACCUGCCUAGCUGACAUUUUUAUGUUUGGAAUACAAGGUCAAAAAUACAUUGUCCCUCCAAUGCGGCAGUCACAUUAUUAACACAUUGGAGCUGACUUGUUUGAAUCUAUUUGUAUUUUGCCUGAGAACCAAUUGCCACUUUGUUCUCUUUUAUUUUAAGCGUGAGUCCUUAAGCAUCCGUCAAGUGUAAGGCUCUCAGAGGCUUUGGCCUUCUGAUCCCAGCUGGAUCGCUAAGCUUUCCAGCCUCCCAUAUCCAUAUCCAUUCUCUGUACCUCCAAACUCACCUUUUUUUUAAAAAAGAAAAGAAAAGAAAAGAAGAACCUCCAAACUGCAUAAAACAUGAAAAGAGCAGUGACCUGCAUACUACUACUAGCAUUAGACUAAUGACAACCCAUCCCAAACCUUUCAGCAAGAUUCGGAUCCUGGGAGCAAGAAAGAGCAAUCACACAGCUUCCCUGACCAUGAGCUAGCACUGCAGAUCUGAAAAGAAGGCGAGACUUUGCUUUCGAUGAUUCCAUUAAGUGUUGACACCAUUAUCGAAUCGACCUAAUAUUUUAAUUGUCUGGUGGAGGAGCAGCAUCAGAUGAUGAGUAGCCCUCCUUUUCAGUUUUCACCUCGCAAGGGGGAGCGGCUCCUGCCACGGCAUGGAAUCUUGGCGCAUGCCAAACAUUCUUGGGAAGCCACCUAAAGUUUAUGAAUUGUGGGCGUCAGUUUUAAGAGACCAAGACAGCCUGCUUGCUUUCACCUUUCUUCAGAUACACUGACCAUAUCUUGCUCUUGAUUGAUGAUACCUGAAAUGUCUCUACUCCCUUGUGUCACUGAAGUGUAACCAGUAUUUGCUGGUAAAGAAAUGCAUUUGUAAUAAUAGUACUAACACUACUGUCCUAUUUGGUAUCCAGUAUAUAUUUAUGCAUUGGGACUUUGGUGACGACAGUACAAAGAUUCUGUAGGAUAAUAUACACCGGGUUGCUGUACUUUGCUGGGUGCAACAUCACUGCAUUGUUUACCAGCAAGACAAAUCUUUCAGGCGCUAAUUGCCGAGCUAACUCUAAUAAUAUAAGGGUAGCUUACAGUUGCAUCAUUCUGGGUCGCACAAUAAACUAAUGCCAGUGGUUCAGAAAUCCUAGGUGAAAGAGUGGGGGGAAAGCUGGCAAACGCUUCAGGUUCAGGACAGCAGCAGCACGGGCAUGGCCGCAUAUCAGCUCGCCAGUGUGUUGGCAGCUAGCUAGCUUGCGCUCCUGGAGGCGUCAGUGAAACGGCGAUGGAUGCAUUGUAGGACACUGACUGAAGACAUGGACGGACGGGCGUCGACGGAUGGGAAGAUUGGGUCACACACACACGUGUCAGGCCCGUGACUUAAAUUCCAAGCGUAUUCUGAUAACAUAUCCCCAUCUAACUCAUUUAUGGAUGAAGAUAUCACCUCUCUUUUCUUUUUUUCUUUUUUGGUCAAAACAAACAUUUUGUGGCACCAAACUUUGGUAGUAUAUCUCAUGACAUUUCUUGGUGACUUUGCUACAUCUUAGGUGAAGAAAACAAACAAACAUCUAUGCGUUGGUCGUCCAUGGCUUCUCUCAAGUCUCAACCCAUGCUGAUUUUUGAGGGAGUGAUGAAGUGUGCGUUCUGAAACUGAUUGUGCUCCUUCCUCUAGCUGCUCUUGUGUGCAGUUUUUUUUGCUCUCUUUUGUCACUGGUAUUCCCAGUUUUGUAUCCAAACUACUUGUCUUAAAAGCAGAGGUUUUCCUCUUUUUUUUUUUUGAAAAAAGCUGCUCUUGUGUGUGCCCACUGUUUCAGAGCUGAUAUAUGCAAAAUGUACCUCCAUAAAUCGACUGCUCUCUCGAGGUGCAGGGUGACCAUUCUAGCCGUUCCGAUGCCAAGCCGGGACUGACAUUUUGCAGGGGAGAAAAAGGUGGGAGGGGCCGGGCCGGGGCGGCAGGUUCAUUUCAUCAUGCUGUGUUUCCCUCCGAUCUCGUGCAAAAACUGGGAUUAAAUCGGUCGAGGGCAGAAACAGAAAGCGAUGGCUGUCGUGCCUCACAUACGCCUUUCGAACUAUAUAGUUUUCCAAACGUUUCGUCCGUUCAAAGGAGCGUUGACGGCCUAACAACGUGGAUUGUUUUUCCACGUGGACAAAACUCGUGCCUUACGUUGACGCAACCAGGGUAUCACUAGUAUAGUAGGAGCAGCUAAGAAUCAUCAUUUGUUUUAAAUACAUUAUACUCCUACUAGUACGUUGCAACCAGUCACACGAGAUUCUCCAAACCAAUUCCACGGCAAUAGUUCAAACAAGAUUUGGCAUCUCCAUCGACCAAACCAAACCAAACUCCCCGAGUGUUUAAGAUAAGCUGCAGUAGCAUUAUACUCCUACUAUUUCAGUCAACAAACAGUUUUUUUACACGCAAUUCUACUAGUUUGCAGCAACCUUGCCAAAUCCUCCCCUCCAUGCCAUGCCAAUUGCCAGAGCCCAGAGAGGCGGUCACGAAAACGGAGAGCGCCACCCACCGCAAAUCCCGGCGGGACUGAACCUGAACGGAACUAACUCUUUCGUUUCCACCGCAAUUCCAAUUCCAACCACCUCCCCGAGUCCGGAUUCCCGACCGAACGAACCCAUCUUCUUCAUCUCGCACGCACGCCGCGGCCUCCCUCCACCUCCUCCUCCUCCUCCUCCACUUGAGCCGACACUUCAUCCAUUCCCCAUCCCCAUCCCACGCGGCCACCACCACCACCUCCUCCCCCCUCCUCCAUAUCUCUCCGGGCCAAGGAGGAGGAACAGGAGGAAGAGUAUAUCAGUCCUCAUACCAAUAAAUUCGUCACGCCGGCUCCGCCUCGCCAUUGCCUUGCCCCAAGGCCCAAGCUGGUAGCAGCAGGCCGGGGAGCAGUCGAGCAGGAGGAGGAGAUGAAGGGGCUGAGCGGGCCGAAGCUGCUGGUGGUGCACCCGUCGUCCAACAAGUCGCCCGGCGGGGCCGGGUCGCCCGGGGCGGUUCUUGGCGCGCGCCGCCGGGUGUGCGCCGCCGUCUUCCUGGCCUGCUUCGCCUGCGUCUCCCUGGCCACCACGCUGCUGUCGGCCGCGCGGGACCCCGGUGGGGCCGCGGCCGGGAGGGCGGCGGCGGCGUUCGCGGUGCCAGCGAGGGUUGGCGCCGGCACCGCCGCCGUGGCCGCAACGGGGGAGGGGCUGCCGGGGCACGUGUUCGACGCGCUGGUGCAGUACGCGUCGGCGGGGGGGAACUCGACGGCGAGCAUGCCGGGUGCCGACGUGCGCGCCAUCGCGGCCGUGCUCAAGCGCCGCGCGCCGUGCAACCUGCUCGUGUUCGGGCUCGGCGGGGAGACGCCGCUGUGGCGCGCGCUCAACCACGGCGGGCGCACCGUGUUCCUGGACGAGAACCAGUACUACGUGUCCCACCUGGAAGGCCGGCAUCCGGGGCUGGAGGCCUACGACGUCGCCUACACCACCACCGUCCGCGAGUUCCCCGACCUCCUCGACGCCGCACGCGCCGCGCGCGCCGCCGAGUGCCGGCCUGUCCAGAACCUCCUCUUCUCUGACUGCCGACUCGCCAUCAACGACCUCCCCAACCAGCUCUACGAUGUCUCCUGGGACGUCAUCCUCGUCGACGGCCCGCGCGGGUAACCCAUCUGAGUCAUCUCCAUUUCCAAGAUCCAUUCAUCCAGCUUCUUUUCUUCUUUCCCCAAAAAGAAGAAGAAAGAUCCAAUCUUUUUUUUCAGCUCCGUCCAUUAAUUUCUCGCCCUAGAUAGCUAACGCUAACGCUAACGCCCUCUCCAAUGCGGCUCGGACAGGUACACGGCGACGUCGCCGGGGAGGAUGUCGGCGAUAUUCACGGCGGGGGUGCUGGCACGGACGCGGGCCGGGGAAGGCGCGACGACGGAUGUGCUGGUGCACGACUACGAGCGGGAGGUGGAGCGGGCGUGCUCGAGGGAGUUCCUGUGCGAGGAGAACCGCGUGGCCGAGACCAGCACGCGGUCGCUCGCCCACUUCGUCGUGCGCGGCGGCGGCUCCGCCCGCCGCGACGCCUUCUGCUCCGGACCGGGAACGGCGGCGGCGGCCCACUAGUAGUUUUACUCCUGUCUGUCCCUCACCUCACCUCUUCUUCUACCUUUUUUUUUAGGAUUUAACCUCUCGAGAUCUCGAUGACGGUUAAUGAUGAUGAUGUUGUUUGUCAUGUGAGUGGGGGGCGAAAAAAGGAUGGAAAAGAGAAAAGGUGAAUGAAGCCUGUAAAAAUUCGGUGUGACGGAAAAAAAAAAAGAUGCAGAGGAAUGUGUCUCUGUCCUUGGCGACUCCAUCAUCCAUGCCAUGGUGCUGGUUCUCAUUCUGCGUGACAACACGGGUUCAUUUUCUCAUUUUCUCGCGUUUCGUCGACUUAAGUACGACAAUGGCGGCAGACCGGACCCGAGGGCGGCAUCAUCAAUGUUGCGACUGCAAUGAAGGAGCAGCAUGGAGCGCCGAAUUGGCAGCAAUGAAGGCCUUGUUUAGUUCGAAAAAAUUUGGGAAAUCGAUACGGUAGCACUUUCGUUUGUAUUUGACAAAUAUUAUCUAAUUAUAGACUAACUAGGUUUAAAAGAUUCGUCUCGUCAAUUUCGACCAAACUGUGCAAUUAGUUUUUAUUUUCAUCUAUAUUUAAUACUUUAUGCAUACGUCUAAAGAUUCGAUGUGACGAGAAAUAUGAAAAAUUUUGCAAAAUUUUCUGAGAACUAAACAAGGGCCGAAGACGCUGCCAUUUUUGGUUCUCCCAAGCCUGGUCACUGACGCGGGGCCUGCCUGGCUGCCUGCCCACGGCCGGCCGGCCAGCCAGCGAGUCCCCACUGUUUCCCUCGUGGACCGUGGCGGGGGCCGGGUCUGGGAAGACGGGGAAGAGGACGGGCCGGUGGGGGUGGAGCGGUGGACUGUGGAGUGGAGCGUGCCUCGCCGUCGCCGGUCGCCCCCGCGCCCGCGCCCGCGCCGACGACUGUUGCCUCGUCUCAUCUCCCAUUGACGGCCUCGCUCGCCUGAGCCUGACGCGACGCGAGGUUGUGCUGUGCCGGGUCGCGCGGGGCACGGCGGUGUUGUGUGUGCACUGUGCUGUGCUGCUGUUAAACUCGAGGUCAGAUUGGAGGCCGACCUCCACUCUCCACUCGCCGUCGGCGUCGGCGUCUCCCUCGCGGCGCGGACGGCUCAUCAGCGUGCUUUUUCUGCCACGGAUUCAUGCAUCCAUCCAGCUUCAUCCGUGAGGUUUGGGUUUGAGUUCGUGGGGGCUCAAUGUACAUCGUCUUCGCCGGGGCAAUGUUACUAGAGGUGCACCGCAACGCCGGUGUUAGAGGGGAGGAUGACGGCGAUCGGCCCUGGCGUGGAUGUUGGUUGUAAAAGGGUGAUCGGCAGACGAACAAGAGGGCGUGGAGUAUUGUGAGGCGGCCGACAGAGAGGGUUGAUAUAAAGAGAAAUGAAUUGACUACCUGUGCCUACUCUCCCUCGCUCUCUGCCUCAACAGUUUGGCUACCGGAAUGCAAUGUGCUGUUACCCCCACAAUCAAGUCAACACAUAUACAUAAUUUCAAAAAAAAAAGAAGUCAACACUUAAACAUUAUUUCUUGGUGGGAGGAAGCAAAGAAAGGAUUCUCAAAAGAGCAAUGAGACAAUGACAUAAGGUCAUCUAUAUCAUGUGCGACGUAGGAGGUUUAAAAAGUGAAGGAUGACAUUGACCGGAAAAUGGCUAUUAUAAGACUCCAAUCAUAAUGGUUUCUCCCAAAUAGUUUCUCCCAAAUAGUACUCUAAUUGUUUUCUUCUCCCAAAUAGAACUUCAAUCAACUACCAUAAGCUAUAAUAGGAUUUUGCUUCAUUUAACCAUUUUUUAUAUCCCAAAUCAUGUAUUUUCUAAUAAUAAUGUCCAUAUUACCCUUUUGUACUAUACAGGACACCGAUUCAACUUAUCGUACUCGAUCUCUCGCACGACGUAUUCACGAGGCCGCCUCACUCUCUUCUCCAACCUCGGCAGCAUGCUCAGUUUCCAAGACAGCAAGCAGACGCCCCUCGACGGCUCAGGGCAUCAGUGCAUCAAGCAUGCAGAUGAACACGCUACGGCCGCCAGCCAGCUACAACUACUACUACAUCGACAUGCAUCCAUCCGUCAUCGCUGGAUCGGUUUCGGUGGUUCUGAGCCACCCCUGAGCAGCAUGAUUGGAGGAGGCGACACGGCCACCACCAUGGGCACGUGACGACGCUCGUGAGCUAGUCACUGUACCAGCACGCCGCCAAGCAGCAGGGGGAUGCGGCGUUCGUGGACCCUGGCGUGCGUCACGCGCUGGUGUACGGCGUCACGAUGCAGGUAGGCCUGGGGCAAAAAUAACCGAGAACCGAAACCGAAACCGAAAUAACCGGAAUCGAAACCGAAAUAAUCGAAACCGAAAAAUUCAGGUAGCUGUUCGAUUCUCAAACCGAACUAACCGAUCAAAUUUCGGUUCCCAGGCUCGGUUAACCGAAAGAACCGAAAAAACCGAAACUCAUAAAACAAGCCCAAUAAACCUUACAACAUAGGCCUAAUACCACCUUAACCCUAAAUAUAAAAGGUGAAUGACAUCCUCUCAUAGCCUCACAUCCUCACAUUUUUUAAAAUAACGACAUCUUGUUUUUUAAAAAAUAUUUUUUUUCUAUUUUUCUAUUCUUUUUUUAUGCUUGUGUAAAUUUUCGGUUAGUUCGGUCGGAAUCGGAACCGAACCGAACUAACCGAAACCGAUUUUACUCGGUUCCAAGAUUUGUGAAGAACCGAUCGGUUCCUAUUUGUAGAGAACCGAAUUUAUGUCAAAAACUGAAGAACCGAACCGACGAACCGAACGCUCAGGCUGAGAUGCAGGUGCUGCAGUAGUUCUCGGGCAUCAACAGCGUGCUAUACUACACGUCGCAGAUCCUGGACCAGGCCGGCGUCAGCGUGCUGCUAGCGAGCCUGGGGCUGAGCGCCGACGCGGGUGCGGGGCUCUGCAUCGCCAUCUGCUCGCUCGUCUCGUGAAUACGUCGCACGAGAGAACGAGUCCGAUAGUUGAAUUGGUGUCGUGUAUAGUAUAGAAGGGCAGUAUAGGCAUUAUUAGAAAAUACAUUUAUUUGAGAUAUAAGAAAAAUGGUUAAAUGAUGCAAAUUCUCAUUAUAACUUAUGGUAAUUGAUUGGAGUCUUAUUAGGGAGAAGUAAACGAUUGGAGUCCUAUUUGAGAGAAGCUAGAAGUCUCAUAAUAGCCAUUUUCUCGCCGUAUAAGGGCUUUUUAGCUUUGUACUGUAAUAAUUUACCUUCUAGUUCUUUUGUUUGUUUUGGUCCAUAUUACGGUGUUGUCAACAGGUUGCUCAAGGAGUGACGUGUUAGAGUUGUUUUUUGAGGUCAUGUUCGAUGUUUGUAUAAAUUGAAAGGCAAUGUUUCCACCACUUACGAUACAAUGACACGUGGAGAGUUAGCACAAACAAAACAAAAAUAUGCUUGCGGAUAAUGACGGAAAUGAUAAACCGAAAUCUAUAUACUUUUGUAAAGAAAAUGGGUGGUACGGAAUAAAAUAGAUAGAAUGUAAUGGAAAAGGAGGCACAAAUGUUGGGUUACGGGAGGAUGAUGUGAUGUGUGACAAUUAAAUUGAUUGGCAAACAAACAAAAUGUGUAGUAGGCGACCGAAGAGUUGAUAAAGAAAAAUGGACUAUGUAUAUCUAAAAUUAGAAUAAAAAAACAAAAGUACACUUGGGGAAAAUAGAUGAGGCUUGACACUUUUGUUAGAAAGAGGGGGCUCUAAUGUGGAAUGAACAAAAUAGAUAAUAUGAUGAGUCGAUGGAACAUUCAUAUUUAUGGGAUAACCAUUCCUAUUUUUCAGGAAAAAAAAGUAAGAGACAUAACACAAAAACUAGAUACUUUGUUAGAAAGAGCCUGAAUACGGUCAAACAUGGUAUGGAGUAAAACGGAAAAUAAGACGUGUAACGGAUAAUCACAUAUCCAUUCCGGCCCACCCUUAUUAGUGGAUUAGCCAUUCAUACUUUCUUUUAGCAAAACUAACACUCACUAAAGUGAUUUGGUAGUUUCCAGCACUCUUUUUUUGGCCAACCGAUAAAGGCGAUAAGUAAUUAGGAAAUUUGGCUUGAGCUUUGUCAAAUUAGAAUUUAGAGAUUAAAGUUCAAGAGUAAAGUGAUUAGAUCUUACAGGAGGAGAAGACUAUAGGAUAGACUUGCUCACACAUAUAGUGGUGGUUGUAGGGAUUGUGGUGGUGGAGCAUAGCGACUUGGGGUGAAGGAUGGAGCGGUAGUGGGAGGUGGCCGUUGAUGGUGGGUAUAUGUGAUGGUUGGUGGUGAGUAGGGUAAACAAAAAAGACACGCGUGAGAGAGAACCAAAAAAGAAAAAAAAAAGAAAAAACAUAAGGUAAUCAGAAUAGCAAAUGCAUCAAAUGUUGUUGCUGCGACUAGUAGUAUGGAAUUGUAUUAGUCUAUUGUCUAGUAGAUCAGGCAGGGGCGGAUGUAUUUUUGGUGCAUGGGGGUACAACUGUGUCCACAAAAUUUGUGUCCAAAUACUAAGUAUGCACAACCAAAAUUUUCAACUUCUUCUAGUAAUGUGGGCUUCUCCUAGUGUUUUAGCAUUCAAAAUUUAAUAUAAAUUUUUCCUAGUAAAUGUCUCCUAGUAAGAAUUCCCUAGUGCUAUGACUAGUGUUAGUGUUUUGUUACUAAUUAGAAACACUAGGAGAACUCCACCAAUAUGGUAGUGAUGUAUACAUAUAAUACAUUAUAUAUAGACACCGGCGGCCCUUUAACUUGUCGCGCUGUGCCACUUUGGUCCAUAAACUUGCAAACGUGAAAAAGAGGCCCCUAAACUUGUCAGCAUGUGCCACUUUGGUCCAUAAACUUGCAAACGCGAAAAAGUGCCCUCUGAACUUGUGGACGUGUGCCACUUUGGUCCAUGAACAUGCAAAUACGAAAAUAACACCGGCUGCAUGGCACUGUUCUGCCACGUGACCGCCUCUGGUAGGCCAUGUAUGACACCGUUUAUGGUGUUGACGUCAGCGAUGAUGUCAGCACUUCUUUUUUAAUUUACGAAAUUGAUAUAUUUUUAUUCGUAGCGUCAAAAAUAUCAAAUAAUAUAUCAAUUCGUUGCAUUUAUUAAUUAAAAGAGAUAAUUUUAAAACAAGCAAAAAUUAUUCAUUUUCUAGGUUUCAUAUUUUUCUUAGGCAGAGUACACAUGAAGAGGCUACACAAAACAUUUCAUGAAUGUAGCAUUUCAUUAAUAAUUAGUUAUGAAAUAAAUAAAUAUUUGCUGACGCGUUGAAAGAGCCUUUACACGUUUAUGGACCAAAGUGGCACAGGUCGACAAGUUCAGGGGCCACUGUUUUGCGUUUGCAAAUUCAUGGACCAAAGUGGCACAGGCGGACAAGUUCAGGGGUCACUUUUUCGGGUUUGUAAGUUCAUGGACCAAAGUGGCACAGGCUGACAAGUUAAAGGGCCGUAAGUGUAUUUUACUCUUAUAUAUAUUUAUUAGAACAUCUUAUCAAAUAGCAAUCUCUUAAGAAAAAGUGCUCAUCCGAGAGAGGAAAAAAUAGCGUUACAACUUACAACCCCAUACUACCAUGCUUUCUCCUAAUAAAGUAUAAGAGAGAAAGUAAAUCAGUGCACAAGUACAAUAUAAAAAUAACGAAACAAGUUGAGAAAGUAAAUAUGUAAAGUUGUCUCUUUUUUCUCUUCUAAACAAUUCAUUAUAGUUUCAAAUUUGUGAAGUUUGAGUCUUGACUUUUUAAUAAUCAGUCAAUUUUGGGGAAAGCAACACUCAUAUUUAUCUCUAUAAAUAGUUAAUUUCAAUUGUGUACAUCGUCAUGACAUUAAGAAUAAUAAUGGUAUAUCAUUUUUAUGGACUACUCAAUAAAUUAAGUACAAAAGAUCAUCUACUCUGAAUAAACUCAUUAAGAAUGCCACACAAGCAAGAAACUAAUGUGCUAUAUUAAGACCUUGGCGACGACUACUUGUGUACACGGAUAAAUAUUGGCAAGUUGUAUUCUUAGAUCCCAGACACUAAUUAUUUUACUAGUAUAUUGCCCGUGCUAACGCUAUGAUAAUAUUUGAUGAUAUUUAGCAGCACAAAUCAAGCAAUCAAAAAAAGAUAUAAAUAUUCACACGACACAGACAAAGAGCUGGAACGGCAACUCAGCAAAACUCUCAAUCGACAUUUCUUGACCAAGCAUAGCAAAGAGAGAAGAAUAUGCGUGAGACAAUAAAGUUAUUAUUGUACAAAUCAAUGCUUAAAGAGUAACUUAUCCAAAUUACAAUACAAAUUAAUCAUCAUAGCUAUAGGUCUUGGUAACAACAAAGCCAUGGCUACUGGCAAGGUCAGCAAGGUGUGCCUUUCUGCCGAUCUUCUCUGUAGCAAGCAUGAGAUGACCAAUAUACCAACUCAAUCAUCAAGGGCAAUAAUUCUUCUGGUUCUUGUCAGUGCUAAAACCAAAAAGGGUACCAUUUAGCAUCAUCUAAAAGAAAAAGGCAGUACACCAGUGCAGGUACAAUAACAUGUGUAUUCUAUUUUAUUAUAAAAUCAGGUGAUGCCAAUAGAAAGAACCUCCCCAUCUUUAAUCCCACCAUACAGUGAGCUGCUUGCCGAAUGAGGACCCAUCUAAAAUAUAGCAGCAAAAAUCUUUAAGUUCUAGACAACUAUUUAAAUAAUCCACCAUGAACCCAACAAACACCAACAACAAUUAAUUAUUUUAUUAUUUAUGUAUUUCCUUAAUUAGAUAUGGAUUCCUUCGAAGAAACAAACACCAUUUUUAGGCAAAUGCAUCAAGAAACAAAUAGCCCAAACAUGCAUCAACGAUUGCCACUUACGUCCCUGGGCAUGAAGAUUCAUGACCCCUUCGAGCUGUGACAUCUCCAAAUCAAACUGUCACUCAUACAGUGUUGUCACAGCUAACAUUCCAAGUUCCACACACACACACAGGAAUUUCAGAAGUCAUGAUUAUACCUGCAAAAAAGUCCUUGCAUUCUCUCUUUUUCAAGUUUGCAGUACUUAAAGUUACAAGAACACAACAUGCACCAUUUACUGAAUGUCUAAAACUCAGAUAAACCUAUAGAACAGUGUUGCAGGCGAAGAUUAUGACCCCACUCAGAAGAUAGAAACAUCCAAGCAUCCAGUCCUUUCUGCCUUUGCCAUUUGAGAGCUCUUCAACAUCGUGGGAAACAUAGUGCCUAAUAACACAUCAACAGUUAGGACUUAGCACUGGACAUAUAUGCAUAUGUUUUGUGAACCAGCACUCAUGUUUCAGUAAGGAGACCUUUUAUGAUAGUGUGGCAUUGAAAAUCAAUAAAGAAUGCAUCCACUGUCCUUUCAUCUUACUAUUAAGCACCUUGCUUUGUAAUGAGCAGAUUACUGCAGCAGCUAUAUUUCUGGCUCCUAUUAAGGUAAGUGAUUGCAAAUUAUGUUGUUGUACAAAUAGAAGCUACAAAAAUUCAAUAAAUUUCUUGACUAUAAAUGUCAUAUGCCUAGUAGGAUCAUGUUUGGUUGUAAUGAAAAAGCAGCCUGGUUUCUCAUUAAUACAUGUUCUUAAAUACCUGCAGAAAUAUCAAUAUGACUUGAUCAUCACAAAACUAAUGAUUGAAAAGGUAAUUUGAGCAUCAACAUCUGUUACUGCAAACAGGGAUAUCUUCUGUAAUCCAUAAUACCUUAAAUGAAACAACCAAUAUUUGCGUGAGAUCAUAGAGAUCAUACAGAUAACUCACAAUAAUGUGCGCAAAUUAUCACUAUCCAAAUUUGUUUAAUAUAUUUCCUUGUUGUGGUAUUGGCAUCAAUUUCAUUGGCUGCUGUCCCCUCUCAUUCUCAGUGUCCAAUCACUUGAUUCCAGCUAACAACUCGAGCUGUCUAGAAGUCUGACAUAACUAAAUUCAAGAGAUGUCUACCUAUAGCUAAAUAUCACCGGUAAGACCAUAAAGAGUCAGAGCUGGCACCUACUCUAGUUCCCACGCCAUGCCUGCAGAGGCAUGCAAGUCACACCAACGAUUCCAUAUCACUGGAAUCGCAAAUCACCUAUGAAUUAUAAAUCCAGAAUUCAAACAUAUAACAAAAUUCAGAAAAUUUUCCAUCAUGGUGUGAACCUGCAAUCUCCAAUCUGCACCAAAAUUAUUGCUGCAAACAUAAAAAAAAUUGAGCAAAAUAUUAAAGGAAUAGCAAUUUAGUGAACCGGAAAGAGUAGUACUCUCCCGCUAUAUCAAUCCUCUGCUUUUCUUCUAGAAGUUUUGUAAACUAUAGCAAAAAUGAAUGUAACAGGAAAAAGAGAAAUAAUUGAAGAUCAAGAUGAAGAAAUUACACAUCUGUUUGAUUGGGAGGAGUUGACAGGGUCCUUCCUCCUCAAUGAACUUGCAGCCUGGAUAUAGAAAAAAUAGGAAUUCAUCACUUAUCAGAGUAGACAGUAGACACAAAAAUCAGGCAUUCAAAUUUCUUACAGAGCAACAAGUAUAUGGACUGUAAGAAGUAGAUCUAACAGAUGGAAUGAGAGCAGCUGUGUGGAACUGUCAGGAGCAGCAGAAGGAGAAAAAAAUGCCAAUGGCAGCAGUCAGGAGCAGCAGAGUUUAAUUGAAUCUUAUUCUCAAAAUCCUCCACUAACAACUGCAUCAAAUUAAACUCAGGACUUAACUCAAGCUCUCCAAGUCUCAAGCUCUAUAGAUAGUAGAUACACAUGACUUAUAGUAUAAUACCCUGAAAAAGGCAUGAAGAAAAUUAGAAGGCACUAUCCCAUGUCACGCAUCACGCGGCUGAAGGCGGCGUCGAGCUCGCUCUGGGAUGCAACAAACCAUACUUCGAUGAGCCAUGUAGAAGUACAAUCCAACAACCUGUACUGCAGCUAUAAAAUGGCAACAACCUAUACACGUUGGCCUUCUGAAGAAAAAACAUCAGUUAGAUAAUUACAUGGACAUGUGAGGAGGUCAGGGAAAUUAAAAUGUUAUGACUCAUGUGAAUCUAGCUUGGAGAAAAUAUGCUAUUAAUCUGUGUUUGAUGAAGAAAAAUAGGGAGAAAAAAAUGUGCAUACAAAGUAAACACUUAAAACCCAAAAAGUGCACAGAAAUAUUACCAGAUUAUACCUUAGUAAUGGGGAAGAAAUACCCAGCUCAAUCUUUGUUGAAAGUCCACUUUUCUUCACAUUGGCCUGCGGACCAUCAACCUAUAGACCGAGGCAAUGCAACCAUUCAGUACUUUUGAAAAUUUUAUAAGAAAAUUUUGCAAAUGCCCCAGAAAUAAGCUCAACUAAUGUACAGAAUUAUAUAUGAAACUUCUAAUUUGACAUAAAAAAUCGACUCAAAGAAUCAUGAAACAUCGUACCUACAAAAAUCAACUCAAAGAAUCAUGAAACCAUGUUAGAUUUAUUGCAGAUGGAAAUAUGAAACCGUGUUAGAUUUAUUGCCAAUGAAAAAUAAGUUUUAUCAUAAGCUGGUGCCAACAACACAGGCCUUCAAAACACCUUUUAAUGGUGUAGCAUAUAAUUCACGGCGCACAGUAAGGUAUGUCCAGGCUUUACAGAUGUGAAACUGAUUAUGUGUGAUUACAAUGUUUGCAUCAGGAAUAAAAAUUCCAUUGAAUUCCAUUGGAUGAGUGGUAACAUAGAUAUUUGCGAAUAACUAUAAAUAAAAUAAGAAAACAAAUCAUGAGGACAAAAUGUGAAUAACUCUUCACUUGCUGUCUCAAGAUGGCCUUCUGAACCAUGUGAAACCUAGGGAGUAGACAGAUAUGACAUAAACCUGCAAGCAAGAUUAACUUGUGAGGUAAGUUACUUGCCUACAUUACAGUCCACUUACACAUAGUCCAUGAAUCUUGCUUUCAAAUCCAUGAAUGGAUCGUGUUCUGCACUUACCUCACUAUCAUAUCAUGUUGAAAAUCCAGAAGUUGUUGGGUCAAGCUAGUGUGAUCUCUCGAGGCCAUUGUGACUCUCGUUCAGGAGAAGAAAAUCUUGUUAAAUUAUUUUCUGCCCAAAUAUAUUAAGAACUGGGUGGACUGGAGACCACAAGACAACAAAUUACUAACAAAGAUAAGCAUGUUAACUGAACAAACAUCCUGUUGGAGAAAAUUUCACAAAAAUUUAGAGGCAAGGAUCCAGGGGGACGACCUGGGUCAUGGCCGCCGUGGCACCAGACUGGUACUGCUGUUGCUGCUGCAUCAAGAGUGUCUAAUGCUGCUGUCGGAGCCUCUGCUGCUGCUUGUGGUGGCUACCCCGGCGCUGUUCAUCUCCUCCGGCGAGGCGAGGACAGAUAAGAACCCAGAGGAGGACCAAGGCCGCACACGGAUCGAUCCAUGGAUCGACGGACUGGGGAGAGACCAAGGGGGCGAACCAAGGUGUAAUCAGAUCGGAGCUUAAGGAAGUUAGGGUUUGGGUGCUUGGUUUGACACAGCGGGAAGGGAAGAUCAAGGGGCAGAAGACGGCGACGGCCGCGACGGUGGGCAGCAGCAGCAGGCCGGCCCUAUGGCGGCUGACCAGCCGCAACACACGACUCCCUGGCGGCAACCCUCCCUCCCGAUGCGACUCCUUGCGGUGCGCGUCCCUGCCAGCACCCCUCCCUCCCGAUGUGACUCCCUGGUGACGCGCGCGUCCCUGCCGGCGUAAUGGUGCGGAGAGAGGGCGUCGAGGAGAGGCAGUGUGGCCUCGGGGAGAGGGAGAGUGGGCGUUGGGGAGAGGGAGAGUGUGGCCGGGUGUGCGUGAGACGGUGAGAGGGGAACGAUGGAUGAGUGAUGAGGUUUGAUCCAAGCAAUAUGAUCCGUUGGAUUUGAGUGAGUAAGAGAAAUGAGAGGUUAAAAUAGAUCUUGUCCCUUAAUUUCAAAAAAUAGAACUUUCUAGGUGUAAUUAUCUGGGUGUACUUAGUGUAGCUUAUGACUGUAGCAGUAGGUUAUGAGGUGCAUUUAGUUAAGUUCACAAGUGGUGGAUUAUAUAGUAGUGGAGAUUGGCAUUCAUGUCAUUGUAUUAUAUAUCGUUGGAAAAUUAUUUAUAUCACUUAUGAUCGAAAUCCGUGAGAUCAGGUGUUAAGAGCCACUAAUUAGAUCUGAAUUUUUUUGGAUUUUGACGAUGUAGUAUUUUCGUUUUUGUUUGAUAAAACAUUAUCCAAUCAUAGAGUAACUAGGCUUAAAAGAUUCAUCUCACGAUUUACAGACAAACGGUGUGACUAGUUUUUAUUUUCAUCUAUAUUUAAUGCUCCAUGCAUAUGCUGGAAGAUUUAAUAUGAUGAAAAAUCUUGAAAAGUUUUUGAACUAAACAAGGCCUAACUACCCGUACGUGUGAGGCCUUGUUUAGUUGAUAAAAAUUUUGGAUUUUGGAUACUAUAGCACUUUUGUUUGUUUGUGAUAAAUAUUUUUUCAAUCAUAGACUAAUUAUGGUCAAAAGAUUAAUCUCGCGAUUUACAGGCAAACUGUGUAAUUAGUUUUUAUUUUUAUCUAAAUUUAAUACUUUAUGUAUGUGCCGCAAGAUUCGAUGUGACGGAAAAUCUUAAAAUUUUUUACGAACUAAACAAGGCCUGAAUCUGAAGCUUUGUUCUCUGCCACGUGUGCGAGGCAGGAGGCAUAUCUGGGACGUCGAAUUGACACGGAACGCAGCGUGCACCGGCGCAUCGAUCGCAUUGAUGCUACUGUCGUCGUCGUCGUCCUCAGUCCAAUACUGCUAUCAGUGUGCAAGUCAGCGACGGGUAUAAAGAUUGGUUUGGCAUCCGCACGGUUGUCUGUUAGUGCAGACAUAGACACUAAAAGUUUAUGGAUUGUUAUUAAGUUUUUUUUUUCUUUUUGCGAUCAUUUAUGGAUUGUUAUAUGAGUUAUGAGUUUAUGACUCGCUGACAGUUAACUAACAAAGUGUUGACUGAUCGACCACUCGGUGAGAGUGAGACGGACAGGUUUAUAUAUGCGGAAGACACAGUGGUCAACGAACAACAGUGCAUUGCGGCUCGUCGGUGCUUGCCUCAACGCUGAUGGUGCAUGUACGUGCGGCGAACAGGAAACCGAAUUUGCAUUGCACUUGCACCGGUCACCGGUGGUGGAUGUAGCGGUGGAGGGAUGGCACGCACGUCCCGUCCCGUCCCCGUGCGGCCUUGCCUCCGACAAAACAAAAGCCACGCCAGUUGCAGCACAGUGCAGGACUGCGGCAGCGCCAGCGCCAGCGACUGGCACGGUGCCACCGACGCUAGCAGGAGCUGCCCCCUCCCUGCCGUCGUGCGCUGCCACUUGCUGCGAUGUGUACAUGGCACGGCCACAUCGAGUCCGGGUUAAGAGCAGCCAAACGGUUUGGGCAAAAUUUGUUUUCCAAAAUUUAUUGUUUGCUAACUUAUUUCAAGAUUAUAUGAAAAAAAAAUUUCAUCUCUAACAGUUUGAUAAAUUUUGUUUCUAAAAAUUCGUUAACAAAACAAAGAGCCCCGCUACGUGAACAAAGAGCCCCGCUAAGUAUGAGAAGAAAGGCCGAUGCCAAGCACGGAGCCCGCACGCAUAUUUGUGCGUUAGACAGGGAGAUAUAUCGAGUUAGAAAAGAUGGAGAAUUGAGAUGUCAAACUGUUGGAGAGUGGUUUUUCUCAUUUUACUAAAAAAAUUAUGGAUAGGAAGUCAUUUGCCAAACUGUUAAAGAUUUCUAAGGCACGACCUGUUUACAUUAGGUAAGCACGGCAUUGUGCCACUAUAAUAUUGACGGGCAAUGCUAUGGCGGGCUCAUGUCACUAUAAUAUUGAUAGGCAAUGCUAUGACGGGCUCAGUUGAUGACGAUGACGGGCCAAGUAGCGUACCGAUGCAUUUAGCCAUGUCGUGCAGACCUAGUAGGCCUGAUCAGGCUAACGGGUUGUGUUAGCCCUGUCUAUUUGUUGCUACUCGUCUGGUCAUCUAUUUUCAAGUAUCUUCAAAUACAAUGGUCAAGGUGGUAGCAAGGAUGUGGGAAACUAGGAUGAAAAUGGAGCAGGAGGCCAAUGGCAAUCCACCAUUCCACUAGUAGGAGGCACUCAACAAUCGCAUUCUUCCACACCUUCAGCCGACUAGCCCCAUUGAAGGAAACCAUUUUGGGCCAAGCUUGGAACCUCAAUAAUGUUUUUUUGCUUCCUUAAACUCUUAAAGUAGACCUAAUCAAAUUAGACUUGGUCCGGCCGGAGCCCGCUGGGUUUUGGCCCACCUAUGGACCUUAGAGGGUAGGGCUUGGGCGUAGAUCUCGCUACCCAUAAUCUUUUUUUUUUGCCCCAAAUAUUUAUUUUAGUUGUUUUACACUAUAAACUCCCACAAGUAGCCCACUUAGGCCCAGGCCUGCCCUAAACCUAGCCUGAAAAAAUAGGCCAAACUCGCAAUGGGAUGAUCAUGGACGGGAUUAGUUCGGCCUGAAAUAGCUGAGCUUUUUUUGGUUUGGCCUGCAAAAUGCUCACGUUUAUCUUGAAGUGAAAGAAACCGACACACCUUAUCUUUAAAAAACAUGCAAAUUUCAUCAUUUUUUUAUAAAAACAGUUGAUAAACUUCUGAUAAGUUUUUUAAGCCCCAAAAUUAUCACUAUGCUUCUAAAAAUCUAAAAAGUAUAAACAUAUAUUGGAAUAUAAAUAAUAAAUAAAUAAAUAUUUAGAGAUCAUAAAAUGUGUAUGGAAGAUUGUAGAGAAUAUUUAGCUAUGCAAAUGGAACAAUAUAUCUACAAAGAAACCGAAAGAUUACAAAAAUAAUCUUAAUCAAUGUCUGAAUACGUUUCAGAAACUUCCCACAACAAGAGUACAAGAUGCGGCCACCUUGAGUGCAACCAUCAUGAAUCCAUUCACCAUUAGUGUAGGUUGCACUAAUGCUGGAUGCAUUUCAUAUUUUUUUUAUGUGGAAAAUUUUAAGACACAUGUUAGACAUUGAUUAGAAUACUGGUUGGGAAUUAUUAAGAUCUUUCAAGACAUUUGUCACAUUUUUAUAGAGCUAAAAUCCAACUAUCGGAAUCUUUUACAUACAUUUUUUUUCUUAUCUCUAUAUAUUUUAUUUGGGUUUCUCAUAUUUAAAUUUAUCUCAAGGAUUCAGAUUUUAGAAGCUUAGAGAUCUUUUUCAUAUAUUUUAAUUAAAAACUAAUGAAAUUUUUUGAAAACCACUUCUAGCCAGGGCAAAGAUAUAUAAUAUGAAUGGCUUUGAGAUUUGAGGAAGAUGAUUUCUGACUUUAGAGUUUGUGAAGAAAAUCUAGAUUUCGAUUAUAGUUAAGAGAGGAAAAAAAAGACUCUUCUUUGCUAGCGAGAAACGUGCUAGCCCAGCCCAAACUACACUUGGUGUAGGCUUCCUUGCAGGCCCAGCGUCGACACUCGACAGCAAGGAAGUCUGCUUCAGAAAACGUGAUCAGUACACAUUUAGACAGAUAUUUUUUUCUCGGAUUAGGCCUCGUUUAGUUUCUAAAAAGUUUUGCUAAAAAUUUUAGCUCAAUUACAUAGAAUCUUGCGACACAUGCAUGGAGUAUUAUAUAUAGACAAAAACAAAAACUAAUUACACAGUUUACUUUUAAUUUAUGAGACGAAUCUUUUGAGUCUAGUUAGUCUAUGAUUAGACAAUAUUUGUCAACUACAAACAAAAGUACUACAGUACCCAAAAUCUCAAAAUUUUGCCAACUGAACAAGGCCUUAGAGCAUCUCCAACAGUUUGCUAAAAUUUACUUGGCAAAUGUUGUGUUUUGGUAAGUUGCUAAAAAACUAUACCAAAUUAAAAAGAGACUCUCUCCAAUAGUUUUCUAUUUUUAACUUGCCAAAAAAAAAGGCCCAUGCGGUAUCCAUGUCCCAGACUUUUUUUUUUGAGAUUACACAGUACAACGCAGACACUCAACACGCACGCACACUCACCCCUAUGAACACACGUACGCAAACCCUACCUCUAUGAGCACCUUCGAAGGACUGAGUCGGCAAAUCUUGAAGUUCACGAAGUCACCACCGGCGCCUCGCUGUCGACGGGCACGUCGCCUACCACUUAAUGCAUAGCGCCGAAAAAUCCUGGAAUAAAUCCAGAAUAAAGUGCCGCACCCAGGAUUUGAACCCUGGGUGGGAGCCUCCCAACCAAUGACCUUUACCAUUGCGCCGUGAACCCCUUGGCGACCAGGAGGUUCACAAGCUCUUCAUUUAUGCCAAGCGAAGGAGAGGAGGGUUGCUGGCCUCGCGAGCUUGGGGUGGCGACGGCGUCGAGAACAGUGGCGGAGGGAAGGGGGGGCUGAGGGGGGCCUGGCACCCCCCAACCUUCCCAUAACUCCCUUAAUACACCUCAUAGAUUAGAUGUUUAAUUAUCUAAUUAGCUAGUUAAUGAUAUUAUUUGUACUAAAAUUUUUAUUCUUAUUUCAUAUUAAUCUCUAAUAGUUUCUUAUACAAAUAGAAUCUAGACAUAUCUUUUAUUUUUAUUAUUGCCUAUCAAACAUCAGUUUGUCCCCUACCACACACUCUAAUUAGCUAGUUAAUUGAAAAUCGGCGUUUUCCUUGUUUAAUCCUUCUGAAUUGAUCUCCAACAAUGGGAUAUAUAUUAUUUAGCAUUAGUCUUUCUAUUAUCUUUUUUUAUCUCCUAUGCUUCUAUCAAUAUUCGUCUAAACUCUAAACCGUCAUUUAGCCCGUUGUACUCAACUUUUAAACACUAACAGUGGUAUGGUGUUUCUGUUUAACCUUCUAUUUAAAUGACCAUUUUACCUGUUUAAGUGAUCGUUUUGUCUAAGACUAAAUGAUAUGUAAAUGAUUGUUUGUCAUUUGAUGUUAGGAUCUAGUACUAAUUAAUUUUGUUCUCGUUUAACUACUUGUUUUUAUUGUGAUUCUUUUCCUGGGCAAAGAAAUAGAAUGAUCAGGUGAAGGUUAGAGGCCUAAGGCUAGUUAAAUUUCUCUUUUAUUUUUUUAUUUUUUCUGCUUUUUUUUACAUCGCAACGCAAACGGUUUAUUUUGGUGCUAUGUACACCUUUGUCAUGUAAUAUUUUGACACAUAUGAUUGUUCUUGGUUUGCACAGCCCCACUAUGUUCAAAUCCUGGCUCCGCCCCUGGUCGAGAACAGCUGCGAGCGAAGGAAGAAGCAGCGACGCGAGAGUGCCUACAUAAGCUAAGCUAGCUAGGUGGGCGGUGGUUUUUGGACCACCCUAAAAUUUAGUUUAAGGUUAAACUAUAAUAGAUGAGCUUUUAAAACUAUAAAAGUUACACAUAAAUCACUUUAUAGUUUGAUUUUACAUCUAAAAUAGACCAUCCUUGUUAGAGCAACUCCAGCAGUAGCCUCCAAAACAGGGCUCCUACUUUUUAUUUGGGUGCUUCUCUACUUUUGGGUGCCUAAAAUUUUUUACUUCCACUCCAACAGUACCACCUAAAUGAAGGCCUCCAAAUCUAAACUGGUAGACAAUGACAUGUGGGACCCACUCGUCAUUGGGUCAAACAUUUCACUACCUCAUGACCACAAGAAGGGGAGACUCGACGCUCGCGAUAACCAUGGCUGGGGCUGCUCCCGCUCAUCGAGGAGAGGCCACUCUCACCGGAACGGAUGGCGGCGAGGCCCAACGGUGGAGGUCGGAGGUGGAGGGAGGGAGCGCGGUAAUGAAAAUUAGCGCCGGAGGGAGAUGGGUGAAGCUGUGUUUGUUCGGUGUGAGGAGGUAAUUGCCACACCACGCAGGAUGGGGCUGGGCUGUUGGGCCAACAGGAAUGGAGUCUGCAGGGAAGAUUUGGGUGCCCACCCCAAAUUGGGGGCUCUAGUAGAGGCCAUGCUGGAGUGCUGUUUUUUUUUGCCUGGACAUCCAUAUUUAACUAUAGGGGCUCAAGUAGGAGCCUGCUGGAGGUAGAUCAUAGCCAGGCUACGGACCCUAAACCCUCGACCUCACGGCUUCUGAGCGGGCAAGCACACCUUCUGGGCUGAGGCCCACAGGGAAAAAUGGUUGGCCUUGGUCUAAGAGAGAGGGACGGAGGUAGGCUCGGGGAUCUUUCGGCCUAGAUGGAAUGGAUGGCGGGACAGAACGUAAUUUUUUUUUGUGGGGGGAGGGAAUCUAGAAGAAAGAAAGAAUUUUUUUUAUAUAGUUUUGGCCCACAACAGGUUUUAGAAUUUUGCAACUAAGGUCUUGUUUAGUUCCGAAUUUUUUUUGGAUUUUGGCACUGUAGUAUUUUCGUUUUUAUUUGACAAAUGUGCAAUUAGUUUUUAUUUUUUCGGAAAUUAGGCUCAAAAGAUUCAUCUCGUGAUUUACAGUCAAAUUGUGCAAUUAGUUUUUAUUUUUAUCUAUAUUUAAUGCUUCAUGCAUGUGCUCCAAGAUUUGAUGUGAUGGAAAAUCUUGAAAAGUUUUUGGUUUUCGGGGUAAACUAAACAAGGCCUAAUUUCCAAACCUAUUUUUAGAUGCCAACAUGGAGGCCAAAACAAUUCUCGAGACAAGGAUAGCUAGUGGCUGGUGCGAGCAGGCUCAGGCUAGAUGAGCUGCUGCCGCCGUCCGCAGUCAGGGGCCUAUCGUUAGCGUCCGUAGUGUCAGCGAGCCCCAUGUGUGUGCUACCAGCGGUGCGGGAGCAGGCCGGUGCAAGCACCCGCACACUCAUCAAGCGUGUGGUGUGCAUGAUCACCAAAUGAACCCGGCCCUGCAGAUCCGGCAACCCCGACGCGACGCACAGCCAAGACGACAACCACCCUAUCCCACUGCAGUACAAAGAGCCGAAGGGGGAGAUGUAGAGGCACCACCAUUGUUUCGCUUAUCUGAAAAGUCAUGGCUAAUAGUACUGUUUGCUAAUAUAUUAUGAGAGAAAAACACUAUUAGCGAUAGAAAAAGUAUAGCUUAUAAAACAAAUGAACCAGCCCAUAUCAUCUCCACUUAGUUUCCCCUUCUAGCUCCACCACCUCUUGAUCUUGUACACCAUUAUCAUCUUUUCCUAUUCUCAGUUGAGGAGACCAGCCUAUGAAUUCUUGUGUAUAGCCUGCGUAUGGUCCAUUAUAUAGGUAUCUAAAUCCCGUUUUCUAGAUUAACAUCUAUUUUCCAGCCCAGAAAUGGAAGUUACCACAACAGGUGGGUAUUUGAUAAACAAAGUUCAUACAGAAAGCUAUUAAGUUACACACUCAUACUACAAAGACAGUUUACAACUUAGGUGAUACAAAGAUAGUUCUAGAAAACCAAAUCCUUAAAGAUGAAGGCGCAAGAAGUCCUGGAAAAUUGACUGGUUAAAUCUUGAUUCACUUGAAGAUCUGUAAAUAAUGAUAAUGAUAAGUGUAUGACUUGGAAGCUCUGUAAGUAAUAAUAAAAGAGUAUCACUAGUCAAUGAAAAAGAAGCAAUAUGUCCACUACACUUACUAAAAACAUGCACAAUAUCAGGCCAGCCCAAAAUACUCCAAGACGCGCUGAAAAUAGCAGAGGUAGGUAUCAUAGGUGUUAAAAAAAUCUCAUAGGUAGAAAACAUAGAGACUUACAUGCACAAUAGAUUUAUUGAUGCCGCAAUCUUCACCAAAAAUUGCAUCAAUUCGAUACUGUAGUGUCAAUAUUUCCAUAUUAAUGGUUCUGAUAUCCUUGUAAAGUUUAUUGAGUCUUCUUCUGCACUCAUUUAGUUGACUCAUCCUUACAUCUGAUGAAGCUUGACUGCUAGAGCACUCAUCUUCUUCACUGAGAAUAUUGCCAUUUCCAUUUCUGGGAUACAACAAAAAUCUAAUCAGUAAGUCAUGGUGUCCAUGAUAGUUUCACCAAUGACUAGACAUAUACCCUCUAGUUUUGUUUGAUAGUCCAUUUCUGAGAUACACCAAUAAAUUAGCAAAUUCAUUACCUUCUAGUGUUGUUUAGUAAACAACAAAAGCAGAUACCCAGUCCAAUCACCGCAUGUAGUCCAAUCAUCAUGUUCAUCUAAGGGAAGACAUUGAAAUAAUAUCAUGCAUUGAAAUAAGACUUGGGUCUUAAUUUGCAUGAUGCACAAUUGUAAUCAUAGGACCUACCAAGAACAUGGUAGUUUGCAUCUGCAGUAAAGAAUAUUUUUCUGUUUCCACAGUUUGUAGUAUUCUGAUACACAGAAAUAAAUAGAUCAAUAAAUAAACUCAUAAUCUACAAUAAUUUUCAGUAACUAUAUACAUAGAGAAUUACCUGGUAAUGCUCAUUGAUGCCACCAGUCCAAUCAACAAUUGUACUAAGAUCAAAACUCGUAGUAUCAUCCUCUAAGGGAAUGAAACACAGAUAAAGGCAUGAGAUUAGACUAACCUUGACCACUAAACUAAGCCUUUGGUAAAGGCAACAGAUCAAGGCUAUGCAAAUAACAAAUUACUCCAUAUACUUGUUGCUGCACUUAGCUUAGCUGACAACUCGGAUGAACCACAAAAUCUAUAUUACCUUUCGUCGCAUUGCAGACUACAAAAUUUCGCCGGAGGAGAGCCCGCCGCGGGGCGCUUGAGUUCGCCGGUGGGGAUGAGUCGGCUGACUGCUCGUCUCCUCCAAGCUCCGGCUACAUGAAAAAUCAAAGCCGUAUACACCAUUCUGGGUGACUAUAAAAGAUCAAAGUCGUACACACAAAAUGGAUGUUAGUUGACCGAAACAUCCAUUCUAUGACACUAAGUCCCGUUUUUAUCCCUAUCAUCUAUUUUCGGUACAAAAUGCCGAUCACUUAAUCAGCUCAAUUUCCAUUUCAGCAUCAAACAUCCAUUCUAGCAUCCUAAUCGCUUCUAGGAUAUGAUAUAUCUGAUAAACAGAAGUUCAUACAGAAAACUACUAAGUUACACAUUCAUACUUCAUCAGUGCAUCAUAGCACUUUGGAUGGUUCUGAUUGGCUUCAUUCAGAAAGUGCACAAGCAGUUGCGAAUCAGAUACGAAGGUAGUGUUGUUGAAGUUUAGCAGAUCAUUGAUUGCGAGGUAGGAGAAUGAUCUUUGGCCAGUAGUGUGCUGGCUUGGUAGUGUCGUCUGAUCUGCAGAACAAGAGUGUGCAUAUCUUGGACCACUUGAUCACACAAAGGAUGCCCACCUGGAAGGCUUUGAGACAGCAACCCUCUUGAUGAUAGAAACUUCACACGCACUUGAGAGUUUAGCAAGUUCAAAUCCGAUUGAUUGAUUGAUAUGCAGAAUACAAAUCUGAUUGAUUGACAUGCAGACCAUAAAAAAUGUGUAAUUUUCCGAUGUCUUCUGUUCUCGAUCGAUGCAAAGCUGACAUCGACGCAGACACUGCUUCCUGUACAUGAGAGCCGCAGAUGCUUGUUCAGAACUUCAGAUUUGUACAGUGAUGAAGUGACGAUCGAUCAGCUCCUCGUCCCCGUCCAAGGUUUCCAGAAACUCCAGCUCGCUGAAGCCGCCGCGUGUUUCCGUCUCCCUGGCCCUGCUAGCCACCAGACCACUGAUCUCUGACGACGACGACGUUCCAGUCGACGCCGGCGCCGCGGCGAACUCGCGUCCACCAUGUACAUGUGGCAAUCGCAAGCAUGGGGCUUGGCCUGCAAGCGCAGUCGGAAAGAAAGCCGCGGGCGGCCGCGCGUCGCCGCACUCGUCGUCGCAGUCGCAGUGCGCGGCGGCGCUAGCAAUGAUCUCGUCCUGCCUGUCGCGGAGCCACAAGUCAAGGCUAAGCGAGGACAGCGGCGAGGGUAGCCGCCUCCUCCGCGGCGUGCCGCGGCGGAGUGUCUCCUUGCAGUGGGCGAUGGCGCUCGCCACGGCCUCCGCGCGCUCGCGGGCCGUGUCGUCGACGGCGCCCCUGCGUGGCGCUGCCGCCGUUUCCUUGUUACCGGCCCUGGCCUUCCUCAGCCGCCGGGAGAUCCACCGCAGGUGCCUCCCCACCGCGUACCCCUUCGGCGCCACGCUCGCCGCCGGCGCCGCAUCCUCCUCGGCAUGGAUAUUGGACGCGCGCGCGAGGGCUUUGCUGGAGGUCCACAGCCGCAUCCCAGCGCCACCCGCGCCGAAGCACAGCGCCGAGGUGGAGGUGGAUGGGCUCCGCGGACCGGGUGUGCUGAAACUGAAGGCGUCGGCGCUCGACGAGGAGGACGCCGAUGAGGAGGAGCCCGAGUCUGUUUCCUUAUUAGUGCCGGCGCCGCCGGCCGCGCGGAACGACGGGGACGACGGCGAUGGGAAGUCAGGCUCGGAGGGUGCAGGCGUCGCGGCCGUGGCCACCGUCGUCGUGCCCACGGCGUACGGGGACAGCCAAUUCAUGGCGGCGGCUAGUGAGUGCCGGUGCCUCUCGUAGGAAUGGAGUUGGAGGAGUGCGUGUGCAUCGAUCGGUGCAUGCAUGGCAUUGUUCAUGGCAUGGCGGCGUGUCUUUAUAUUCACGUCGUCAUCAUUCACGACGGUGCGUCCUCCUGGAGAGUGGCAGAUGACAAGCAUUCUUGCCAGAAAUGGUUCGCUUGGGGGCGUGUGAGUAUAUGGAAGGUCCUUCCCAAAUCCAUGGCAGCAACAGCCAGUAGGGCAGUACUGUCAUUCCAUAACAGCAACACGCGUUCAAGGUUGGAAUUAAUUUCUGGUGGAGCAUGAUUUGCAAUCUUGCAUUAAUACGUCAUUCUUCAUGACCAUGUAUUUGAGUGAGGAAUUAUAUUUCCAGCACAGAAAUUAAAAUUAUGGGUACCGAUUUGAGGGGACCCGGCAAACAGUGAAGAGGAGCCAAAAGUGAUUCCAGGAAUAAAAUGUUAAGGAGCAAAAUGCUUGAGUUGGACACAUGAAAUGAAUUAUGCAAUGCUUGAAUUAAAAGUUGUGCAGCAAAUGGAUUUAAAUAUAGUAUUUACAAAAGUUGUCCUCAAAACUUUUUGUCAAUUACAAAGUACAAAUUAAUAACCUACAGCCUACUAGCGUAGUGACAUCAAAUGCUUUCCGAAUUAUUAAGAGCAAGUUUGGCAUACCACCACCCCUAGACCCAAGCAUGAUUUGAUGUUAAUCAGAUAGAAUAAAGUAUGUGUUUAAUCAAAUUUAAUACACAUCUCCUAUAAUUCAGGAGCCUGAACAGUUUUGUCCUUGUCUUUCCAUAAAAAAAUUGUAAUUUGUUUAUUGUGAUAUGUGUUAAUAGAUUUGGGCUGUUGGAUGGAAAUCUCAUGGUUGUAAGCUAUCGCUUGAAUAGAUGCUAUAUUUCAAGCACCUUAAAUAUAUAGCAUUUCAAAAUUUUAAUAAAAAUUGCUUAACUAAACUAAAUAUCUUCAGUGUGCCACAGCCCUCACCUCCAGCUCCAAGAAUUUUUGGAGCUAGACCGGCUCAGAGCGUGCUUACGCCUUUGUUAGAUUGAUGGAAAAACAACUUAAGCUGUGAUUAAUUAUGUAGCUUCUGGAAUACGUUCAGUGUUGAGCUGACACGAUUUUUUUUUAAUUCAUAUCUAAUCGUGCUUCCUUUCCAUAUCCAGCGGACUCUGCUUCCAGGACACAUGAGAUGAGAUCCGCUUCUUCAGAUCUCCAGUGAUGAAAUGGUGAUUGAUCAUCUCCUCGUCCCCAUCGAAUGUUUUCAGAAACUCCAUCUCGUCCAAGCUGCGGCUGCUCAUCGACGAUUCGCCACGGCAAUCUGCACGAAUGCAUGGAGAGCCAAUGCAACGCAUUAAACGAUAGACGAUGCCAGUGCAUCUGGAUUGCAUUCCAUGGUAUGCCGGCCGGGUGGCUAGCACUAGCAGAGACACCUAGUACCGUGGCCGUGAUGCGGUUCCGGUGACUCCUCGUCGUGCACGACGGCGCACGAGGCGGCGGCGAGCGAACUGUCCCGGCUUGGCGAGGCCGAGCACGGGCACGGCGACUCCUUGAAUCGCUUCGCCAUCGUCAGCAUCCCGAGGCCGGGCCAACCGGCGGCCCGGCGAGGACGCGGAGGUGAGGGCCCUGGGUCACUGCAGUCGUCGCAGUGCACGGCGGCGGUCGCGAUGAUCUCCUCCUGUCUGUCGUGGAGCCACUCGUCUAGGCUAGGCCGUGUCAUCAGCGGCGGCGGCCAUGGGUGAUGGUGACCCAUUACCGUCGCUCCUGGCCUUCCUCUGUCCCUGCCGAUCACGUCUCCUUUGACCUUGGGUGCCGCAUCCUGCUUCUGCGGCUGCUUCGCGGGCGCUCGCGCGCGGGAGCACCGCAGCAGCAGCCUCCUCCCGACGCCGACGCCGCCGCUAGCGCCGAAGCACAGCGGCGUAGUGGAGGGGCUCUCCUGGCGAGACCGGGACUUAAAGAAUCCGGAGUGGCGACCGUAGUCGCUCGACGACGAAGACGGGGAGGAGAGGGAGGAGCCCGAUCCGGCCGCAUUGGUGCUGGACGACGGGGACGACGACGCGCGGUCGAGCUCAGAGGAGUUGGCCGUGGCCAUCUCUACUGCAAAGCACUGGGCGCCGGGGAACAGGCACGCCGCGAGGAACUGGAUCAGCUGCAUGGCGGCCGGCGAAUGCUCGGCACGACGGACUUUUGGGUUUUAGUUUAGCGUGGCGCGGCAUCUCUUAUAUAUACAGGCAGUGAUCGAUCACGGGUCACGGCGGCGUCCCCUCCGAGAUGCCAGAAACGAACCAAGAGUGAGGCUAAUUUUUUUUUCGUGCUCAAUGCAGUACACUAAUAGAUAUAGCUAAGAUUGAUAAUUCAAUAUUGAUUCAAAGUGUUUAAAGGCAAAGAUUCAUAGAAUAAGCAUAGAAAAAUACCAAAUAUAUAGAAUCUUUUGCAAAAAAGAAAACUUGUUAAAAGAUUUUUGAGUCCAAGAGGGGGCUACAGCCACCCCAGCCACCCCCUUGGGUCCGCCAAUGCUUGUGCCUACCUAAAAAAACAAGCAUCCGGUAGUCUCGAACUGGAAGGCUCCUUCCAAUCCUUCCAAAUCCAUGGCAGCGGUUGCCUUCUUCUGUUUCCAUCUUCCAUAUACAUGGGCGUGGUUAAAUUACUCUACCAUAUUUCCAUUUCCGGAACCUAAACCUAACUAAUACUUAGUUGUUUCCAUUUGCUCAUCCGGUGAGGGCACUCACAAUGCAAGACUCUAUUAUAGAGUCCAAGACAAUUCAUUAUAUAUUAUUUAUAGUAUUUUCCUGAUGUGGCAGCAUAUUUAUUGAAGAAAGAGGUAGAAAAAAUAAGACUCCAAGUCUUAUUUAGACUCUAAGUCCAUAUUGUUCGAGGUAAUAAAUAAUUUUAGACUCUAUGAUAGAGUCUGCAUUGUAAGUGCCCUGAUAGAUCCUCAUCUUCUUCUGGCUCAACUCCCUUUUUCAUAUCCAAUGCAGGUUAGGUAUGCUUUAGCUUGAAAUCAUUAAAGAUAUGGUCGACCUCGUUUACAUCCAUGGUACCAUUGUAUGUACCUUCUACUAUCAUCCAGAUGAGAUAGGGAUUCAAAAGGUCAGAGCCAGUCUCCUCGUUCUUUUAGGUCGUUUAAUAGUUCCCCAAUCGGCUUUCUCGCCGAGAAAGCCUUCCUUCAUUAGAUUAAAAAACCACACUGAUAGAUCAUUAUUCAUUAUUAGGUCAUGUUUGCAUGCAUGUAUAUUCACUUCGCUCCACAUGUCUUGGAGUGAGUUAGAAUGUAAUUUAAUUCUACUCUAAUUCACUUCAUCACAUGUGGAUCGAGAUGAAUAUCAAUGCUUGACUGUAUAGUAGCCUUCCUAUGACUAUCUUCCAUGUCGCAGGGGCAAAGGCAGGCACGUUUGGUGCAGAGAUUGAUGACAUGGUCCAAAACGGGCUAGCCCAAUGGGCGGCACCAAACAUAGUCGUAUUAGACACGCCUUGGUAUCAUUGUUAACAAGAUCAGCCCAACCAUAGUGUUGUGUUGGGCCGCUUAUUUAGCCUACAUUGUAUGCAUGUGAAUAAAACAUUGGAAAACUUGGACCAAAACUGCGACGGUGAUGUCUUUGCUCUUUCUACUUAUAGAAAUUGCUCAGCGGCUUCCACCGUGUAAGGAAAAUGGACUAUCGACCCAUUUAGUUUGGAGUUUGGUAUUUGAUGAUCAAUAAGACCAAGUUGAAAAUGUAUUUGCAAGUGUUUAUUUUUUGAGUAAAAUACACUGACAACCCUUUAACUUGUCGCCAUGUGCCACUUUGGUCCAUGAACUUGCAAACGCGAAAAAGUGCCUCCUGAACUUGUCGAUCCGUGCCACAUUGAUCCAUGAACAUGCAAAUACGAGAAUAACACCGGCUGCAUGGCACUGUUCUGCCACAUGGCCGCCUCUGGUAGGCCAUGCAUAUCACCGUUUAUGGUGAUGAUGUCAGCACUUCUUUUUAAAUUUACGAAAUUGAUAUAUUUUUAUUUGUAGCGCCAAAUAUAUCAAUUUUAAUCGCCUCGUCGAGCUCUUUCUAAUGGUGUACUCUGUUUUGUUGUUUGAGAUAGUUUUAUUUAAACAUUUUGUACAUGUUGAUAUCGUCAUAAAACAUCUAUAAAUCAAUUUUCAUAAUUUUUUAAUAUUUAUUUUGGCCUACAAAAAAUCAUAAAAGUUGCAUUAUUAAUUAAAAGAGAUAAUUUUAAAACAAGCAAAAAUUAUUCGUUUUCUAGGUUUCAUAUUUUUCCAGCAGAGUACAUCAUGAAGAGGCUACACAAAACAUUGUAUUUUACACUUAUUUUUUAGUCCAAUAGGUUACCAACAUGACUUGGACAGAACAACAUGGUGAUCCACCUCAAGUAAGGCAUUUAGAAGCAUGUUUGAAGACUCAAUAGAUCAAGCAAAGUUCAAGCCACAACGUCAGAACCAAUCCGGACGCAAAAGAUUGCAAGAAAGAAAAAAAGGUAGGCGUCGGAUUGAUACAGUAAAGGGCGUCGGACCAGAUGUGACCACUAUAUUCACACUAUGGAGGAAACACAACAGGAGCAUCGGACCAUGCCUAGGCGUCAGACUGCUAUAGUACCAUUGGACCGCUACAGUACCUAGCUAGGCGUUGUACCGCUACAGUGUGUAGUCCGAUGGUGGUUUGGUUUGGGUUCUCCUGAGAGGUGUGCCAGGCGUCGAACGUAGUCCGUGGAUGGGGUGUCAGACUAGUCCGACAGUGAUCCCGCAUGUCAGCCUUAGGCGCACAACAACGGUUGGCAGCAAUGGCUACUGACACAGUGACCGUUGCAAGGCGUCAGACUGCUACAAUAUUAGUCUAAUGUUACAGUGCAACUCGUCUGACAGUAUGUAGAAUUGUCCAUCCAAGCUACCAAUGACUCUAUUUGCAAUGGGGGCUAUAAAUAUGAGUUCCAACCAGCCAAAUAAGGUGCAGAGGAGUAAGGAAAUAUACAAAGGGUGUUGAUACACUAUUUUCAGUGCUAUCCACAUGCAUAGUGCUUAGAAAAAAAAUCGGUGAUUAGUGUAUGUGUUUUUGCGAAGAGCUUAGGUUAGUUAGAUCACACUCGUAUGCGCUUGCUCUAGGUUUAGGUAUAGGUUGAGUGAGGUUUGCACUCCUCUUACCUUUGUUGAUUGUGUGCACCAUUGUUGUACAUCUCAGAGGAUUGUAAGUCUUGCGGGACAAUACCAAUUGUGUUUCUGGUGUGCCUGCCACCGUGUACGGAACAAGGUAUGUGGCGUUUUGGCCAGAAGCUUGAUAGCGAAGACAACGGAGAGCAUCUAGGAGAGGCUUAGCAGAAGGCACGUCAAAGACCCACUUGCGCGUGGGAAAGGUCCUAGGCUAUCCACAAAGUUACCCGAUCAGGAUUUUGGCUCUUGCGAGGGUUACAAAGACAGGGAGAAACAUGAGCUUCUUAAUACCUCGGUAAAAACACUAGAGUCACUGAUAGGAGUUUGCAUCUCUAUUGUUCUUUUAUCUUCCGCAUUAUAUUAUGUAGGUUAGUUAUGUGCUUACUUUCCUAACUUAGUUUGAUAGGCUAGUUGAUAGAAUUGGAACCUAGGGUGCAUAACUCUUUUGCGAUAGAGAUAGCAGCACACCUAGCAAAAUCAUAGGGCCUGUUUGGUACAGCUCACAACAGCUUCAUGAGCUGUUGUGAGCUGUUUUUUUUUUGCCAAACACUUAUUUCCAAAACAGCUUCAUGGGUGAAGCUGUUUUUCCCCUCCUCUCACAAAAACAUAAGUUGUAUGAAGCUGAAAAAUAGUAGCUUAUUGUAGCUUCUCCCUCAUUUCUCUCUCUCAACUAUGCAUGAAGUAGUUGGUGAAGCUAUUUUGCCAAACACUUUUUCCAAAACAGCUUAGCUUCAUCUAGAAAGUCACUCAUGAAGCUAUUUUCUAAAAAAACAGCUUCACUAGUGAAGUUGAGCUGUGCCAAACAAGCCCAUAGUUGCACAAUUAGAUAGUUUAUUUAUUUGCAUAGAUUUUGUUAAAGUACAAAUUAGACUCCGUAGUUGCCUAAUUCACUUUCUCUCUUAGGUGUCACGGUCCUUACACAUCACUUUAUGUUCCGUUCCGGAAAAGUUUACAGUCUUGGUAUUCUUUACUGCGGUCAGGCUGGUAUUUCAUUCCCUCCAAUCAGAAUUGUAGUUGGUGUCCAGUUAGCUCAGCCGCCUGUUCUUUGCUGCUAUGUGUUGUUUGCCAAGGAGUCGUGUUACGUGUGCGUGGAAUACUUCGGAUUUGGCCAAGGAGUCGUGUCACGUGCGCGUGGAAUACCUCGGAGACGUAACCUGUCAGUAUUCAUGGGCACAUGCUAACUGCAGCAUAUCUUUUGUUUCGCCCGACUUGGUGCUCAGAUUGCGUUGAUCACCAAUUCUCACCAGCGUUGGUGUUGAUUGGUGAAAGGGAGGCAGAUGGAGUCAGUCGCCGUGGUGACCGUUCCCUUCCCGGCGCAGGGCCACCUGAACCAGCUCCUGCACCUGUCGCUGCAGCUCGCGUCGCGGGGCCUGCCCGUGCACUACGCGGCGCCCGCGGCGCAGGUCCGCCAGGCCCGCGCGCGCGUGCACGGCUGGGACGAGGACGCGCUCCGCUCCGUCGAGUUCCACGAGCUCGGCAUCUCCGAGUACGUCUCCCCGCCGCCCGACCCCACCGCGCCCUCGCCCUUCCCCACGCACCUCAUGCCCCUGUUCGAGGCCUACACCGCCGGCGCGCGCGCCCCGCUCGCGGCGCUCCUCGCCAGGCUCUCCGCCUCGCACCGCCGCGUGGUCGUGGUGCACGACCGCGUCAACGUGUACGCCGGCGAGGAGGCCGCGCGGCUGCCCAACGGCGAGGCGUUCGGGCUCCACUGCCUGGCGGCGUCGACGCUCGCCGUGACGACGGGCGCCGGGCUCCGUCUCCUGCGUGAGCGCGGCCUGGCGUUCCUCGACUUCGCGCACUCCACGUCGAGGGAGUUCGCGGAGUACGUCGCCAAACGCGCGAUGCCGACCAAGGAGAUCUCGCCUGGCGCGGGCAUCCUCGUGAACUCAUGUCGCACGCUCGAGGGCGAGUUCGUGGACGUCGUUGCAGGCGACCUUGCCGCCGACGGCAAGAAGUACUUCGCCAUCGGGCCCUUAAACCCACUGCUCCUCCACCUCCGCGCGGACUCCCAGAAGCCGCGUCACGAGUGCCUGGACUGGCUGGACAAGCAGCCACCGGAUUCGGUUCUCUACGUGUCGUUCGGCACGACAUCGUCGCUGCAGACGGAGCAGAUCGCAGAGCUUGCAGCAGCGCUGCGCGACAGCGACCAGCGGUUCGUCUGGGUGGUGCGCGACGCAGACCGCGGCAACGAAUCGGCGGACGACGACGAGAGCCAGAACAACAGACACGCGGAGCUGCUGUCCAAGUUCACCAACCAGACCCGAGGGAGGGGCAGGGUGAUCACCGGGUGGGCGCCGCAGCUGGAGAUACUGGCGCACGGCGCCACGGCGGCCUUCAUGAGCCACUGCGGCUGGAACUCGACUAUGGAGAGCCUGAGCAACGGGAAGCCUAUCCUUGCGUGGCCCAUGCACUCCGACCAGCCGUGGGAUGCGGAGCUGGUGUGCAAGUAUCUCAACGCCGGCAUCCUUGUGCGCCCCUGGGAGAAGCACGGUGAGGUGAUUCCGGCGGAGGCCAUCAGACAAGUAAUCGAGGUUGCCAUGCUUUCUGACCAAGGAGUGGCAGUGCGGCAGCGAGCCAAGGUGCUCGGAGAGGCCGUCCGUGCCUGCCUGACUGACGGCGGCUCAUCGCGCAAAGACCUUGAUGAUUUCAUUGCUCAUAUCACAAAGUAACCGUCUAGUCGAAGUUAAAAUUUUAUCGAAUACUUUGAAAUUUGUUCUUAGUUGCCGGAUGGGCAACAAUCUCAAGCCUCUAAGAGCAGAGCCUAGAGCUAGGCGAAUAAGAGCUUUUUACCUGUAUGCCAUUAUAAAAGUUCAAAAUAAUUUGUGCAUCAUCGAAGUUUUAAAAAGCUCCCUACUACAGUUGUAUAAAAUUUUCUUUCUCCAUGUGCCACUUCGGUUAAUUUCGCUUGUAACAGCAGGUAACGGCCAGCGGAAAAGACGAUUUUGCCCUUGAUAAUAAAAUGCAUCAAAUUUUUUGUUCUUUCCUUAGGUUCACUAUAUUCGAUUCAAAAAAUCACCCUUUUCUCUGACUAUUAUGAUUCAAAAUUUUGUCAUAAUGGUACAGAGAAAAGGGUGAUUUUUUUUAAUCAUAGGAAUAUAGUGGCACACUGGCACCUAAGGAAAGAAUGAAAAAUUUGAUGCAUUUUACAACUGAGGGCAAAAUUGUCUUUUUAGUUGGCCAUUACAUGCUGUUACAAGCAAAAUUGAUUGAAGUGGCACCAGGGAACGAAAAUUGUAUACAAGGAUACUGAGGAGCUUUUUCAAACUUUAAUAGUAUACAAGUCAUUUUAAACUUUAAUAAUGGCGCACAGGUAAAAAGCUCGACCAAUAAACGUGUAAUGGGUUUAGAAUGGGUAAACAUAUACAUAGUUGUUAGCACUGAUCGGGUAAGGAGAGGAUAUCAAUUGUAUGGACACCAAUUUUUUUCCCCAAGCUACGCAUAACUAACUCGUCUCCAAACCAGCAAAACUCAACUCGCUAAGGAAAAACUCUAGACAAGAAAAACUCUAUCUAGAAAAAGAACCACAACCACAACUUGCCAAGGGCCUUAACACUGAGCACACUUACAAUAUCACACGGUCCUGUCGCUGCAACAGCCCCAUCCGUCUCUCUUUUACUAUACUAGUAGCCAUGACACAUGCCAAACGUGUUUAAAAAAAGGAUUUUAUAUGUAUAUCAUUAUAAAAGUUAAUAUUUGUCUAUAAGUCAUUAAAAAAGUUACGCUUUUAGAGGUGCCACUGUCCCGAACUCUUUUGCUCUCUACGGACUCUAACGGUGUUAAACUGCAGGUAUAAAAAGUUAAAAAUAUCCUCAUGUUUAAGUAUCCAAUUAAUUUUUUAAGCAUUUUAAUGAUCUCAAAUGUGAAAAAAACUCAAAACUAGAACUUUUUAAAAAAUCCACAGAUUAUCUAGAGCUAGACCUUUGCCAAAAAGAGGCUAAAGCUGGUUAAUUCUCUAGCUCCUGGAAGCUGGAAUCCGUUCAGUGUUGGUAAUAUACUAAGCUGUCAAGAAUUUCCUUUUCAUAUAUAAUCGCUUUCUUUUCAUAUCCGGCGGACUCUGCUUGCCCGCUUCUUCAGAUCUCCACAGUGAUGAAAUGGUGAUUGAUCAUCUCCUCGUCCGCAUCGAAUGUUUUCAAAAACUCCAUCUCGUCCAAGCUGCUCAUCGACGAUUCGCCACGGCAACCUGGACGUAGAGCCAACGCAUUAGACGAUAGACGUAGCCGGCGCAUCAGGGAUUCAGGGUUGCAUUGCAUGGGAUGCGCGGGUGGCUAGCUAGCAGAGACAACCUACCGUGGCCGUGAUGCGGUUGCGGUGACUCCUCGUCGUGCGCGACGGCGCACGCGGCUGCGGCGAGCGAACUGUCCCGGCUUGGCGAGGCCGAGCACGGGCACGGCGACUCCUUGAAUCGCUUCGCCAUCGUCUGCAUCCCAAGGGGCCAUCCGGCGGCCCGGCGAGGACGCGUCGGCGAGGACCGUGGGUCACUGCUGCACUCGUCCCAGUGCACGGCGGCGGUCGCGGUGAUCUCCUCCUGUCUGUCGUGGAGCCACUCGUCAAGGCUAGGAGAGGGUGGCGGCGGCGGCGGGGACGGCGACCGCGAGCGCGAGCGCGAAUUGCCCCGCCGGAGCGUGUCCUUGCAGUACGAGAUGGCGCGGGCCACGGACUCGGCCCUCUCGCGGGCCGUGUCAUCAACGGCGGCGGCCAUUGGUGACGGCGAUCCCUUACCGUCGUCGCUCCUGGCCUUCCUCAGUCUUCUCGAAAUCUUGCGCAGGUACCUCCCGACCACAUCUCCCUUGAUCUUGGGCGCCAUGGUCGCCGCAGCCUGCGGCUGCUGCUUCACGGGCGCUCGCGCGCGGGAGCCCCGCAGCAGCCUCCUCCCGGCGGCCGCGGCGCCGCUGCCGCCAGCGCCGAAGCACAGCGGUGUCGUGGAGGGGCUGUCCUGCCGGGACCGGGACUUAAAGAACCCGCGGUGGCCGUCGCUUGACGAUGUCGAGGACGGGGACGAGAGGGAGGAGCCCGAUCCGGCCGCACUGACGCUGGACGACGGAGACCACGACGCGCGGUCGUCGAGCUCAGAGGAGUCGGCCGUGGCCAUCUCCACUGCAAAGCACUUGGCGCCGGGGAACAGCCACGCCGCGAAGAACUGGAUCAGCUGCAUGGCGGCCGGGCGGCGAAUGCUACCGAUCGAGCACGACGGACUUUUGGGUUCUAGGCUUUUAGCGGCGGCGCGGCAUCUCUUAUAUAUACAUGCAGCGAUCGAUCACGGCGGCGUCCCCUCCGAGAUGCCUCCUUGCCUACCUAAAAAACAAGCAUCCGGUGAUCUGCAACUGGAAGGCUCCUUCGAGUCCUUCCAAAUCCAUGGCAGCAGUUGCCUUCUUCUGUUACUAUCUUCCAUAUCAGCGUGGUUAAAUUACUCGCUCACUGUUGGAUCAUUAUUAGGGUCCACGGGAAGUUAAAAAGAAAUUGGCCAAUGCAUGGCUGUAUAGUGGCCUUCCUGUGACUAUCUUCCAUGCAUAUCGCAGGGGCAGGCGCAGUCGGUGCAGAGUUUGAUGAUGCCAUGAUUCUAAUUCCCCGUCACAUCAAAUCUUUAGACGCAUGCAUGAAGUAUUAAAUGUAGACGGAAAUAAAAACUAAUUGCACAGUUUGGUCGGAAUUGACGAGACGAAUCUUUUGAGUCUAGUUAGUAAAUGAUUAGAUAAUAUUUGUCAAAUACAAACGAAAGUAGUACUAUUCCUAUUUUGCAAAAAAAAUUUGGAACUAAACAAGGCCUAGGCUAAUAUCAAUAGAAUGUUUCAUCUCUUAGUUUUCAAGACGUAGAGUUUAAUAUGAAACGGUUCUCUAUUAGUAUAUAGUUUCAUCAUUACAGAUUUACAGUUAUAGAUUUAAAUCUAAAUAAAUCUAUAACUAAGUUAUAAAUGAUCUAAUGCCUAUAAAAUUUUUUAAUAUAAUUUAAGCAUAUAAUAAUUAGCCUACUAUAAAAGUUUUAGUAUGAUUAGAUCAUAGAAACUGCAAAUAUGAAUUAAUUAUAGAAAAGCAUAGACCUAAAGGUACAGCAGAAACUUUGUACUAAAAUAUAUCAUGUUAUAUGUUUAUUGUGUAGAUCUAUCCAUCUGAGUCCAACAAAAUUAAAUUUUUUAUUUUAUGAUUUUUUGUGAUUUACUAUAAUUUUUUAAAGAUUCAGCAAAAUAAAUAAAUAAAAAAAGACAAAACCGCAUUCAAAACCGCCUACAACUAGACCACUGAGGUAAAAUAAAUAGUUUUAGAAGUUGAGGGACGUGAUUUGCCCAAAUUUGGAAUUCAUAAAAGAAAAAACUGACUUUUACAAAAGUGAGCUAAUAUGGACUUUUUCCCAUUGUUAAUGUCAGCCCAAGCAUAUGGACUUUUUCCCAUUGAUGAUGGGUUGGGCCACUCAUCAGCCUAUAUUGUCCUCAUGUGUGAAUAAAGCAUUGGACUCUCCAUUGGGUCCGUGCACGACGAUGUCUUUGGUCACUUUCUCACGACACGCAUCUCACGUGCAUUAUUAUGGCCUUGUUUAGUUCGCAAAAAUUUUCAAGAUUCUCCGUCACAUCGAAUCUUUGGUCGUAUGCAUGGAGCUUUAAAUAUAGAUGAAAAUAAAAACUAAUUGUACAGUUUACCUGUAAUUUGUGAGAUGAAUCUUUUGAGCCUAGUUACUCCAUAAUUGGACAAUAUUUAUCAAAUAAAAGCAAAGGUGCUACAGUAGCCAAAAACCUUAAAUUUUGCCAACUAAACAAGGCCUAUAUAUAUGUCGACGCCGGAAUUUCACAGUCACACGCCACUUCCUGUACGAUGCAAGCACACGCACGUGCCAUCAUGCUCGUACACCAUAGUGGGCCUAGUGGCCUGCAGUUUUCCGCGUGAACUGAGCAGCUCGCUUGCACGGGCGCACCGCGCACAUCACACUCCAUGGCGACGUGUUCUCUAAAUCUAAACAGCGAGGUAUACUUAUACUGUUCAUAUCAGACUAGCUACGGUCAGACUAGCGGCCGAGUCGUAGAUAAACUCGUGUAUGGAUAAAUUUUCUUGUGCAGUGUUCUUUUAGCCUGAAUAUCCCAUACGAUAUUUUUUGGAUGACAAUUCUCCAAUGUCUCAAACCUAAUUCGAAUCUAUCACCACCAUGUUCUGCCUUAAAUACUACUCCCUCUAUUCUAAAAUUAUAAGAUGUUUGACUUUUUAUCACAAGUUUGAUCACUCGUCUUAUUCAAAAAAUUUAUGCAAACAUAGUCAAAUUUAAGUCAUUCUUGAAGAAAUUUUAUUAAUAAACCAAGCCACGAUAAAAGAAGUGAUAUUUUUCACAAAUUUUUUAAUAAGACGAAUGGUCAAACUUGGUGUCAAAAAAAUUAAGCGUCUUAUAAUUUGGGAUGGAUUGAGUAACUGUGUAUAUGAACAAUCAACCAUGUACAAGACAAUUCAUAAAUUAAUUUAGAAUCAAUCCCAACAUCACUUGCUUUAUUUUAAUGUACUUCCUAUAAAUUGUAAGUUAUUUUUGUUUUUUCUACUAUGUAUCUUGAUAUAUACUACUCCUCCGUACUCACAAAGAAAGUCGUUUUGGAAAGGUUUGGGUUAAACAUUGGGAAUAUAAAUCAUAAAUAAUUUUUAAGUUGUUGAGUUUGAAAAUGUAAAAACCAUAUGAAUAGAUUUGUCUUGAAAAACACUUUUAUAAAAUUGUACAUAUACACUUUCUCAUAUAUAUUUUUAUAAAAACAAGGAGUUAAAGUUAGGCUUUGGAGACCGUGUUACUGUCUUAAACGACUUUCUUUAUAAGUAUGGAGAGAAUAUUAUAUCUAGAUACGACAUACCAAAAACUAUAUAUUUAGAAAAAAUAGAACAGAGAAAGUACUAGAAACCAACAUAUUUGUAGUCUUGUACAUGAACAAAUAUCGUGUACUAGUUACUUUAUAAAACUAUUCAUAAGACGCUUUAAUAUUUCUACUAGAUACAUAAUUAUUUUUUAGAUAUAUCCGGAUGCUGCGUAUAUCGAAGUAGUAAAAGUUCUGAAAUUUUUUUGGUUUUCGAUACUUAUAGCAUUUUCGUUUUUAUUUGACAAUUAUUGUCCAAUCAUAUAAUAACUAGACUCAAAAGAUUUAUCUCGUGAUUUACAGGCAAAAUUUACUGCAAGAUCGAUGCGAUAGAGAAUCUUACAAAAUUUGUAGUUUUUUUGGUAAACUAGACAAAGCCCUAGUAGGAAAGCUAAAAACGUUGAAUAAUUUGGAUGGGAGGCGGAGAUUUUCAUCACACGAUCGAUACCAUAAAUAACCCGUUUCUGCAUAUUUAGAUUGAGCUGUCGCUCUCAUGUCUUCUGGUGGAGCCACAGGGUAGCAUCCGCGAAGCACUUCCUGUACCUCUCCAUAGCCGCCGGCUGCAGAGAGACCCCCACCUCUAUCCCGCCGUCGCCACUCCGGCUCUCCGCCACCGCCACUGCGCCGGUCCUCGCCACGGACACGAUGUCCACCUUCGCCGGCCGGCCGAAUCCGAAGUCCAGGUCGUAGACGCGGAACCUCGGCGAGCCGGCCACGGUGAGUAAACCCAUCGGGAGCACCUCCCUGAUGCGGUCCAUCCACGCGUCCAUGCUCGACGUCCCGAUGUCGCGUACAGCUUCGUCGAUGGCGGACGCGACGGCGGCGCACGCGCUGAAGAGCCCUCCUGCGCCGGCCGCGGCCAGCUCGCCCGUUGGUGCCAGCGCGAACGCUGGGCCGACGCAGUUGCCCAGGUACUUCUCCGGCAGGGGAGGCUUCAUCCGCGACCGGUGGUCGACGGGGAAGGCCAUGCAGGCCAUCGAGCCCUCUCCGGCGCCGCCGCCGCUUCCCUCCUUGCCUCGCUGGUAGCACGACCAGACGAGGCCGAAGGUGGCAACGAGAGACGAGCACCGGGGCGGCGCGACGCCGCGCCGCGCAGCCUCGUCGGCCACGGCGUCCUUGACGCGCUUGAGGUCGUCCUUGGACAGUGUGAACGUGGCGAAGAGCUGGUCGGCGGACAUCUUGACGAACUCAUACUCUUCACUGCUCGGCGCGGUUUGGACAAAGGCGUCGUACAGGCGCCUUGGGUCGGCGAGGAGAGUCCGGUCGAUGACAGGCGGCGGCGGCGAUUCGGCGCCGCCACCUCUGCAGGUGGCCGCCCAGGUGUGCAGGAAGUGCGUGGAGCCCGAGCCGUCGCAGGCGGCGUGGUGCAGGGUGACGCCGAUGGCGAGGCCGCGGCGCGCGGGAAGGAGCGUGGCCCGAACGGCGAGCAGCCUUCCGCCCCGCGGCAGCGUCGGCACGAGCGCGGCGAUCUUGGCAACCUCCCGGGGCUCGUCGGUGGCGAGGGCGUCGAAGUGCGCGUCGCCGUCCACGUCGUCGUCGCACUCCGCGACGGUGAAGGUGACGGCGUCUCCCGGGCGGUAGUGCAGCUCGUAGCGGUCGGACGUGCCGGGGGUGAGGCGGACGCGGCCGGCGAGCGGGUAGAAGGCGGCGAGGGCCUUGUGCAAGGAGCUCCGGAGGUUGGAGAUGAUGGCUUCGACGUCAGCGUCGUGGGCGAGGCGGUAGAGGAAGAGGCGCUCGACGGGAUGGGACUGGAGCCAGAAGACGUCGAAGAAGGUGAGCGGGAGGGAAGUCUCCGGCGGUGACGGAGACGGCGGCACGAGGGUGGUGUCGUGUACGUGUACGCGGAGGCGAGGAGAUGUCGAGCCCGUCGUCGAGGAGGCCCCUGCCCCUGCCCCUGCAGGUGGCUGCUGCUGGUCUGGCGCCAUGGCCAUGGAUCAACGUCGGACGAGCUUGCGCGGCAGGCAGUGGGCAGUGGGUGACAAUUGGAGAGCUGAAUAGUUGUAGUGGACAGAUAGAUAUACCAGAUGAAAGGAGAAAGGCCAUGCGAGGUUGAUAUAUAGGGUCAGUGGUGGUUGGCUGCUGAAAAUUUGCCGCCUCCAGGCUCCAGCAGCCUCCGGGUCCCGCCGUACGUCCCGGGCUUGUUCCUAACAGCUACCUUCGCAAUGAUUCCAAUCUUCUGGACGGAACGUAACGUCAUCCAUGACCACAGAAAAAAGCACCUCAAUUUGGGCCUUGUUUAGUUCACCCAAAAUCCAAAAUCUUUUCAAAAUUUCCCGUCACAUCAAAUUUUUCGGUAUAUACAUGGAGCACUAAAUAUAGACACAAAUAAAAACUAAUUGCGUUAGAUGAAUCUUUUAAGGCCUUGUUUAGUUGGCAAAAUUUUUUGUUUUUGGUUACUGUAGCAUUUCGUUUUUAUUUGACAAACAUUGUCCAAUCACGGAGUAACUAGGCUCAAAAGAUUCAUCUCACAAAUUACAGAUAAACUGUUUAGUUAGUUUUUAUUUUCAUCUAUAUUUAAUGCUCCAUGCAUGCGACCAAAGAUUCGAUGUGACAGGGAAUCUUGAAAAUUUUUGCGAACUAAACAAGGCCUAAGCCUAGUUACUCUAUGAUUGGACAAUAUUUGUCAAAUAAAAACAAAAAUGCUACAGUUCCGAAAACCAAAAAAAUUUCAAAAUUAAACAAGGUCUUGUUUUUAAAAAAGAAAAGAGAGGAGAUGACAACUGAACAUCUUUCUCUCUUCCAUCUAUUUUAUAUACUCUCUUAAUUUCUAAAUUAUUAGAUAUUUUGCUUUUUCUAUAUAUAUAUAUAUAUUAUGUUUAGGCAUAUAUUAUGCCUAUAUUAUAUGCAAAAAAUAUAUUUAAAAAGUUAAAACAUCUUAUAAUUUAAAAUUAAAUUAAAGGAGCAGUUUAUUUUCUUUUGUUGCACCACCUUUAAGAGUAUUUAUUGAUAUAUAUCUAUAUUUAGGUCUACCAAUAUGUAUAUCUAUAUUUUAUCUCGCCAUUUAGCUGUCCAUAGUCCACACACCAUCCACUAGCACAUACAAUUAUGUCUUUCUUUAAGCUAUUCAGUAAACCAUAUCAUUCGCUAACAUAUAUUUAGUUGACGAGUGUUAAAUCAUCUACUAACAUAUAAUAUUUAUUUAUAUAAAUAAAUGUAAGUAGUUCAAGUGUCAUUUGCACAACAACGCGCUAAUUUUGUCAUAAGGAGAUGAUUUUUCAACAACUGGAUGGGUUUUCUAGUACAAUAUUUCCUCCGUUCACAAAUAAAGUCAAUCUAACUUGUUCUAAACCAGACCUUUUUAACUUUAUUAUUUAUCAAAAAGAUGCGUUCUAGUCAGACUAAAAAGAAUUGGAACUAAAGUUAACAAAGUUUACUAUGCAAUUGUAUUUGUCAUUGGAGUUGGACUUGACCGUGCUGUUUGCAGGCAAGUUGUGGCAAUAAUCCUUUAGCAUGGUCUAAGACAUAAUACCGUGCGGGGCCGUGUUGUGUCUAGGAUCCCAACAAAAUAAGCAGGACACACCAUAUUUUGUAUUGACACAACUCACAUUUUGAAUCAUGUUUGGACCAACAUGGUAUGAAAAUAGCACAUAAGCACAUUAUAACGCUACAAUAUAGUGCGUACCUCUUCUCUAAUUCUUAAAUGGAUACAAAAAAAUCAUUAUUUUUUAUAAAAAUAGUAUAUGCAAAAUAUAUCUUAUCUUAUACUUUUAUAAAGCUAAACCCCACUAGAGAUUUCUCUCAACAUGCAAGCUAUCCACAUCAACAAUCCACUAAAACUUGCAUUUAUAGCCAACUAGCACAUAUAAUUAUGAUAGUCAUCUCUUCAUCUAUUAACAUUCAUUUAGUUGUUCAUAUUGAUGUGUCAAAUCAUUCAACAAAAUUAAUUUAAGAUAAUUUUAUUCAUAUAACUCUAAAUAUAAAUAGUCUAAUUUCUUUUUAAAUUAUCUGAAAUUCCCACAGUAACACGCGGAGUAUUCUUCUAGUUUUCUAUAUGCAAGUUGACCAAGAAAAUAAGGAAAGAUAUUUUGUGAGCCCAGCUUAAGCCAACACGGUACGAAGGAGACCGGGCAUACUUGCGCUAAAACAAAGAUUUAUGAGCCCAACAUACUCAUGCAAUAAAUAUAUAUUUUAGGGUUGGACACGGAAUCAAGGAGGAGUGCAAAAUCCAUGGUGCACGGAAAAUAAAGCAAAAGGCAUUCUGUUUCAAAUUAUAAAUUCCUUUUGAUUUUUUUGGUAGUUUAAUUUUACUAUGUAUCUAGAUACAACAUACUAUGUCUAGAUACAUAGCAUACUCUCUAUACUAAAAUGGUUAAAACAACUUAUAAUUUGAAAUGGAGGGAGUAUUGGAAAAAACAAAAGGGCAAUUGAAAAAAGAAAGAUAUAUUCAAAAGUGAGAACAUCAAAUAUUUUAGGCUUUGUUUAGUUCCAAAAAAUUUUAGAAAAUCGACAUUGUAACACUUUUGUUUGUAUUUGACAAAUAUUAUCCAAUCAUGGACUAACUAGUCUUAAAAGAUUCGUCUCGUUAAUUCCAACCAAACUGUGCAAUUAGUUUUUAUUUUCGUCUAUAUUUAAUACUCCAUGCAUACGUCUAAAGAUUCGAUGUGAUGAAUAUUUUGAAAAAGAUUAAGUAUUUCAAGACGAAGGGAGUACCUUGCAUGCCUAAACGGUAGAAUUGCACGAAGCACAAGAGUUGCCGGCGGCCCAAAUCUUACCUAUAGUCAAAAUAAGCUUUUUUUGAACUAAAAGCCAAAGUGAAAAUAUGACUGACCUUUGGAGUUGGAGCAAAGGAACGUGCAUUUGUCAAUGAAGCGGAUCGGUGAAAAGAAAUCCGAUAGCUUCGUUGAGAUUCGUCGCCAUAGAAACGGUCCAAAAGAAAGCGACUAUAUAUCUCCUUUCGUAGAAAAAAAAGAGAGUAUCAUUACGAGAUUGGUACAGAUUAUACCUGGGCAUGCAGCCCGAGCCCGUGAGCACGGCCCGAAGCCCGUCAUUUUGGCCCGGCCCUAGCCCGGCCCGGCCCGAAAGUCAUUGGGCUCGGGCUGGCACGGCACGGGGCUGCAGGCCGUGCUUGGGCCGCACUUCAGGCCCACGGGCCGGCACGGCCCGGUCCGUCAAAUAACAACAUUGUAUAAAAUAACUCAUUUUAAUAUCUAAAUCUAUUCUCUACAUCUGUCAUAUGUAUUUGAAUGUGUUCUUUAUACUGAUGAAGUGAUGAAUUGAUGAAUGUGUUUGAAAUAUGCUUUUAAAUCUGUGUUUAUUGAUAUGUUAUUGUUCAACGGGCUAUGGGCUGGCCCGGCCUGACGGGCCCGCCCGGUACGCAAAAUGGCCCACGGGCCCGUGCCUGGGCCGGAGGUCAGGCCCGCAGGCCGGUAAGGCACGGCCCGCAGGGCACGACGGCCCCCCUCGGCCCGUUAGGCAACGUGCCGGGCCGGCCCGGUGUCGUGCCGGGCCGGGCCGGGCCGGCCCGUUGCCCAGGUAUAGUACAGAUCAAUCUUUUAUUUUUUAGAGUCUAGGAACUUAUGCUUGGGAGUAUACAACAUUGUGGGCCUAUUUGUUUUUCCUGGCUCAUAGGCCCAACCAGCCCAGCAGGCUGCAAUGCAACUGCCCCUGCGCCGGCUGGAUCUGCUCGCCGUGGCUUAUAGAAGUUUUGCGACCGUCUUCUCCGUCUCCACGACCGGCUUCAUCGCCCUCUAGAGUCUGGAUCGCACCUCACGCGAGACGUACACCCAUGGCGCUGCGGCUUCUGGGAACCAAGCUUUCAAAGCGAGUCUUGCCAUGUCAUGACCUCUUGAAGGGGCUGAGGCCGCUCCAUGCACGGCCUAUAUUAUAAGACGGCUGUCAGCUCGUCGGUAGGCGCUUGCUUGCUCUGCCUGCUGGAUGCCAUUGCAAUUCAGCCUGUGGCCUAGAUUGUUCCCUGACAGUCAGCAUCUAAAAGUCUCAGGAUUUGAUCAUUGAUUAUUUGAUUACGAUUUCACGCAAAUUCCGCCCAAACAAUCCGGCUUGCGUCAACGGGGUUUCUUCAUUUUUUCAGGUAGAGGACAGCUUCGCCUCUGGUUACCCACCUAGAGCGAAGAGGCUCAUGCCUAGUUCCCUUGCACUAUCUUUCAAAUCUUUUAAUGUUGUCGAAAAUUUCAUGCGUACUACAGCUUCGUAGGUUGCAUUAGGAUUACAUUGCAACUUAAAUAUUGAUGUGCUGGAAGGAUGAUGGGUUCUUUUUUUUUUGAGGAAACAGGAUGAUGGGUUCUCAUCUGCAAUAUUUUUGUUUGCACAGUUCAAUUAGUUAUAUGCAUCAAUUAACUGAUGUGAUCUCUCAUUGUCUGUUUUAUUUUGAUUCUGAUCACAUUUUUCACUUAUCAGGCCCUGCCCGGCACUUCUUUGAUUCAUGGAAAAAGAAACUUUGCUUCAGGCCCUUCUACCACUGAAAACGUUCUGAAGGUAUACUGUUGAACUCACAUUUCUUCCUGGAAGGGCACUCACAAUCCAGACUUUAUCAUAGAGUCUAAAGUUAUUUAUUACCUCGAAUAAUAUGGACUUAGAGUCUUAUUUUUUCUACUUCUUUCUUCAAUAAAUAUGCUGCCACAUCAGCAAAAUAUCAUAAAUAAUAUGUUAAUUAUCUUAGACUCUGUGAUAGAGUCUUGCAUUGUGAGUGCCCUAAUAAUAACAGCAUUAGUUGAACACUUCUCAAAUGACUACCAAGCGUACAGGAGGAACAGAUAAAAACGCUUGUAAGAAGAUUUGUCGGACAUGUUGUUAGGCCAUCCUCAAUGAGAGUUUUAUGACACAGUUUCCAAUACAUCAAUAUUUUAGAAACAGUGCAUAGGAGUUUUAUGAGGAUGAAACUCUCUCUACUCCCAUGAAACUCUUAUCAUCUCCCUCUUCAUUAAUAUAGCGCCACAUCAGCAUAUUUAAUGUGCAUAAAACUCUAAUGUAACUCUCAUUGAGACUGGCCUUACAGACCAUUCUAACGUCCUUGCAUUGUUGGAUAUAGUGUGAUUAAUUAAUUAAUUAAAUAAUAACAUGGAUAAAGUUUUAAUCAGAUUGCUAAAUAACAGCAGUUUCAUGUUACCAAUCUUACUGAAAAGGUUCGUCUAAAGAAAACAUACUAAUAAAAAGAUCUCCUAAGCAAAUAUUUUUACAGAAGAGAUGUCUCGCCAAGAAGUUAACUUUUGAUAGCAACUAUGAUAUAACUUGGUUUAAUGAUUGAUUGACAACUGUCGACAUGCCUCGUUACUUUCAAGACAAGAGAACCUGCUAAGCAUGCUGAAUGGUCCAACUAAUUAGAGCACUUCCAAUGGUUUGACAAUUUUGGUUUGGUAUUUGUUGUUGUUUGCCAACUCCUAAUUGCAAAUGCAAAGGAAAAAAUAUGGCCAUCCCUAAUGGUUUGUCAUUUUGGACUUGGCAAUUACCUAGUGGCGAUCGCUCAGCUGCGUGGAUGCAAUGGCCGCUCGCGUGUUUCUGUCCAGACGCGCGCGAUCUUCAGGGAGGGAUGUAGCAGACUCGAUCGGCGUAUUUUAAUCGCGUUCAGGGAGUGACGACGUAGCAGACUCGAUCUGCGUCUUUGAGUCACGGCAAACCAAUGGCGGCGCGGACUCUAUUUGGCGCGAGGACUCCCUACAACGAAGGAAACGACGCCAAAGAGACCAGGCCGCGCACGGAAUUGACGUAGGAAAACCGGCCGCAAGCGUUUGCCAAUCCAAAAGUCAACUCCCAAAUAUGCCAAGGGGAGCCUCUCAAAUGCCAAGUUUACUAAAAUGGCAAACUCGUUUGCAAAACCGUUGGAGGAGUGAUUUUUACCUUUUUGCCAAAUAACAUAAAUGCCAAAAUUAGAAUGGCAAACCGUUGGAGCAUCUCCAACAGUUAUGCAAUUGGACUUUGCAUUCUUCAAAUUUGCCAAAAACCUUAAAAAUUGCUCUCCAACAGUUUUGCAUUUGACUUAUGCAUUUUGGCAAACUUGGCAUUUGAUGGACCAAACUUGGCAUUUUUGCAUAAGCACAAUGACUUGGCAAUUUUGAUAUCCCGAGAAUCUUGAACUCCUUGUCGUGCCCGUACUCCCCACGUCGCGGUAGUUUCCCGCGAAACGACUCCUCCCCGCGCGCGACUAUUUUCUUUCCCCCGCGCGCCGCCUCCUUUUUUCUACGCGUCGCCUUCUUUUUCCCUUGCGACCUGGAUGCCGCGGUGCAGCCUGGGACUGUUGCCUCGAUCGGAUUUCGACGACCUGGACCAAGCGUCGACGUGGACCAAGCGGCGACGCGCGAGAGAAUUGGCGGCGACGGGCAAAGGAAUUGCGCGCGAUGGACGCCCGCGCGACGCGCGAGAAAAUUUUCCGCGAAGAUGAAAGAUUCUCGGACAAAAAUAGUUGGGUCCACUAUUUUGGGAUAUGCCAAGUCAAAAAUGCCAAACACUUGGAGAUGAACUUAUUUUUCCUUUGGCAAAACGUUUAGGGACUUGGCAAACUCCAACAAAUGGCAAAUUUCAAUUGCAUAACUGAUGGAGAUGCUCUAAGGCAUAAAUAGUAGAAGACUUAGUCCAAAUCCUCAUGCAAAAACAAUUUUUGGAUAUGGAUUAUGUUUCUUUCUUUAUUUUUUGAAGGAUGAUGCAAACUAGUAUUUUAGAUUAGAAUCUGGCUCCUGCUCUGAAAUAAAUAAAGAAGAAUAUUUACCUUUUUCAUCUUGCUCGGUCGGCCUUGUUUACUUUCAAUUUUUUUUUUCAAAAUAAACAUUGUAGCACUUUCGUUUGUAUUUGACAAAUAAAGUCCAAUCAUAGACUAACUAGGCUUAAAAAAUUCGUCUCGCAAAUUACAGAUGAACUAUGCAAUUAGUUAUUUCUUUUAUUUAUAUUUAAUGUUACAUGUAUGUGCCGCAAGAUUCGAUGUGACGGAAAAUCUAAAAAAAUUUGUAAAAUUUUUUGGAACUAAACAAGGCCUAAAUAAUCUUGAACUGAGAAGCUUCUGUGCUGCCGUGUUUGCCGCAGAUGAAUUCGUUCAGGAAGAGCUCAGUGCACCAGGAGAUGAUAAGUGUCCAAAGGUGGAAGCAGUAGAACGAUGAGUGCGAUUAUUGCUCAAGGUAAAUUUGUGCUCUGUACUAGUAUGGUCUUCCAUUUAAUUCUUUUAGAUUCUGAGUGUGUCUUUAUUUCUUCCAUUCACUCUUCACAGUCCGCGCGACAUUGGGAAGUUCCUUGAGCGCCUCUACACCUUGGGAACUUGGAUGUAUUGCAUCGGUACAGUUUGGAUUGUACGUGAAAUCGUCCAACUACGACGCAAGUUUAAGGCUUUGGAUUCGGAUGACCAUUAAACGUGCAAGUUCCAAUGGCCUCUUCUUCCACACCUUACUUAUAUCAUGGUUUGUACUCGAUUCCAUGUAAAGUUUUGUCUCUACCUUUUGGUCAAGACAGACCAGACAUUUUACGUCUAGGAGGAAUUGGAUUCAUUGUUUCUUGGAUCUUAAACACCACAUGUUAUUUUGACCCCAUAUUCCGUCGUCGCAUCCGCAAUGUGGCGGACCACCCAAACAAAGAGCUUACAAAAGCAUCGUGGAGAUCAAAGCAAUUUUGUGUCAGGUCUGGUUCUAGCACAAGUGCAACAUGAGCUCCAUGCAAGAUGCGACGAUAUAACAAGACAUUGAAACUUAGGUGAAUGUCAUCUCCAAGAGACUGAAAAUAUGAAUCCAUAUGGAUAAGUCGGUCUCGGCUAACUGUGUGUGCAAUAUGCAUGCCUAUCAUUGAUCUUAGAUGUAUAUAUAUAUAUAUAUAUAUAUAUAUAUAUAUAUAUAUAUAUAUAUAUAUAUAUAUAUAUAUAUAUAUAUAUAUAUAUAUAUAUAUAUAUAUUAUACUUAAUGUAAGAAAAAUAUGAGAGCACAACAAAAACAAUUUGACAUCUUACAUAUUAUGAAUCCUAUUCAUCGACCGACAAAACCUUUUCACAUAUAAUUGCAAAAGAAAAAAAAAGAAUUGUUCAUCAACCGACACAUUUAUACAAUGAUUUUUUAUACCCUUCAUCCAGUCAUAGCUAGGGGCAUAGGUUAGGGCUACCUCUACCAAAAUGUCAGGACUAGCCUCACCCGGCUGUACCCGACACGAAAAGUUACUGAGUAGUUGGAGAGAAGUUUUAGCAACUUUUAUUUUUAUUUUUAUGAAGGAACUGUUUUACCAAGAUGAUGGAUGAGUUUUUUUCCUUGUUUUUUAAAAAGUCAAAUAGGGAGUUCAUUUAGAGCAUCACCAAUAGUUUUUCUUAAAAAAACAAUUGAUAAAUCAAUGAGUUGUUUUUCAAGUGCCUAAAAAGAAAUAGGCACAUAUGUUUCUUCAACCGUUUUUGAAAUCUCAACCCUAAAAUAUAGGAUAAUUUUGUAUUAAGAAUCCUAAACUAUUUUUAAAUUAUCAUAACCAUUUAUUUUCCUAAGUGCGAAAAGAUUGAGAGUUGAGAUAAGAAGUUGUUAAGAGCAAUUGUUUAAACCUAGCUAAAAAAAUCAAGAUUAGGAGUAGUGGGAACUCUCGGAGAUACUUCUACAAAGUUCAUGGAGUUGCUCGCUAAAGCCGAAAAAACGAGUCAAACCAUUUUAGAUUUGAUCAUGUCUAUUAAAAAUAUUAAUGUUAUUUGGCACCAAAUAGAUUAGAUUUAUUAUAAGGUAGUAUAUUUUCAGUUUAUACGUAUUCGGUAUCACUAUGUACUAAAAAUGGUAUAUGAGGGAGUGUUAUGAGUAUUUUUAUAAAUUUGAUCAAACUAUAGAAUCCCUGAUUUGACUUAGAAAUUAGGAUAGAACUAAAACGGUACUUCUUAAAUAUUAAAGUAUAAGAUAUUUUGUUUUUUCUAGAUAUAUUAAUCUUGCUCUAUAUACAUGUAGUAUGAUAUAUAGGAUAAAAAUGAACGGGGUAUUUUUCGUUGUUGACGGAGAUAGCAGAAACUGUGCCAAAAAAAAAAAAGGGUGUGCAAUCACAAUUCGACAGAGUCGGCACACCUGAUUUCUUUCAGAUACUACACCCGGGCUGAUCGAUCCUCGGAAGAACAGGACACGUAGGAUCGGGUGCGCUCCCACUUUAUCCCAUUCGGCCAUCGUGCCACGAGCUGGCACGGCAGCGUCAACGCUUUUUGACGCGUUCGGCAGCCACCUCGCGUGGGUUGGAGCCAAACUCCACGGCCGCACCACCCCCUGGAGCUCGAGUCGAUGUCGAGCACUCGAGCUCAGGUAAAAAAGCCCAUUUGAAAACUCUGUUCCUGUUUCCACACAGUGAGGCCACGUCGUAGGGUUUUGCUUGCUUCGCCCGGCGGUAAAGCGGAGCGCGGCGACCGCCGGCGCCCGGCCAUGGAGAUCGGGCAGUACCCCGUGAGCAGCUGCUCCAAGGAGCACCAGAAGAUCUACCAGGAGUGGUUCGCGCUCGCGGACGCAGGUCCGAUUCCUGCCCCCCACCCCCUGCUCUCCUCUGCUCUGUUCCCCCUCGAUCCCCAAUCCCCUUCCCACUGUUGUUCGCCUGGCCCUGGAUGUGUGGUCUUCUAAUCGACGGUGUUUGCAGAUGGGGAUGGCCGCAUCACAGGACCCGACGCGAUCAAGUUUUUCGGCAUGUCCAAGCUCUCCCGCCCCGACCUCAAGCAGGUGCGCUGGCUCUCGCUACUAAUCCCCUUCCUGGCUUUGUUCUGCUUGCGGAGCUAUUGGUUUUUAAUGUAUGUGCCAUUUUUGUCUAACCGUGCUGCGAUUCAAGGUCUGGGCUAUCUCGGACACCAGACGGCAGGGGUACCUGGGUUUCCCUGAAUUCGUCACGGCGAUGCAGGUUUUCCCUCGUCUAUUUGAUGUUUUUGUUGUGCUCUCUGUCUCCACGAGGUGAUUUGGGUUAUUGUUCGUCACUAAUGGGCUUGUUUAAAUUGGCAGCUAGUCUCUCUGGCACAAGCAGGGAAUGAGAUUACUCAAGAUAGCCUUAAGCGAGAUGGUUGUUGCUAGCCUCCAAAUCAAGUCUAUUUGAUCGCAUUAUGCUUAUUUAUUUACUGCUAACAAGUGUAAGGUUAUAUCUGACAGAUUUGAUAAGUUUGAAUCCACCUGUUAUGGAAGGUUUGGAUGCCCUACUUGCGGUAAUGUAUUACUGUGUCCUUAUGGUGUUUCUUUAUCAAAUUUGUGCUUUUAUCUCAAUGCCUUGUAUUAACUACGAUGGCAACUGCUUUCAGAAAUCUAAGCAUUUGGUGAAGCGUGUUGAUCCAGAAAUGGAUGGUAAGUAAUGCACUCUUUAACAGGAGAUUCAUGCUUGGGGGGAAAUCAAUGAUACAAACCUAUUUUUUUAAUCCAUGCAGGAUAUCCUCAAGAACAAUCUACUUUAACGAACAAAUGGUUCAGCUCAAAGUCAUCAAAGAAGGUAAUACUCACAAUUUUCUUGUGACUUCUGUAUGCUCCUAGAAUAUUGCUCUUGUGAAUAUCUAUUGCAUACCAGCACCAAAACAACUUUUGAGGAAAAUUCUACUAUGACCUUAGUUCAGUUUUCUGUCAUUUUUACGUUAGUAAAAGGAAAAGGCAGCAAGUUUACUUGUUUAGCUUGUGUAAGCCGCCUUAGCUGGUUACCUAUUUAUUUUAACUGUAUCUGGUCUGUUAACGAGCUUGAAAACAGUAUGAUACAUGUAAGUUGUCUAAAAUGAAGCCCACAGUCCACCAAAAUGUUUGUAAGACAACAUAGCUCUCAGUAAUUGUGUUUCUGUUGUGCAUUAUUAACUUUCCAGAUUUUUUUCCACCAAUAUUAAGAACUUUCCCUAUAUCAAUAAAUGCUGUGAGUUGACCCUAAUUUUGUCAAUGUCACAUUUAUCAUUAUUGCUGAUCUUUCCUUUUAUGGUGUUACAUAUAAACAGAUACCUCUGACUGCUGUUACCUCUGUCAUCGAUGGCUUGAAAAAACUUUAUAUCGAAAAACUGAAGCCUUUGGAAGUUACAUACAAGUUCAAUGAUUUUGUCUCCCCUUUGCUGGUACACACUGUAUUCCCAGUUUCUGGAUACGUUAUGAAACAGAAAUGCUACUUUCCUGUGUCCUCAUAUGCCAUUAUUAUUGCUGUUUCCUUGUCAUGUUGUUCAAAAUAACUCCCUUUCUUGCAGAAUAUUGUUAAUCCUUUUUUUUUGGUGUUGCAGACAAGUAGUGAUUUUGAUGCAAAGCCAAUGGUUAUGCUCUUAGGUCAAUAUUCUACUGGUAAAACAACUUUUAUUAAGCAUCUGCUAAGAACAAGCUAUCCAGGUUUAUAUCUACCAGAUGUACCUCUAGUUUCCCAGGUUUGUUCAAGUAACGUGCUGUCUGACAGUUUAUGUUUUGCAUUUGCAGGUGCCCAUAUUGGACCAGAGCCAACAACAGACAGAUUUGUAGUUGUCAUGGUAAACUGAGCAAAACUUAGGAUUUCUCUUUGUAGCUAUAAUAGGUGCAUCAAAUGAUUUAAACUUCUUAUUUGAUUUGUGAAGGAAUUUUAGUUGAAAGUUGAAACGAUGAACGGAUGAAGCAAUCCAACAUUUUUCUCGAAACUUUGGAUAGGGAAUUUACAUCGUUAGUUACCUAUGCACCCCUUCUAAGAUGUUGGCUUUACAGAUGAUAGAUAAUGACACAGAAUGGAUAUGACUUUAUGCCUUUGAGUGUCGUCACAGUUUUUCCAGACAUAGUUCGUGAAAUCCUCAAGAGCAUGCAGAGUUUUCUACAUAGUAAACAGAAUGCAAAGAGUAUAAGCUGAUCUGGGUUCUCUAUUUGGGGUACAAGUAUUACAAGGAAGAAAAAAUAGCGAUGGUGCUGAUGCCAUAAUUUUCUUAGGUGCUACGGCCUAUGCAAAUUUACCAGUCUGUCAUUUCUUUGGUGGUGGUGGUGGUUGGGGGGGGGGGGGUCUUCCUGUUGCCAACAAGAACCAAAAUUAGUGUUUUUGGGAUGCAUUGCUUGUUCAUUUCUAUAAGAUGUUUGGAUCUGAUUGUCUUUCUAUGCUUUGUGAAAAUACUGUCAAUUUUCUGGUUGACAGCUGUUGCGUUGUGAUUGGCAGCCUGCACCUUUUUCUCUAAAUUUUCUCUGAAAUGCUGAGCUGCAAUUAUAUCGCCAGCUAUCAUAUUUAUGAUUGUUUCUGAUUCCUUGGGGUUUGUUGGGAAUGUUAGCUAAUGUAAAAGGUGGUAAAAGAAGCAUAGUGCACAUAUCUCCAAAUCAAUAUUAAGUUUGAGUUCAUCAUCGCUAGAUUUAUGCAAAUUCUUUCUUGUGAAACUUGCAAUAGCUACUAAGCAUCUAUUGGCACACUCUUUGACCAAUUUCAGUUAUUUCAACGCAACUGCAGUAUAAGCAGUAUGAAUUGCCUGUGUGCCAUCUAUUACAUUACCACAUGUUUUAUACCUACAAUACUUUCCCCUUUCUGUCGCUCCAGUUAACUUAUGUAUGCUUGCCAGUCAGGACCUGAUGAAAGGACUAUUCCUGGAAAUACUAUUGCUGUUCAAGCUGACAUGCCUUUUAGUGGUCUUACAACAUUUGGGACUGCAUUUUUGUCCAAGUUUGAGUGCUCUCAGAUGCGACAUCCAGUAAGAUUUAAUUUUGAUGCAAGUGAAAACCUAAAAGGCAUGUAAUCUGGAAACUGAUACCAAACAUUUACCUUGAAGCUGCUAGAGCAUAUCACAUUUGUUGACACACCUGGUGUUCUUUCUGGUGAGAAGCAACGCACGCAACGCAGCUAUGAUUUCACUGGCGUGACAUCAUGGUUUGCUGCGAAAUGUGAUCUUAUUCUUCUUCUGUUUGAUCCUCAUAAGCUUGAUAUCAGCGAUGAGUUCAAACGUGUCAUUGGAUCAUUACGUGGACAUGAUGACAAAAUUCGUGUAGUUUUGAACAAGGCAGAUCAAGUAGACACUCAACAGGUAGUAUUCGUGGAUCUUUCUGUGUCUUAAAUUCUGAUGGGGCAUUUUGCUUUUUUUUGCUCUAUGUAUUAAUAGCCCUUCUCUCAUGACAUGCAGCUUAUGAGAGUUUAUGGUGCAUUGAUGUGGUCUCUUGGGAAAGUAUUGAAUACACCUGAGGUUUCACGUGUUUAUAUUGGGUAACUUCUGAUACCUUGAUCUUCUUUAUAGCUAAAAUAUUUUGUGAUAGAUUACAUAAUAUCUUCAAAUUGCAACUUCAGAAUUUACAACUAGAGUAUUGAUGUAUUUCAUUUACCCUAUUAAAGCUUGACUCGGGUAUUACUGGAUUUCUCCAUUACUUAAACAAUAGUAUAUUUGAAUCUUGUUCUGGUAUUGACCUUAGAACAUUCAAGUGCCUGCAAAUCAUUCAAGUAACUUCCAUGUUUGUUUGUAGAUCAUUCAAUGACAAACCAGUAAAUGAAUCAGCUGUUGGUCCACUUGGAAAGGAACUAUUUGAGAGAGAGCAAGAUGAUCUCCUUUCUGAUCUCAAAGAUAUCCCCAAGAAAGCCUGUGACCGUCGGGUAAAUCUUUUCUUAUUUUUUUCCAUGUGUUUUUUCAGUCCUAACUAAUCAGUAUUUGCAUAUUAACAUCAGUAUUCUGUGCCUUGCAGAUCAAUGAAUUUGUUAAACGUGCUAGAGCUGCCAAGAUCCAUGCUUAUAUAAUAGGCCAUCUGAAGAAGGAGAUGCCUACAAUGAUGGGCAAAGCAAAAGCCCAACAACGACUCAUAGACAAUCUGCCCGAUGAGUUUGCAAAGGUAUGUAUUUUGAGGUUCUUAAGUUCUCUAGUCGAUAUAGGAUCAUUGUAGAUUGAAAAGGCGCAGAGGUCCUUCCUUAUGUUAGGUCCUCUUUUUUCUGUCAGAUGUCCUCUUACCAUGUGUUUGUGUGGGUGGGUGGUGGUGGUGGGGUGGGGGGUGCGUAUCAUGGUCUCGUGGCUUGUUUCAUGUAGCCAGCUUGCACCUUAAGUUUCGGUUAUUUUACUACUUUCACACAUUCUAAAAUAGUGACAGUAAAAGUUGGUUGAUUUCGCCAAUGGUGUGAAUUCUGGGCUCUUCCUUUUUCAUUUCAGUUGCACAGUUCUCUCUUUUCUUUUACUGGAUGCCAUGUGAAGCAUUCCCCUUACAUAUUCUUUCCAUAUAAUUUUCAUGCUCUAAUCAACAACUGCUGACUGGCGGAAUAGGUGCAACGGGAAUACCACCUUCCGUCGGGAGAUUUUCCUUAUGUGGAGCACUUCAAAGAAGUCUUGAGUGGGUAUAGCUUUGACAAGUUUGAGAAGGUCAAGCCCAAGAUGAUACAGGCCGUGGAUGAUAUGCUUGGAUAUGACAUUCCAGAACUUCUCAAGAACUUCAGAAACCCAUACGAGUGAACCCAUACAGGCAGCUGAAAGAUGACUUCGAUCUGCACCAGGAUGAGGGAUUGAGUGGGGCAUGGAUUGAUGCUGCAUUCCAUAACUUUGGAAUUGUCUGGCAACGUGAAUCAUCGCAGUGAAGGUCGUGGGGCGUUCAUUGUCAUCCAUGCUUCACCAUUAUAUAACUGUAUGCAUAAGAAUCGUAGAUCCAUUGCUCAAGCUUUCACCAGACAUCUGGUCAUGUAAAAUCGACUAAACAGUGAUAUUAGUGUUAAAGAAUAUACUAUUUAUUCUCAUUAUUUCUUCAAAUGAGUAUUUAUUCAUUUUGGAACAGCUGGGUAAUGUGGUUCGGUCUAUCCAUGAAGAAUAUUCUGACCACCGUGGGGUGUUGCCCUGAACUUGGCUCCUUGUUUUGCUUAUAUAUAGUUAUAUGUGGAUUUGUUCAUGAAUAUCAUGUAUGUUGUGUCACUGCAAAAUCAGAUAUUUUUUGAAGGACGAACCUUUGAGAAAUUAACUCAAUAAAUGCCUUAUUUGUUUGGCUGAUAAGUUGUCCUGAGAUUGGAUAAUACUAUUGUUUUUCUGCCACAAUAGAGCCAAAGAAUGAAGUGAAUUUCAUGUUUCUAUAUAGCCUUGCUACUGACGGGCGGUAGCUAAAGCUGAGCUUAAAUUUGUGCGGGAGCGUGACUGUGUAUAAUUUAGACUUGUUUAGCAGGGCUCUUCUAGAGGAGCCACAACCGUUUCAGUGAAGCCACAAAUUGUGGUUUCGCCAAAAUGGCUUCAACUCAUCUGCUUUUUACUUAAAAAAACAGUUUCUUAAAAAAAAAUUUAGCAGGACUCCUCUGUAGGAGUCAGAGCUGGAGCCAGAGAAAAACCUUGUCAAAAACAGGCCCUUAUUGAACUACAUUUCUAUGGAAUUUAGACUAGACAUACCCUAAGAAUUAUGACCAAAGAUAGCAUGUCCAAACAUAGCUAUCUUUACAUCCGGGACCAAAAAAAAAACUGAACCGACGCUAAAGCUCGGAAGUCAAACAUUCUAAAAAAAAAGCUUGGAAGUCAAACGCAGCUGGCACAAACCUGAGUCCCGCCGACGCCGGCAGCUGCCUCUCUCAAUCAUUGAAAACGUGGCAAACACAAACCACUACCACACCUCUCUAAAAAAACGAAGCAAAAAUGUAUAUGUUUUUAUAUAAAAAAAAACACACAGAAUGACGACACGGGACACGGCGACACGCCGUCACCGAACGCGCAAGUGUCUCCGGCGACCGACCCGCGGCCAGCGGCCUUGUCCAGUAGUACUCCAGUCCAACCCCCCUCUCCCGCGCCACGCCGCGCCGCCGACCCCGUCCGCGCCCCGCGGCCCGCGGGUUCGGCAUCCCGCCCCCACCUCCUCACCAAACUCCCCCAACCCGAUCCCCCCGUCCUCGCCCUCGCCCUCGCCUCGCGCCCCCCCGCACCGCGCUUGCGCAUUUGGCUUCUUCGCGGCUCCAGCGACCCCGUCCCCCGUCCCCGUCGGGCACCAACCCAACCCAGUACCCAACCCAACGCUCUCCUCGCUUCCCCUCCUUUUCCUCUGCCCAACAAUUGAUAGCUCACCUCACCUCACCUCCGCACCCGCUGUUUCGUGCACCGCACUUCACCCCCCACCAACCUCUCCCCCUCAAAAACUAUCCACCCCACCCCCACCGUCCACCCCCACCUCACCCCUACCCGCCGACGAGCGCGAUCGAUUGAUUCGCUUCGAGCCGGGCGGAGGAGGAGGAGGAGGGAGCGCCGGGCGGCGGGGGGAACCCACCAGAUCCGGCGGCUAUGAUGAAGUCGCUGCUGCCGCAGAGCCAGCUGCGGCGCUCGUCGGCGGCGGCCGCGCGGUCGUCGUCGGGCGGCGGCGCAGCGGGGGGAGACGGGGCUAUGGCCGACGGCGGCGGCGCGGGCCCGCGGGCGCCGGCCUCCUCCACCUUCUGGUUCCUGCUCCACGCGCUCUGCUGCCUCAUCUCGCUCUUCCUCGGCUUCCGCUUCUCGCGGCUCCUCUUCUUCCUGCUCUUCUCCACCACCGCGCUCUACCACUCCACCACCUCGUCCUCCUCGGCCGCGGUCCUGCGCGCCACCACGACUACCACCACAACGACGACAACCACGACGACGACCACCAACACCUUCACGCUCUCCUUCGCCGCCGCCAACACUCCCCCUUCCGGCCCCGCUAACCGCACCGCGCUGGAGGCGGCGGGCGACAACAAGGGGGCGGCGUCGUCGGGGAACCCGCAGAGCCACGUCGUGGUGGGGAGGCACGGGAUUCGGAUCCGGCCGUGGCCGCACCCGGACCCCGUCGAGGUGAUGCGCGCGCACCGGAUCAUGGAGCGCGUGCAGGAGGAGCAGCGGCGCUGGUACGGCGUCAAGGAGCCCAGGCAGGUGCUUGUCGUCACCCCGACCUACUCCCGUGCGUUCCAGGCGCUCCACCUCACCGGCCUCCUCCACUCCCUCCGCAACGUGCCGUACCCGCUCACCUGGAUCGUCGUCGAGGCAGGCGGCACCACCAACGCCACGGCGUCGAUGCUGGCGCGCUCUGGCCUCACUUUCGUCCACAUCCCCUUCCCUGACCGCAUGCCUCAUGAAUGGGCCGACCGCCACGCCACUGAGAACCGGAUGCGCCUCCACGCCCUACGGUAUGUAUGGUUUCCUACUACUGCUACCUCUUCAGCUAGCUAGUAGUAUUUGUGGAAAGAAGGUGGCUGAUGAAGGAUCAGUUUCCUUGUGCAGCGUGAUCCGUGAGAGGAAGAUGGAUGGUGUGGUUGUGUUUGCGGACGACAGCAAUGUUCAUAGCAUGGAGCUGUUCGAUGAGGUGCAGAAGGUCCAGUGGAUGGGUGCUGUAUCCGUUGGAAUCCUUGCGCAUACUGGAACGGCAGAUCAACUACGGCUAAGCGAGGAGGACAAGCAGAAUAUGCCUCUUCCAGUCCAGGGCCCUGCUUGCAACUCCUCAGGGCAUCUGGCUGGAUGGCACACGUUCAACUCACUGCCCUUCUCUGGGAAGACCGCCACAGUGGUUGGUGAGGCAGCCCCUGUUCUGCCCAGGGGUUUGGAGUGGGCUGGUUUUGUGCUGAACUCGAGAAUGCUGUGGAAGGAGGCUGAUGGCAAGCCUGACUGGGUGAAGGAUCUUGAUGCUGUGGGCGAGAAUGGAGAGGAGAUUGAGAACCCACUUGCUCUAUUGAAUGAUCCAUCCUCUGUUGAGCCACUAGGGAACUGUGGGAAGAAGGUCCUUCUGUGGUGGCUCCGUGUUGAAGCACGGGCUGAUAGCAAGUUUCCUCAGGGGUGAGUUUUUUUACAUCCCAUUAUUUGGCAUUUUUAUUACCUCUAUGCUAUUGGGAAAGAUUACACUGUUUGAUUAGCAUCCAAGAUUCGAGCAUCUAGAGUCAUGGAAACUACCUUUUUUAACCUUGUUAAUUUAGUUCUUAUCAGACUUAGCUAGGUUCACGGGCUCAAAAUCUCCAAUGAAUAUAUUUAUAUAUGUGGCAUCUGGAUAUAAACCAACUGUCUAAUAGCUACCCAGCAACUGAAACAUUGGCCCUGUUAGGCUGAGCUCCAUCUUCAAGAUCCAUGCGGACCACGCCAGGUUUGGCGUUUGUAUAAAUAACUAGUUUGUCUUUAAAUAAAAUGAGACAUCCACACCCCGACACUUCUGGUGUACACCAAACCUUAGCUCCACACGUCUUGCCAAACAGGCUCUCUGUUGCCUAUGGAUCUUAUAUGGAUUUUAUCGUAUUGAAUGUGAUUGACUGAUUGCACUGAGAUAAGUAUGUCCCAACAACUGCUUUACAGUAGUCCCUUAAUACCUCAAGUAAAAUAGUUUAUGUUGUCUUGUCACUAAGCCAGUCUGGUCUGGCCAUAAGAGUUUCCAUACUUGUCUAGGAUCUCAUAAUACCGGCAAACACUGUGAUUGAAAACUCUAUAAUCUACUUCCUGUGAAGCUCCGAUUGUAAGUAUAAGCCUAUCUAGGUCUGUCCUAGUAAAAAAGCUUCAACUUUGACAAUCAAUAACUGAAAUUUUAUGUAUGUUGACAACACAAGUAGAUUCAUUAUGUAAAAUUAAUUGUACAACAUAUAUCUCUUUUCAUUUGAUAUAAUUUUCUAUAGAUACUACCUGUCAAAGUUUUUUGUAAAAAGUUUGACUUAGGACAAAUCUCAUAUUUGGGAUCAACGAAGUAUGAAAUUUGCUUUGUGCUACUGAAGGCAUCAUGUUUAGUUUUACUUUGUACAAGGGAUUUAAUUUUGAUAUGCAGCUUAAAUAUAUUUUCUUUGCUUUGUCUACAUUGUGUCCAAUUCGUAUGUGCCUUCUUAUUGUAAACUGAUUUAGGCAUGUAACCUCUCCCAACUAGCUUUGGCACCAAAAGGUAGGCAUACAAAUAGUACAGAUAUUUUCCGUUUGUAUCAGUUCGAAUUGUUUAGAGUUCAGACCCAUCCAUAUCUGAAUACUCAAAUCGGACAUAUAUGAUGUUGAUAUCCAUUCAUAUCUUAUCCGGCACAACUAAUGCUAUUCGAAUCUAAAUUUGAGAAAUGCUGUAGCUAUAUGUAUUCAUAUCCGUAGGUAUCUGUCCGUAUCAGACCAUUUUCAUCCCUACUAAAAGGUUUUUUGUUGAUCUUAAGCUGCUGAACCUGUAAAUUUGAUGCUUGUAGGUGCUUGAAAAAAACUGGGUUCUUGAAAAUUCUAGACAAUCACUGCUUAUUUGAAGCCUACUAGAGUCUAAGAUAAGAUUACAUGCUACCGUAGCAAUUAGCCUCUUCCAUUGACAUGGUGCCACAUGGCUAAGGCACGAGAGAGAUUUGAAUAUAUCAUUAUUAACAUUAGACAGAGUGUUUAAAUUUUUCGUGUUCUGUUUGGCAUGAAAUCUAGCAUCUAGGCUGAUCUCAUGGUUGAAGACAGGUCCUCAUCAUUCUAAAAAAGAAAUGAAAAAACUGGGUUCUCAUGACAGUAGUGUCUUUGAUAACCAUGUGUCAUAUGUACCUUGUUCCUGGGACCUUGAAGGCUUGAACAGAGAAAAGGUUUUGUAAGGAAAACACUUAGUUUCAUUGAAACCAACAUAGAGUGAAAACAUUGGGUUCCGUUAGCUAAGAAAUUGGAUCCUCAUGUCUCUCUCUUGUUUAAUUCUUUUGCCCAUUUAGGUUUCCUUUUCUUUCUCAGCCACAACUAAAUACGCUCUUUUGCAGGUGGGUGAUUGAGCCGCCUUUGGAAGUCGUCGUCCCUGCAAAGCGCACUCCAUGGCCUGAAACCACCACCGAGCUUCCAUCCGAGUUGUUGGAUGACAAGCAAGAGCAGGAGGAUAGACGGCUGUCUAGAGCCAACAAAUCAUCUCGGCCCCGAGGCACCACGAAACGGAAGGCUGACCCUCAAGGGCAAGAAAACUGAUGGAGAACUUACUGGCAUUGUAAUGUAUAUCUCUUACACCCUGCAAAAAACACAGUAGGAAGCGUAUCCAGUUAAUCUGGCGGUGGCUGUGUUUAUUUUUUUUUUUCUGAUGUUUUUGCUCUUGUGGCGAUGGUCCACGCUUGGGUAUGUUAUCUGUAGAGUGCACAUUUUUAAUGUAGCUGUAUCUGUUGUGUUGUAAUGUACGCUGCAUUGGGAACUGAAAAUGGUGGCUGAAUUCUGGAAAUCUGUCGCCUUGUGUUCCUAAAAAAAUUUAAAAUUUUUCAGAUUUUACGUUACAUUGAAUUUUUAGACAUAUGCAUUGAGUAUUAAAUAUAGACUAAAAUAAAAACUAAUUGCACAGUUUGAUCGAAAUUGACGAGACGAAUCUUUUAAGCCUAGGUAGUCCAUGACCUUCUACCGGUGUUGGGAUUGGAUCUUACGAUCGGGGCAAUCGGAAGACGUCGUAUCAGCGAUGGGUCGUUUGCUGGUGCAGCCGCGGGACUGUCCUGGAAGCGUAACGCACACCCGCACCCGCACCGCGUGAAGCUUUGCGACCACUUCUCGCCGCGUGUGCACCCAGGAUCAGAAAAGCAGCAGCCAGCAGGUGCACGCAACGAAGGGCACGCGCGACACCCGGACCGCAGGACCGCUCCCUGCGCGAACGAAACGGCGGCGAGCUCCCCCGGUUUGUGUUGCGUCUGUCUCUUCACCGCCGCGGCGGCGGGCGGCAAGGCAUGCAUCGUGACUGCUCAACGCGCGUGCAUGGUGGUGUAACACCCACCCAGCCAGCGGCCAGCGCACCCUCCGUCAGGCGCGCGCACACAGCUCGCGACAAAAUCAGUUGCACGCCAGGGCGUUGGACCAACCGAAAUCUGGAGUUCUGGACUCGCUGUAAUUUCCUUCUGCUCGGCUGCUUGCGAUUAUCCAAUCAAAAAUCGUGCUCAGCUUGGAUGGGAGAAACAAAUAACCGGCUGGGUCCAAAUCCGAGGACCAAGACAAGGCACAUUUCUGAAGAUACUGUUGGACAUGUUGACGGGGCAACCGGACGGGGCGAGUAUGUAUAACUAUAUAUAUAUGAUGAUGUUCAUUUUAUUUUUGACCGUCACGGCUGAUUGGUGUCUAGUAUGGGUUUGGUUGAAACAACAGAGUACGAUUGGGAUAAUCUGUGUUCUGAAACAAAUUAUAUAUUUUCUAAAACACCUUAUUAAGUCAACCAAUCUUAAAUUUAACUAUUUUUUUAAGAAAAAGGUAACAAUAUCAUACACCAAAAUAGUAUUUUAUAAAAAUAUAUGAUAUAUCUAAUGACAUUAAAUCAGUUGAUGUUUUUUCUAUAAAGUUAGUUUAAAAUUAAAACAAUUUGAUUUAGAAUAAUUCUAGAAGUCAACGUAAUUUAGGAUGGAGGAAGUAGUAUUUUUUAUGUAUAGUGCAGACGCUUAUUCAUUCUAACUAGCCUAACCAUCCAUUUGGUUCUAAUUGAGUAAUAUGAUGAUUUAUAACUAAUGCAUUUGUUCUCAGACUUUUUGCCGAAUGUUUGUUUGUACGAUCAUCCAUAUGAAUCGUCAUAUAGGUUUGGUUUGGAUGUGAGAUUUGGAGCUAUACAAAGCAUAAGUACAAUUUAGAUGAUCAGAUUCUGAAUAUAUGUUGUGUAUUAUAGAGUGCUUGUAUUGUGGUGAUGUACUCGCUAUAAUCUAGUAUAAUUCUUCUUUGGUUUAAAAAAAAACUAAACUUAUUUUUUUGGAACCUCACGUCUAAUAUAUAUAGAUAUGAUACUGACGUGCUAGAUAGCCUCAUAUUUUGACUUGAAAAUUUUAUUCCAACUUUACAACCCAGUACUUAUCCUACUCUUAUCGACCUGGACGAUGAUGGAUUACCACUCCGUUUUCGUAAAGCACAUGUCUAAUGCAAAACUCACAUAUCAAAAUCUUGCAGCCUAGUCCAUUAAACCUGGCUUUAUUUUCUAAACUGUUACAUCCUUCUAGACUGCCACACUUAAAAACAGUUGUUUUAUUUUCUAUUCACUAAACUGUUACAUCCUUCUAGACUGCCACACUUAAAAACAGAGGAAUGUAGAAGCUGCUGUAUCUUAAACUUUGUUCAACUCUUCCCACGUGUUGAGGUGGAUCAUUCCUUCCAUUUGAAACCGUUUCAAGCUAAAUCAGAGACCGUGUCAUAGCAAGCAUCGUCGUAGUUCUCUCUUUGAGUGACAGACAGCUGAAUUGAAAUCAACACAUUAACAUGGUGGCUUAACAGCCCUCUGUUUGAGAACUCAGAACAGACAGAGACAUGCAUCAACACACGAGCUUUUUAGGUUGCGUGGUGGGGUAGGCCGUGUGGGUCCGGUCGGGCCAGUUCGUUGCCUCCGGUGGCUAUAUAUUUGAUAAGCCAUUGCAUUGGCAGACACACCAGCAGUUCAGAGAUUGUACUCUUCGUCGUCGUCGAUCACCUUCUCUUCAGCUUCUCGAUCGUCAUUUCGUGCUUCCCCGAUCGAUCGAGCUUGAGGCUUUGAGGGGAUCGCCAUGAGUUCAGCACGCUCACCGGUUGCCGGCGCAGCGCUGGCGCUGCUCGCGCUCACGGUGGCAGUAGCCACCGCGACGACCGUCGCCGCGGCGCGCGACUUGCGCUCGGCGGCGCCGCUGGAGCGGGCGGACGAGGAGGUGCGGCAGCUCUACAAGACGUGGAAGUCGGAGCACGGCCGGCCAAGAGACGGCAUCUCCGUCGCCGACGGGCUACGUCUGAAGGUGUUCCGAGACAACCUGCGGUACAUCGACGCCCACAACGCGGAGGCGGACGCCGGGCUCCACACCUUCCGCCUCGGCCUCACCCCCUUCACCGACCUCACCCUGGAGGAGUUCCGCGCCCACGCGCUCGGCUUCCUCAACUCCACUCUGCCCCGCGUCGCCAGCGACCGCUACCUGCCCCGCGCCGGCGAUGACCUCCCCGACGCCGUCGACUGGCGCCAGCAGGGCGCCGUCACCGGGGUCAAGAACCAGCUGGACUGCGGUUCGUACUCAGUCUCGAUCCAUGCUUGCCAGCCGGGGUAGUAAGUUCUACUACAAGGAUUUCCACUGAUGAUGAUCUCUGGCGUGUGUGUUGCCGUGAGGGAUGAUGCAUGCAGGUGGGUGCUGGGCGUUCUCGGCGGUGGCAGCCAUGGAGGGGAUCAACAAGAUCGUGACGAACAACCUCAUAUCGCUGUCGGAGCAGGAGCUGAUUGACUGCGACACUGAGGACUACGGCUGCCAGGGUGGAGAGAUGCAGAAAGCUUUCCAGUUCGUGAUCGACAACGGCGGCAUUGACACCGAGGCCGACUACCCCUUCAUCGGAACGAACGGGACCUGCGAUGCAAUCAGGGUCGGUACAACAUCGAUCUAACAAAUCUCAUAUAUAUGCCAUCGAUCCUCUGCAGUCCAUUGGUAGUGAUUAUAGAAAGUUUGCAUUUUGCUCAAAUUAAUGCAGGAGAAGAGGAAGGUUGUGUCCAUAGAUUCAUACGAGAAUGUGCCGACCAACGAUGAGGAGGCGCUGCAGAAGGCGGUGGCGAACCAGCCGGUCAGUGUCGCCAUUGACUCGAGCAGUCCUGCGUUCCAACACUACAGCUCGGUAACCAUAUGCAUGCAUGUAUUCAUUUUGGGUGAAGGGCAAGGAUCGCAGCACAAUCACUAAACCCUAAUUAAGCUAGCUAGGAGAUCUAGCAGCUAGCAGUAGGCGCUCGCUUUUCUUUGUUCUGAACUGUUCUUCUUGAUCGAUCGGUCGGUCAAUAAUAUAAUCUUGUGUACGUGCGCAGGGCAUCUUCAACGGGCCGUGCGGGUUCAUACUGGACCACGGCGUGACGGCGGUGGGCUACGGCAGCGACAACGGCGAGGACUUCUGGAUCGUCAAGAACUCGUGGGGCGCCGAGUGGGGAGAGUCUGGCUACAUCCGCAUGAAGCGCAACGUGCUUUUGCCCAUGGGCAAGUGCGGCAUCGCCAUGUACGCGUCCUACCCCGUCAAGAACGGCCGCUGACCGCCGACGUACGGCUAAGCCAUGGAUAGAAAAACAUCAAGAUGGUUCUUGCUGUCGGUAGGCUGCUGACCGCUUGCCCUUGCUCUGGUGCGUGUCUAAGAGUCUUUGUUUAUUAGCGUCGUUUAUUAAGCGUUUGUUGUAUGGAGUGUUCUGGUGAAAAUGGUCUCAUUAUUGAAUUUUAUUUAUUUAUUUGUAACACGACAAAUAAGUUAUGAAUAAAGUUAAUAUUAUGUAACAAAAUAAACUUUUAUAAGUGAAAAUUUCGGAGUGUUUUACAUUCUUCCAACGCCUGAUUUUUUUUCUCCAUACCUUCUUCGUCCUCCUCCCGACACGUAGAUUUUUUUUCUAAAUUUUCACCGGAGGGUUACUCCCACCUGAAUAUAUUAAAAAAGGACUCAAAAAGGCAGAUUUACAGAGGUUUGAGGAGGAAAAACAACAACAACAGCACCGAACGCCCUAGCGCUAGGGCGAAAAGUGACAGAGCCACAGAUAAACAAGGAAACAAUAGCAGGACGCGGAGACUACUAAUCAGGACAUGAGCUCUUCGACGAUGCCUCCAGGGGGGUGAAUGACGCCGUAACGUAAUCAUCGUCAUGCAAGCCAGAGCUUGGCAAGGAUUUCUCCCGAGCCAUGUAUCGAUGAGAAGUAGUUGCAAGGCUCUUCAGUGACGCCUUGAGGAAGGAGAAUCUCGUCCCUGGCUCAAAAAGUUUGAGCUGAACUUUCGCCUAGAGCCGUUGCAAAGCCUCCAAAGACUCACCCGCGACUGAGGUGGUAGCCGGCCGCCGCCACACCAUGCGGAGCCUUUCGGACUCGCCCGCGAUGGUGGUAGGAGCGCACCGACAAACGUCGACCGCCUCCGCUCAACGCGGAGCCAUUCUGGACUCGCCCGCGACGAGGGGAGGCGCGCAAAAGCGUUCUCACCUGAUCUCUUUAAGCACUUUAAAUUUGGUAGAGUAUGUUUCCAUCGUAAGUCACCAAGAAUUUUAAAAUUUUGAAUUUCAUAAGUGGAGAACUUAAGACUGGUACUGGGGUUUGAAGUUUUGGCAGUAUUUUGUGACGAUUCAAGUUGAAUUUGCUCAAUUCGUUUGGAAUCAAAAUGAGUGAUUGCAUGAAUGUUUCUUUAUUGGACAUCCUUUUGCAAAAGCCCUCCAUCCUAAGAUAUGAAGGAUAUAAGUUUGUCCUAUUUUAAACUAUGUAAAGUUUGAUCAAAUUUAUAGCGAAAAGUAUUAAUAUCUACCAUAUCAAAAAUGUAAAUUAUGAAAAAGAAAUAAUUUGUAAUGUGUCAGUAAUACCAAUUCAAUGUCAUAACUAUUAUUCUUGUUUCUUAUUUUGGUCAAACUUAACAUAAUUUGACCUAGGAGUUAGGACACAGACUUGAAUCCCUUGUAUUUCAGGAGAGAUGGAGUAUAAGUUUGUGUAAAAAAAAAAGGGCCAACAUAUGUGGUUCUAUCAAUCGGUCCAUUUGGCUUCAAAGUAUCACUGUACUAAUAAUUCUGAUAACCUUGCCUGCAGUGAGCUCCAAUGUUGAACGGGAUGUAAGAAAAAUCCAGCCCGAAAGCGACCCAGCUAGCGGUUUUGGAUGAAAGAAAAAAGAAAAACAAAAAUAAGAGUCGGUCAUCAAGAAAGCAAAUCCACUGCAGUACCGUGGAGAAGGAAACAAAAAAAUCUGUUAGAAUGGUUCGCUUGGAGUUGCCAUAUAUAGGUUGGGAGCAAGGGACACGGGAGUAGACAACAUGCCUUUGGGCCGUGUCAUAUCAGUACUAAGGGCAUGUACAACCCAUAGACGGAGAUCCGUCUCUAAGUGUCUCGAAUUUAUCAUACAGACAUGUAUAAAGACAUGUUAUACAACCCACAGACGAGAGUCUGUCUCUAAGAUAUUUAAUACUUUGCAUGUAGCUAGGAUGAACUAUAAAUAAUUUUUGUGUACCAUUGUGUGGCUGUUUGAUAGAAAAUAUAGCAAGAAUAAAUAAGAGCAAUAUGAUUACAAUAUUUUUUUUUGAAACCAUGGCUAUUACGAAUGGAAUGGAACGACAACUUCUAACCUUUGAAUUAACAAGAAAAGAAGGUCAUUUAACUGGUAACCUUGAAGGCAAAGCUAUACUCGGCACAACAUCCCCCAUCUGUAUAUCAUAUUAUAUAUAAUAACAUCUUUGUCUAAUUUUCUUUCUUUUCGUAGCGUAGGCAAAUGCUACAGAUUUGACUUCAGUAGAAAAUUUCACUAGCAGCAUCCUCGUAGCUCCGGGUCAGCCAAAAACAGCUAGCAUUUCACAUUAUGAAAACAGCAUACAAUUAAAGUGCCAUCAGUUUAGUGCAACCUCAUUGUAAUAUUACCUCCUUCAAAAAACACAUCUAGUCAAUGGAGUCUACACAAGCUUUAUCAUAGAUUACUAAGGUUUCCUUCAUCAGACUACUGAAUUAAGAACGUAUUCUUGCCGUAGAGGUCCUAGUGCUCGCACCAGAGGCCAAGCUCACCAUGAUGUCAGUGUCCACCGGCAUUGGCGUGGUUGUGUCCAGCCUUGGGAUCAUCGGGCUUCGCAUAUCUGGCAGCGGUGGCGGCGCGGCAGUGGUGCGACUACGGUGCUGUGGAUCUCGCGGUGACGGCUUGGGCACCAUCGGUGGCGCUCUAGAUCGUCGGGCUUGGCAUCUCCGGCAGCGUCGGCGGCGGGACGACAGUGCUGGAUCUUGUGACGACAGCUCAGUCACCAUCGCCCAAAGUAAUUCUGCGAGCACCAAAACUAGAACACGCGAGUGCCUACACGGGAUCUGAGCGCAGGGUCGACUCGUGGAAACGAACCUGUACAACGCUGCUGCCCUCGUCCGUUCCACCUAGGAGCACGAGCCCUUGUCGUCGUCUCGCGAGGCGACGGGGCGAGCGUCUCUGAGCCAAACCGAGGAUUUUUUUUGCAUAAUUCGCGUCUUGGAGACGGGCGUUGUACGUGCCCUAAGGAUCCCUUCCUACUAUCUCUCUCUAAUCAAUUUCUAUAUACAUAUACAUUUCCGCCAAAUUAAGUGGAAACUAAUGCCGAAAGUGUGGCAUUGGAAUGUAAGCUAUCAGUUUCCACUUGAAAUAAUAUGCAACCACACUCUCCGGUGCGCUUGUCGUUGAGCCUUGUGAAGCGGUGAGCACUCUGGAUGAUCAAGACCGGCCUGCGGAGGCUUGUGUUCGUCGGCGUGCGAGCAGAAGCAGCUAGCUCCUACCUCUAUGGCCCCAACAUCAUCCCCAUGAGAUGCAGCACAAGAACACUCUCGACAACGAAGCAAAAUCUUGCUGGCAGACGUAUACAUAUCCAUCGAUCUUGCAGACCGGCUUCGUGCACGAAAUCAACUACUGUAGCUAGUAACUUGUGUGCAGGGAUGUGUUUAGUUUUGGAUGUAAUUAACAGGCUGUUGUUGUCUUGAGCGAUAUGUAUAUCUACUACCACUAGCUGAACUAUGUGUUCAUGAUGUGUUCGAGAUCGUACCCUUGUUUUACAACUAGUAACUAGUAAUAAUACUGCAAUGUAGCUUGGAUUCCCAUUCCCCCACCCAUCAAGUAAUGUGAGUUUACCUCUGGUGCCUGGUCGCACAGUAAAAAAAAAGAAAAGCUUAUUCCUUGAACUUGGAUUCCCCGGCGGCCGCACCGCACCCAUCAAGUAAUGUGAGAUUACUUGGUGCAGCUUUCUCAGCUUUUGGCCCUAUGCAGCGUAAGUACGUGUUAAAGGAAAUCAGAAUGGAAAAAGAAAAAGGAUCAACCCUUUAAACCAACAACCGGUACUGCAGCACCAGUUUUGUCUGUGCGUGGCGAUUCGUUUGCUUUUGCAGCAGCAGCUCCUUCCUGACCAAAAGAUAACCGUACUGCACUCACACACCCCCCACGGCGUGGCCAUGUCCCCGCAUGCAAACAAAACGAGCGUCGUUUCGUGACUUGUGACUGCUACAUCCAUUUAAUUUCCUUGUCAACAUUGCUGUUGUUAUCUUGGGGACUUGAGAUUUUGAAUCAUCAGCUGGUGGUGAGAGAGAUCAAGAUGAGAGGGUCGGAGGAGAUUUGGAGCAAUAUUGUUGCCUGGACCGUGCCAGGCAGCGCAGAGACCGGACGCGCAACGAUGGAACUUAACGCUACGAAAUCGUGUACACACAGAUCAUCAUAUCAAACAUGCACAGUGUCCAUCCGGCCGGUUCCGCUGCUUUCCAAAUUCCAAUGCAAGUACGAAAGGUGGGUGUCUGUUCUGUUUGUUCAUAAAGUAUGGACCGCGUGGUGGAAAAUGUUAACCGAACAGGGACUUUUCUGGUAGGGGAACGUCCAGAUUUUUCUUGUCGAAUGUAGGCCAUGGUAAUUAAUUGGUAAGCCCAUUGCAGGCUGUAAUGGCAGGAAUUAACUCAAAAUUUGAAGAAAAAGCUGCCUUUGCCGCUAGCCCUUGCUAAUGGCUCGUCGGAAGUCGGAACCCGCUUCAACCUGCCCCAACCUGCAUUAAAAAUAAACUCAUUCCCUUUCCCCCUACCCAACCCGUCUAAUUUAGACCCUCCAUCUCAAAUUGUAAGUUAUUCCAAGAAUCUUAGAGAGUUAAAGCAUUUUCACGUUUGACCAACAUUAUAGAGAAAAAAACUAAGAUUUGUAACAUAAAGUGAGUAUACUAUGAAAAUAUAAUUAAGAAAGAAUCUAAUUAUACUUAGUUAGUACCAUAAUUAUUAUUAUUUUAUAAUAUAAAUUUGGUCAAACUUAGAAAAGUUUGACUCUCCAAGAUUAUUAAAAUGACUUACAAUUUGGGAUGGAGGGAGUAUAAAUUUGCGAGGUCGGUUUGCUCAAAUUCAUUAUAGCGGUCGUUCGUUAAUUCUUUUUUUAUUGAACGAUCCCGCACAUGCCUGACAUAGUCUUUAAGUGUCUGACGUCACUUUUUUUUUAAAAAACAAACUAUUUAUUUCAAAAUAUUAUAACUUAUCAACGAUGUAUCCAUUUUUAAAAUACUAUAACAUCACUAGAAAAAUUCUUCCAAACAUAUAUAAGCAUGGUCUAGUUUUGAUAUGUCUCGUCACGUAGAACACAUUGGUAUAAAUAAAAUUAAGAAAAACAGAUACACCAUUCAAAAACUAUAAUAUUUUAAAAUAAAAUUUUUACGUGAACCCUAAUACAAUUGAAAUUGAGUGGACACAUGCAGCAGUUCGUUUAGCCGGGAAAAGAGAACGAGUACAAUUUGGGUUGCAUGCGGAGAUAUGAUUAUUCUUUCAAAAAAACGAAAGGAGUGGUAUUAUUUGCUCGUUUCUCGAUAGAUGAGGAUGAAAUCUAAAAGAGAAUGUGGGAGCGCUACUAAAUUAUGAUGGUAAGUUAUUCGUCAAAUUAACGCUGUUUAAUUUAGUUAUAUAAGUUAGGCUGAUGAACCCAAAAGAGAAUGUGGGAAUACAUAUUUGUCGAAGUUAUGCUAUUUAAUUCAGUUAUCUAAGUUACAUGCAUAUGGUUCGUAAAAAGAAACAUUGUAGCGUGUGCGAUUGAACUAGAAGUGAAAAGAGAAUGAAAUGCCCAAAAGAAUGGAAUGCCUGCGUCGUCAAAAAGAGAAAGUCAAGUGAAGUAAAAUAAAAUAAAUGUUUUCCUAUUUAGAUAAUAUUAUUUAGAUAAUAUUUGUUGGAAUGUUUAGGUGUUUUUUUUUUUAAAAAAAAACGGUCGCUAAUUAGUGAGGUCCAGGCGAGGGAGCCGUUGCUGCUAGUGCUAGUGCUAGCUGCCCACCACCGGGCCGGGCUCAGGUCAUAUAUCUUUUACCUUUUUCUUUUUGGCUGGGAGAGUAGCCCACCCUGUUGCUCUCUGGUUGGGGUAAUUUUGAACGAUCCAUCAGGCCACCAACAGAGGGAUUUUUGUUUCCUUUUUUUUUUUUGAAAACGUAAUCUUGCUUCAAACAGCGAUUUUAGUCAAAGACGAAAUAGACACAAACUUGUGUACAGACCAGUACAGGUACAGAAAGAUGAAAUCUGCAGAGUGCAGACUGCCAUCUGGUUCCAAUCCCUACGCAGUACAGUACGAGUACUUGUUUCAAUUCAAAGGUUAAAAAGAGAGAGAGAGAGGAAAAAAAAGAAGCCCUAUGAGUAGUACGUACAGAAUUAAGGGUGUCUUUCUAAUAAAGUAGGGAUUAUUUUGGAAAAACUUAACAGAGCAAGGACUUGUCUGGUAGAAAGUCAUCCGGGGCUAUAUAACUAUCUCCAGUUCCCUACCCGUUCCUUCUUCCUACACACUGCACACAGGCUCUCCCAGACUCACGAAACCCCAAUCCAACCAUGGCGUCCUUGGCUCGCGCCGCCGCCGCUGCCCUUCCGUCCCUUCGAGCUCGCCACCUCGGCUCCGGGUCCGGGCGGCUCUCUCUGGCCGCGGUGCGGCCGUGCUCGCCGUCCGGAGGGACGGGACGGGCCGCGGCGGGGUCCUCGCCACCGCUGAGUUCAAGGUCAGUUCCUCUUAUGGCGCUCGCUCGGGGUUGGACUUGUCUCGGGUUCGCCUUGGUUCUUGGUCUUGUAUAACCGCUGUUCUCGAUCACUUAGGGGCUGCUGGUUCUCUCUUCAAAUCUCGAUCUGCGUGGGUUGGCUUGGCUGUGCUUCUUUUCGCUUCCCUCCAGACUUGCUCCGUGGAUUCAUACGGUGAUUUCUUUCGUUCAUGGCAUAUCCGUGUGCCCUCGCUCCAAACCCAACCCCGUCCAUGGAGUGGGAAGUGGGAACUGGUGGGAAGGGAAGUCUCCGUGUGAGUUUUUUGUUUGCUUUUUCUCUCAGCCUCUCCAAGCCUCGUCCAUGCAUGGAGGUGGCCGGAAAAACAAACAAACAUGAUGAUCUCUCUUUUCGUUGAUAGCCUUUUUUAUUAUUUUUUUCACGGUGUUUUUUCCUUCUCUGCAAAUUAAUUUGCGUGUGAUGCUCGAACGCACUGUCGGAUCGUACCCGGCCAGAUGAGCAGUAUGUAUAUUGCUGCCAAGAUGAAACGGACAAGCAUGCAGUCGUCGAUCGUCUGGGCCUUCUUUUUGCUUCUUCUUUUCUGUUUCACUACUCCUCCGGCCGCUUGUUCUCUCUGUUUUUGGUUACUUUGUUUAGUUCUUGUUCAAAAACUUCAUAAAAGAAAUUAGAGCCACAGUGUGCGGUCAGGGUCGGGACAAGCUAAGGCUUGCGGCUGGGUGAUUAUUAUAUUGCAGUUCGAUCAGUUUGUGGUUUGAUUUAAUUUUGUGGUGAUUUAUUUCUUGGGUUUCUUUCAGCCUGCGUUGUUUUUUCAUCUCGAAAUGUUUUUUCCUCGGCUCGAGUCUAGCAAAGAACAAGCUAAGUGUCCAGAGGUUUUUUGCGUAUCCAGAUCAUUCUUUUAAUUUUCGUGUUGCUUAAAUGUGUAUGCCGCCCUAUAUAUGCAUGUAUGUCAGGGUACUAGCUAUAUAUGGCGAGAGGGCUAGCUAGCUCGCACACGAUGCGCGCAGGGACGCUGUGCUUUUUCUUUUUUUUUCGUUCUUUUGAUGAUUUCCAAAUCCGGCCCGUUUUCUGCACCUUGGUGAUCUCGAUUUUUCUCAGUUUGGUGUUGGUCGCUCGUCCCUUAUUGUUCAUCCAGAUCUGUGCCCCGGCCCGCUUCAAUUCCUUCGUGGCGUGCUGGGCACCGCGGCCGGCAGAUUGGGAUCGAAUCGGCAUGUCUCGGUGUUUCUGGGAGUUUUUGUAGUUCUCCUUAUUAUCUACUUCAGUACGUACUUCCUGCUGUAUGGUGCGUUUAUAUGUGCGUUCACACUUUCUUCGUUUUUCCUAUUCGGAUCGGCACUCCGAUCCAGGAUAUCAAUUUUAUCUCUCCAUCCCCGCCCCAGUACGUUCUUGUUUUACUGUGUAGUCUCUCAGUUUCUUUUCUCUGACAUUAUUGUUUUCUUUUUCUUAUGUUUGAAGGUCCCGUUUCCGCGUUCGGCGUCGGCUGUUAAAGCCACAAAUGCUGAGUCUCAUGAUCGCCCCGCAGAGGGAGCUGACGACCACUCUGAGUCUGAUGAGGAGGUGCUAUAUACUACUCCCUCUGUUCCAAAUUAUAAGUCAUUCCAAGAAUCUUGGAGAGUCAAAUCAUUUUCAAGUUUGACCAAAAAUAUAUAGAGAAAUAUAAAGAUUUAUGUCAUAAAAUAGGUACACUAUGAAAAUAUAACUAACAAAGAAUCUAAUGAUACUUAGUUGGUACAAAAAAUGUUAUUAUUUUGCUAUAUAAAUUUGGUCAAACUUGAAAAAUUUUGACUCUCCAAGAUUCUUGGAAUGACUUAUAAUUUGGGACGGAGGGAGUACCUUCAAUUUAGUUUGAUUUGAUUUAAAAUUUUGUUGUGUGUUUACAUACUUUGUUUUUCAGUUUGAGCUCGUCCGUGAGCUGAAGGCUGCUCUGGACCGCAAGAUCAAUGAGACAAGUGGUGUCAAGAUACUUCUGCUUGAUGAGGAUGAUGUUCCGCAUUCUAUCAUCUAUCAGAACUUGCUCGAAAGCUACGUUAAGGAGUCUUUUGCUGUCUGGGCUAAGGUGACAAGCCGCUUUAGGCCCCCAACUGAGAGCAAGUUGUAUGAGGUAAAUUUAAUUGGGCAAAUAUUCUUUCAUCCUGCUACAAUUCUUACUGCUGCCUAUUAUACUACCUGUAAUAAUCUUCUAAUACGUACAGGGCCUGAGGCUGUGUGGGGAAACAUUCAUCAGUGCUGUGGUGAGCUGCCACGACUGUCGGGCGACUUGGAAGAACAUGUCUGAAGUGGUGGAGGCGCUGGACCUUCUGCGCCGGCUCGUGUCGUCCACUCUGAAGGCGCCGCUUCCACUAGACUGGUCGCUCCGCUGGGCCUGGGACGCACCAAAGGGCGACGACGAUGCUGAGAGGGGACUCGUCUACCUUGUGCACCGUAUUUCUGUUCUGAUGGUGAGGGACAUCAACUCCAUGUUGAAGCUGGACGAUGCCAACUAGCAGGUUGGCAAAAUCUACUUCUCUACUACUGGUUUUAGCUUAAACUAUAUAUCUUAGCUCGAUCAACGAUCAAUUUCUUAGCUCUGGCGAGUCUCUGCAUUAUUAUUAUUAUUAUUAUUUUUUCUGUUUCUUAUAUAGCUCGGUGAGUAUACUUUCUGACUCAUUCUACUUUGUUUCCAUGGAACAGAUCUGCUCUCCUCCUAGCCAGAACAAGACAGUGAUCUGAUCAGCGCCCAGGAUCAAAGUUGCUUCAAGCAGGGCCUUAUCUAUAUCUACUAGUAGUAGCUGUUAGUGUUGUUUGGUUUGUUGCUUUGUCUUACAUGCAUGUUAGUGUUGUGAUGACAGUAUUGGUAACUUGAGUUGAGUCAGACCCGGCCUCAUGUGCACAUUAUUAUCUCAGUUUACCUACCUUCUGUUGUGUCGUACCGUACAAUUCUCUAAGUUAAUUAGUGAGAUGUUAUCAUCAUAUCGUUGAGUUUUUCUUCAGUUUCCUCCAUCUGUCGAUCAAUUUGGCAGGCCAUACGUACGUACGUUGUUACCGGCGGGGUGCAGUGCGAGCCCUCAUCCUUCUUGAAUUUGGCCUGACAAUUAAUUAUUGCAUCGGAUCCGUCAUGGCCGGGCUCGAUCGAGAUCACAAUCCACUGCUGCCACCAACAGCUGCCCAUUAUUUGUUAAAAACAGUAAAAUGGGUUUCACACCAUUGUGAGAUGCAAAACUCUAACAAAGUCGGCUAGUCGAUAGACAGUACGUGCUCGACGACUGACACUUUGCAUCUGACAACUUCCCCUACACUGUCAUCAAACACUAUGACUAAAUAGGACUAAAAAGUGUAUUAUAGCCAACUAGUUAAGUGUUGCUAAAUGGGACUAAAGCCUACCUUUUAAUCAUGUUGUCUUAUAUUUUAGUCGCUUUGGAGCUAAACACCUUGAUAAAAAGGGACUAAAAGACCUCUAGUUUAAGUGACUAAACUUUAGGAGGCAUGAACCAAAUACACACUUAGUUGUCACGAGCACACAACAACAAAAGAUGAUGGAUGGCACGUGGGGUGGGGCCAGCAGCCGGCUAGGACCAGCGGCAAGACUAGCGACGAUUAAUGGCAAGCACCAAUAUAGUGGCACCUCUUGUUUUGGCAUAACAACUUUUUAAAUCCUUCGAAUUGAAAAAAAAGGACCUUUAAAUUGUUCAUGAUGCAGUCAUGUCGAUCGACCAAGUAGCACAAAGUGUGACUUUUAACUAGGGUGAACACAAAUUAAGGACUCACAUAAGUACUGUGUAACACUUGCAAACUGUUUGGCCCGGCAGCGACCAUGCGUAAUCCCUAUAAAAAUAAACCCCACUAUACUCUCUAGCCAAUGGCGAAGCUAGAACAAAUUCGAGAAGGGUGCGGCUGCCUUAUAGAUACAUAGAUUUGAAUCAUAAUCAUGGUGGAAUUUUAACCCUAUUCAUUGAUAUUUAAAAUUCUAGUGGGUGCAUCCGCAUCCACCAUCUUAUAGGUGGCUUCGCCACGGUCUCUAGCACCUCCUUGAGCCACAUCAACAUCUAGUUCUCCUAUUUGUUGCCGCAUGUAAGUGCCCACUUAUAGUGGAUAUAGGGCCUGUUUAGAUCCCAAAUCUUUAUAUCCCAAACCUUUUGGUUGUAAACUUUACAUUCCAAAUAGGUGUUUAGAUGCUUCCCAAAUUUUUUGGUCUGCAACACACAAGACACGGGUCUCUAAGCAAGUUUACACAGUUUUGGGGCUCUAAGGUCCCAAAUUCUAAAUCUUUACACCCCAAGUUUUACAGCCUCUGUUUAGAUCCAUUCUUCCAAAAAGUGCUUAUUUUUUUCCAAAAGUUUUGGCUGUUUGGCUACAUCUAAACAAGGCCAUAGUGACCAUGCACGCAUACUGCUAGUAUUAUUCUCUCACGUGACUUCAUCUCUUGCUCUUUGAAAACUGACUACUAAUAAUCAAGCUAUAUAUAGAUGAUUCGUAGACUACAGUAAGGAAUAUUGAUACUCCUCCUUCAUACAUGCGGCAAUGCGCAGAGAAUUCUCCUAGUAUUCCGCUAAAUCAAUGUGCAAAGCAACCUUAUAUAGUACCCAAUCCAUCUUUUUCCGGCUCAAGUUGUCUUGACGGCUUCAGCAAAGAAAAGACAACUCCUCAAUACUCUUGCCCAUUUUAUUAUUCCUGCAACAAUAUACAUCACAACGGCAUUCAUCAUUGCAAGUUGCAACAAAGUCAAAGCUAGGCAUAGCAAAGAGAUAAGUUGCUAAUGAGAAGAGAAAUAAAUCGGACAUCAUAUUUCUUAUUAACCUUGGGUGUUAAGUACUUCAGUGCAACCUUGCGAGCUUCAAUAAGCAGAAAAAUAUAUACAGCUGCACGUUCAAAGCCAUACUGGAGCAUCGUAGUCACCUUCUGUUGAAGCUAAUAGAAGUGAUGAUGCACAAGGGUUAGUAAUUAAUAAUAUCAUUGAGACAACAAAUUCGGUUAAAGAUGAUGGCAAGUAAAUCUAUGGACAAAGAUGCACCUUUUGUUCCGUAAUCCUUGCAACUUCAUCUUCCAAAUUAUUCAUCUUUUUAUAAAACACUCGGGAAUAUGUAUCCAUAGCAUGGGUGAUUUUGUUUUUCAAAUGACCAUCUUUGAGCUUAGUCACGGUAUCUUGAACUAAGAUAUGACAAAUUGCCCCCAAGCCUCUAAGAGCACCAAGAAACGAGAGAGUCGUGGUUUCUGUCCCGAUCUUCUUGUGGUAAGCAUCACCGGCAACAUUAUAAAGUAUAGCUGCAUAUGUCCUAACCAUCUAUAUUAUAGAGAUAAGAAGAUCAUUAAGUUCAUUCACAAGUGUUAUCUAAAGUGGCAUGAACCUGGCAGUGAAGGUUACCUGAUCUAUUGUAUGUCGAGAAAAUUCUAUUGUACCAGGGCCAUCAUGUGCAAUAUCCUAGGUAGUUUUAAAACAAUCGAUGGAUGUGGCAAGUUAAGAAAAUAAAAAUAAUUAUUGCAUACUGUGCCCUAUAAAUAUUAUAAAGGAGCAAAAAAAUAUAGUUGGACACUUAGGCCCGCUUACCAUGACCUUGGAAGCCAAAUCCAAACCUUCCUUUGCUCUUAAGCAAACUGCUUCUGCCACUACCCUUUCAUCAAAACUCUACAGCAGAUAAACAAAGAGGAAAAGAUAAUGAGAUAUCUAGUAUUUGGAGACUCGCUCGACCUUGCUCUACAAACAUGUCUUAAAUCCAAUACGUAAAGAAUGCUAAUGACAUCAUCAGAUCCAAAAAAAAAACUUAGCGCGAUUCGUUUUCAACAUUAUUGAACAAUUAAAGUUUUAUAUACUAGUAGUGUAGUAGUAGUAGUAGAAACAAAGGAGUUUGUCGAACUUGUUCCAACGUGAUUGAGAAUUUGAGAUACAAACAUAAUUAUAGGGUGUGUUUGGUUGUAUGGACUAAAGUUUAAUAGGUGUCACAUUAUAUGUUAUAUGAGAUAGUCCGAUACUAAUAGAAAAGCAAAUUAAAUUAUAGACUCCGCUAGUACUCCGCGAGAGAAAUUUAUUAUGCCUAAUUAAUUCAUCAUUAGCAUAUAUUACUGUAGCAAUUAAUGUCUAAUCAAUGAAUUAAUUAGAUUUAAAAAAUCAUCUCAUAAAUUAGUCUCUAACUAUAUUUUUUUAGUUUUACAAAUAGUUUAGUAUUUAAUACUCUUUAUGCAUGUAUCAAACAUCCAAUUUAAUAAGAACUAAAGUUUUAGCGGUAGUAAUAAAGGACCUCACCCGACCGUCAGCUGAACGACCCAAGUUCAUCCAGUAGUCAGAAAUUUGUUCCUUCUCUUUAAGGAACAUAUCAGGAGGCUCCCGCUGUGAUAUACGUACAAAACAGUGACAUGCAUGCAUCAGAGUUAAUAAUAACAAAGUCCAAUACUCCAAACAACGAGUAUUUUUUUAUUCUGAAUAUUCUGAUGAUUGGUACCACAAAAAAAACUAACAAUACGAAAUUACUAGUGGUUGAUAACCAUCGCCGCAAAAAAAAAAAAAAAGCCUAACAAUACCAAAACAGUGACAUGCAUGCACAUCAGACCUAACAAUACACAUAACCAUCGCCAGAAACACUUACCACGCCUAUAGCAGCUAAAAGUGCCUUUUUCUUGUUGAGCAACUCCUCCACCAAGGGGUGGUUCUGCAGGUCCGGCACUCCAAACAAACGGAAAAUUAAGAUAAGUUCUAGCACUCCAAGAGAGAGAUGAUGAUCCAUAUCUGUUCUGUACGUACAGCUCAGCUCUUGUUAAUUACCUUUUCGGGAUCGUGGUUCUCUGCAGGCUCCGGAUCUGGCUCAUUCAGACCAUCGUCGUCGACACGCUUCUCGCAGUGGGAGCGAAACGAGUCGCGCCGCGUGCGGGCCUGCAACUUAACCGGCGCCGGCGAGGGGCCUCGCCGGCCCAGCGGAUUCAUGGCCACGUGGAACGGCCGCGAGAUACGGGACGCGGCGGCGGCCACGGCCGCGGGGGGACGCGCGCGCAGCGGGAGCGCGGCCAUGCCUUGUUACGUGUGAAUUUUCGAGAUCAGAGAUCGACAAGGCCGGGGAGAACAAACACACCGAGUUUACUUUGAAAAACUUUGGUCUCUCUAUAUAUAUAUAUAUAAUUCAACCUUGGCGCAGUCUAAUCAAAAUUCCAACUCUCAGUAGGUAACACAAGUUUUAACUUGAUAAGAACUCGAUCUCUCUAUAUAUAUCAACAAAAAACUUAUAUUAUCAAAAAGAUGCUCAUGGACCCUCCUCAAUACUGCCCUUCUCUGUCUUCCUCUCCGGGGUUGCAAAGUCAUUCUCAAAUAAAUAUAAUUGCAGCCAAGGUCUCUGCAUCUAAUACGUUUGAUUGAGCACCAAAUCUAGCUUCCCCAAAGUCUGAGCAAUGCCAUUUGCAUGGGCUGGUUUCUCCGCGGAUAGCUUCCCCACCACGUGGAUUUCUUUAUCCUUGAGGUCUUGUCUAGAUGUUGUCGGAUUCACUUAAAUCCAUAUGUAUUGAUGUGAGUUAGGAUAUAAUUUAAUUUAAGUUCCACUCCUCAACACAUGUGGAUUGAUGUGAAUCCAAUAACAUCCCAACAAAGCCUAAGGUUUGUUCCAGCCCAUUAUGUUCGCUAAACGACCGGCUGCGUGCUCUAAUCCUACUGUGUCUUGCCGGAUCGAGGGACUGUGUCCAAAUCCGAGCACCCAUGCAUCAUAAUCAAUCAAUCAAAAGCAAGUAUUAUUCAUUCAUCCAUCAACCAAAACAAGUGUGGAUCAUCCUACUUUCCCACACUUGUAAUAAUGUAAGCGCAAAUUAGAAUGCACCAAGCUGCUGCGAACAAGACAUGCAUAUCUUCUGCUUUGUUCAGCGACCUACGGCUUUCUAACAUCCUAUAUGUUUCUGGCUAGUCACGAUGCAGACUCUAUCAUAAAGUCUAAAGUUAUUUAUUACCUCGAAUAAUAUGGAUUUAAAGUCUAAAUAAGACUUCGAGUUUUAUUUUUUUUUCUACCUCCUUUUUCUACCUCGAACAAGGACACUCACGGCACUCACAAUGCAAGACUCUAUCAUAGGGUCCAAGACAAUUAAUUACAUAUUAUUUAUGGUACUUUGCUGAUGUGGCAGCAUAUUUAUUGAAAAAAGAUGUAGAAAAAAUAAGACUUCAACUCUUAUUUAGACUCUAAGUCUACAUUGUUCGAGGUGAUAAAUAACUUUAGACUCUAUGAUAGAGUCUAUAUUGUGAGUGCCCUCACAAUUUAUCACAGAGUCCAAGACAAUGAAUUGCAUAGUCCCUCCAUAUACAAAAACAAGGUCGUUUAGAACAGGAUUUAGCAUAUCAAAGAGUGAUUAGUUAGGGUAAAGUUUUUCCUGUUUGCACCUUCACGUGCAUUCUUUUCGAGAAAGUUUCACAGACUAACUAGCUAGCGCCUCGAGGUGGGAGGCUAGCGAGUAGGGUUCAACUCCCCUUGACCCUAAAUAUUUUUGGCCAAAUAUUACAUGGAGAGUUUUUGCAUGGCACUGUUUCGUCGUGGAGCCUGAGCGCGUAUAUUUUCGUCGUUGGCACCUUUUUUCGGCUCUAGGAAGUUCUGGUGCUUUUUUUCGGCUGGCGGUGCAGACAUUUGGGCUACCAAAGGUGUAGUAUUUGUGCGCUUGCAUACUGCUCUCUUGUAACCACCUUUGCUUCAUGAAACCGAAGCUACUCUUGCUGCACCAAAUAAUUAGAGUGAUGCUAGUUAGCUUAAUUAGUAGAGAAAUCCUUGUAAAAGUAAAUGAGAACUCAAGCUUGUUAUCUUUCUGCUGGUUUGGUGUCGUCCUCCUUCGCGGCAGCUGCGGCGUCAUCCUCCUUCGCGGCUGCUGCGGCUUUGACGUCGGCCUUCGCGGCUGCUAGCUCGCCGAGCAUCUUGAUCACGUGUUCAGGUAACACGAUAGAAUUUCCACGGAUCACGAGAUUGUUUAGAUCGGGAAUAAAAAGCUCGUAGUCGAACUCGUUUUGGUCGUAUAGCCAGGCGCGGAUUUAAUACUCUCUGUGGAUGAGACCGCAGCGAGAACAUAGCCAAAACAGCGAGUGCGCACGAUCCCAUGAUUCGCGGUUCUCAUGAACGCGAUGACAGCAAGGGCAUAGAAAAGCUCCCGGCGGCUAGAUUUCCGGCACCAUCUCAGAGUCCGUCGCGACGGAGUCUGGCACCAUCUCCGAGUCUAGCGCGAUGGAGUCCGGCACCUCUUGCGAUGCGAUGGAGUCUGGCACGGACUCGAGCAGUGAGUCUGGGGCGAUCUCCAUGGUCGGCGAGCGGCGUGGCGAGCCUGAGCGUGAGCGGCGCGGCGAGCGGGGCGAGCGAGAUGAAGCCUUGCGCGCUACAGACCGGCGAGUGUGAGCGGCGGCGCGGCAAGCACGCCGGCAAGCACGCGAGGUGGGAGCCUGGCGAGUUAGCGGCGAGCACUACCGAUCGAGAGUGUGUAUGGUGGCCACUACUAGCGAGAGGGAGUAUGGCGGCCAGCAUCAGCUCCACACGCCUUUAAGACGUCCAACCUCCUACGCACACAGAGAGGGCGGCCAUCGCACGCGCGGCGAGAAUCGAGGUAAUCGUCCACGCACGGCGGGGAGUAAAUGUGCGCCGCGAUCGAUGAGGUAGGGGCAAAGAAGUCCAGGGGAGGGGCUCCAGCGCUACAACGACGUUUUUUUCCACAAUCCCGUUUCGAGCCAGGACGACGUUCUUUUUUAUAUAGAGCGAGUAUUAUUUAUGAUAUUUUGCUGAUGUGGCAGCAUGUUUAUUGAAAAAAGAGGUAGAAAAAAUAAGGCUUCAAAUCUUAUUAAAUUCUAGGUCCAUAUUUUUUGAGGUGAUAAAUAACUUUAGACUCUAUAAUAAAGUCUGCAUUAUUAGUGCCUAACUUCACAAGAAGCUAAAUCAGAAACCGCGUCACAAACAAGCAUCACUGUAGUUAAUUAUCUCUCGGCAUGCAAAAGCUGAAUCAAAAUCAGUACCUGCCAUGCAUGGAGGCCACCUAAACCCUAAAACCCGAAACAAACUAUCGAGCAUUUCAGAGUAGUAUAAAAAUUGACGAGCCACUGCUCGCUGACAGACACACCAGCAAUUGCAAUUCAGAGACACUCUUCGUCGCCUUCUCCUUCCGCUUUCCACAAUCUCACGAGCUUGGUUGUGGCUGUGGGUCGCAAUGAGUCCGCCGCGCUCCGCUGCACCGGCCGCGGCGCUGCUCGUGCUGACGGUGGCACUGGCCGCGGCGGCGGCGCCGCUGGAGCGGGCGGACGACACGAGGUGCGGCGUAUGUACGAGGCGUGGAAGUCGAAGCACGGCCGGCGGCCGCCCUGCGACAUCAGCUCCGACGGCCGGCUGCGGCUGGAGGUGUUCCGUGACAACCUGGGGUACAUCGACGCGCACAACGCGGAGGCGGACGCCGGGCUGCACACCUUCCGCCUCGGCCUCACCCCCUUCGCCGACCUCACCAUGGACGAGUUCCGCGCCCACGCGCUCGGCUUCCUCAACUCCACUCUGCCCCGCGCGUCGCCAGCGACCGCUACCUGCCCCGCGCCGGCGAUGACCUCCCCGACGCCGUCGACUGGCGCCAGCAGGGCGCCGUCACCGGGGUCCAGAACCAGCUGGACUGCGGUUCGUACUGAGUCUCGAUCCAUGCUUGCCAGGCUAGUAAUUAAGUUCUUUGGUAGUAGUAUAGUACAAGGAUUUGCACUGAUGAUGAUCUCUGGCGUGUGUGUUGCCGUGAGGGAUGAUGCAUGCAGGUGGGUGCUGGGCGUUCUCGGCGGUGGCAGCCAUGGAGGGGAUCAACAAGAUCGUGACGAACAACCUCAUAUCGCUGUCGGAGCAGGAGCUGAUUGACUGCGACACUGAGGACUACGGCUGCAACGGCGGGCAGAUUCCAGUUCGUCAUCAACAAUGGCGGCAUCGACACAGUGGCCACUAUCCCUUCGUCGGAACUGACAUGCAUGGCUUGCGAUGCCAUCCGGGUUAGCACUCAUCUCAUCUCAUGAUUAAAUCUCUGCAUCAACAAUAUGCGUACAUUGGUGGUGACGGAGCAGGCCGGUUUGCAUUUUAUUCAAUGCACAUGCAGGAAAACAGAAAGGUUGUGUCCAUAGAUUCAUACGAGAAUGUGCCGGCCAACAACGAGAAGGCUCUGCAGAAGGCGGUGGCGAACCAGCCGGUUAGCGUCGCCAUUGAUGCCGGCGGUCUUGCAUUCCAGCUAGCUCUACAGCUCGGUAAGCAUGAGAGUGAGAGCAGCAGCAGGAUUUGUUCUUCGUUCUGGAACUGUUCUUCCCCGAUUAAUCUUUCGUGCGCUGCGUACAACCUGCGGGGUGAAGCUGGACCACGGCGUGACGGCGGUGGGCUACGGCAGCGACAACGGCGAGGACUUCUGGAUCGUCAAGAACUCGUGGGGAGGGGAGCAGAUUGGGGGGAGGGCGGCUCCAUCCGCAUGGCGCGAAACGUGUUUCUGCCCAUGGGCAAGUGCGGCAUCGCCAUGGACGCGUCGUACGUACCCGGUGAAGAAUGGCCCCAAUGCAACCCGACGGCUGAGCCGGAGAUCAAGAUGGUUCGUGCUUAUUAUUAUUAGGCAGGCUCCUGACCACCGAUUUGACAUUUGCAUGCCAGUGUGGUGUAAGAGUGUUAAUUUGUUUACACGUUUGUUGUUGUGAGUUGUGAUGGAAAUGGUCUCAUAUUGAACUUUAAUUAUUUAUUUAUAUGUACCACCGAAAAUAAACUAUGAAUAAAUUAUCACUUAUAUCCUAUAUAUAUUUCAAGUAUCUGUUUUUUUUUGUUCAGACAAUAUAUAAUUCUGUCAUCGUUUAGCUAUUGAAAAAAUAAAUUAUAUAUCUCGUGUAAGUUGUCUUUAUAAUUAUACUGCUAGUCGGUUGCGUAAGAUUGUUGCUUCAAAAUUCAGACAUCUGAAACAUAGAAACUCUCAUAAAUUAUGUAUAAAUAAUUAAAAAUUGCACAAGAAAAUUUUGAGAACAUUCCUCACAAUGUAAGCCAUUUGUUAGUUUUCGUAGAGGAAACAAUAUGCAAGCCAAUAAAUAAAACUUAUUCUCACCGGACCAGCUUAUAAAUUGCGUACACAUAUCAAGAUUCACGCUUUAUAUUUUUUAACUAAUAAUUUUUACUAUUAUAAUACAAACUUGAUAGGGUUCAAUUUAUAAUAAAAUAUACUAUCCAAUAAUCAUAAUAUUAUAUAAACAAUAAAAUAUAAAAUAAAUAAAUGAUCAAAGUAUCACUUGGAGACUAACAUGUUAAACGUCUUAGGCUAAUCCUAAUGCUAGAAACGCAACUAGAUUCUACGUCUAUCAAAUCAUGUAAACACUACAUAUAUAAAUUAUAUUUUUUAUUGGGUAGUUUCAUUAAUCAAAUUUUGUCCAUUCAUAUGUCUUCUCUCUUCAUUAUCUACCCGUCAUAUCUCUUCAUAUCUUAAUUUCCAUGUAUACAUAGUUUAUUUAUCUAAGACACCAUUUCCUUCUCUCUCUUUUUUGAUUCCAAUGAUACAUUACUAUUUUUGCUUAGUUGGCACUCUAAUUAAUGAACAUAAAAAUUAUUCUAGUUUGUGAUCAGGAGUGCCUUAGGACAGUCUUAGUGGGAGUUCACCAGAGUUUUCAUUUAUAUUUAUUAAGCCAUCACAUAAGCAUUUUUUUAUGAUGUGGUAACAUUUUUAAGAAGGGAGAGAAGAAGUGUGUUUUAUACGGAUAAAACCCUCUUGGCUCGGUUACCAACUCAAUAUGAGUCAUGAAAAUAAACGUCUAUGAAAUAAAAGAAUGAAAAUAUGUAUUGAGAGUGAUGAUUUCAUCCAUGUUUCAUUGCAUUCUAUGAUUUCAUCCACAAUAAAUGAGAAUGGCCUUUUAAACUACUUCAGAGGCAAUACAUGAUAAGGCACCACAUCAUAUAUAUAUAUAUAUACUAUAGUAUCAAGGAUACCAUAUUGUAUGAUAAGUAUUACUAUAUAUAUGUUAGGAAGAAACACCCUCUAUACUGUAUAGUAUCAUUCUCCAAUAUCCAAGAUAAUUAAUUUGUUGUGAUGUCAUGUCUAUGAGAGUGGACGCAGGACUAGGAGGAAAGAGCUAAAAACUUGAUAAGGUGAGGGCUGGGUCAUGGUGAGACGAGGCCUUGGAUAGCACAACUUGCCUGAGAUAGCUAAGGAUCGACCCUUGUUGCAUUAGAGCAUCUCCAACAACUUGAUAAAAUUCACUUGUUAAAUAUUGGGUUAUAGCAAGUUGCAAAUUAGUUUGGCAAGGGAAAAAAAGAUGUGUUUCCAACAAAUUGCUAUUCUCAUUUGGUAAAAUUGAAAACUAGACUCAUCUUUCUCCACAAACCGGUACUGGCCGUGAGUGGCCGCGUCUCCUGCUUGUUCGCGUGUGUGGCCACGACUCCUGCAUGUUCACGUGCGUGGCCGCCGCCACCGCCGUUCGGUACUCUCCAUCACUACUAGAAAACGGAGUAUCCUUGAGGGCCAGCAAUUUCCUUGAGGGGUGAAAUUAAACCCCCAAGGAUAUACAAUUACCUUGAGGGUUGUAUAAAACCCCCAAGAAAAUGCAUAUUCUUGAGUGCUAAACCAAACCGCCAAGUUAAAUCUAUAUUUCCUUGAGUGCUAGUUGAAACCGCCAAGGUAAUUCUAUGUUUCCUUGAGUGUUAUUAUAAACCACCAAAGGUAAUUCACAUUUCCUUGGGCGUAACUAGAAACCACCAAGGAAGUUCUAUUUUCUUUGGGUGUAAACCCUCAAGUAAAUUAUUGUAGCUGCCAAGGUGCCAAGGAAAAAACAGUUUAUAGUCAUAUUUCUCUUAACCACCGAUAUAGUGAACUCAUUGCAUUCUUGUUAGUUAGACAUUGCAUUUUAUAGACAUAAACGCUCCAUUGACAUGUUUGGAAAAUGAUAUAUAAUUUUUGUUAGUAAAUUAAUCCAUUAAAAGUUAUAAUUUUGUGUUGUUAUGCAUUAGAGAAUGCAUAUACUAGCACUUAGCUUGAGAUGCCUGCUUAUUUUAAAGCCAAAAAGUAACAUAAUAUCGUAUGGAGGCAAAGAUUAUAUCAAAGUUAUAGAGCCCGAAGAGAUAUACAACAUCUUAGUCGAUGAAAUUUUCAUUUGAAAUUAUUUGAGGUCCAUAAAAUAUGUUUUAAAUUAUUAGAACUUUAAACUUUAAAUUUUUUGAAUCUUUCAAAUGACCUUAGAUAGAGAUACAACCUAAACCAAAGUUAUAGUACUCGAUGAGAUAUAAAACUUUAUAAUACAAACUUUUUUCAUUUGAAAUCAUUUAGGUUCUCAAAUAUUCAUUACAAGAUCCACUAAAGUAAAAACAAAAAGAAAGAAACAUUCACUUAGUCACAAAAGACUUCAUGGUGUAGUGGUAAGUUAGUUUCACAUGGAACAUCAAGUCCUGAGUUCGAUUCUCAGCUUUAACGAAUAUGAUAUUGUUUCUCUUUUUUUCAUGGAUAUCCUUGAGGGUCAUCGGCACUCAAGAAAACAUCUAUCCUUGGGUGUUUUUACAUUUUCUUGGGUGCCAUCGGCACUCAAGGAAACCUAUAUCCUUGGGUGUUUUUACAUUUUCUUGAGUGUCAUUGGCACUCAAGGAAACCUAUAUCCUUGGGUGUCGUUACAUUUUCUUGACGAUGUUAAAAAUCUGACCACUAAUUCAUUUUCUUGACGGUUUAACCCUCAAGAAAUUGAUUUGUGGCGGCCAGCACUCAAGAAAAUAGUAUUUCCUUGUCUCUCUACCCUUGGCGGCCAUUCCUUGAGUGCUAGCCGCCAAUAUUGAUUUUCUUGGCGGUUUUAGGGGUUUCCUUGAGGGUUUUUGACCCUUAAGGGUAUUCAGUUUUGUGGUAGUGCAUCCUCAACGUCGUUCUCAGGUAAACCUCUCCCGCUCCUUCGCAGCGCCGCUCCCGCCGCCGCCCAAGCAGACCACGAUCCCGCCGCUCAAACUCGUCUGGCUCUCCUCCCACCGCUACACGCUCCCCAAGUUCAAGGCCAAGGCCGACGCUUCCUGGAAGGCGCUGCUCGCGUGCCUCAGCGUCCCCGCCACCAAGCAGCUCUCGCCACUCGAUGUCGAGGCGCUCUUCUGGCGCUCAUCCGCCGACCGCCCUGUCAUCGUGGAGUACGCCAGCGACAUGCCUGGCUCCAGGUUCGCCCCCUGCGCCGCACGCCCGACGCAGCUGCCCGCGGCGAACGUGGGCGAGACGGCGUGGAACAUGCGCGGCGUGGCAAGGAGCCCCACCUCUUUGCCGCGCUUCGUGCGGGAGGAGGUGCGUGUGUGCCCACGGCAGUGUAUUUCGCGAGGGAGAGGGAUUUUGCGCGCGCCGGAGACAGCGCAGUCGCCGUCGCGGAAGAAAUUUUCGCGAUUCGCAGUCGAAGCCGCGCGCGGAUAUAUCCGCGUGCCACACCUCUGGAUAGCAACUUGAGAAAUAUAGCAAGUGUAUUUGAGGAAUUGUUGGAGGAGAAUUUUUGUGGUUUUGUCAAAUUUAUAAAGAUAGCAAGUUCAUUUAAGGAGUUGUUAGAGAUGCUCUUAAUGUGAGCACAUAUUCGUGCUUACCAUAUGUUACAUAUAUGGGCAUGCAUGGCAAGCUGAGUAUCAUGUUGUGUUGUGACUGCAUAAUUUGAUGGGGGUGUUUCGUGAUGAGGGGUAAGUAACAAGAUGCUAGUACUCUUGUGUUUCAUGACCAUUCAUUAGAUGAUUUAGACAAAUGUGGAAAAGGUUAAAACAAUGAGGCCUUGUUUAGUUCCUUCUCAAACCCAAAAUUUUUCAAGAUUCUCUAUGACAUUGAAUCUUUGGACACAUGCAUAGAGUAUUAAAUAUAGAUAAAAAAACAAAAACUAAUUACACAGUUUGCCUCUAAUUUGCGAGACGAAUCUUUUAAGUCUAGUUAGUCUAUAAUUAAAUAAUAUUUGUCACAUAUAAGUGAAAGUGCUACAGUACUCAGGCCUUGUUUAGUUCGCAAAAUUUUUUGAUUUUGGCUACUGUAGUAAUUUUGUUUUUAUUUGACAAAUUUUGUCCAAACAAGGAGUAACUAGGCUCAAAAGAUUCAUCUCACAAAUUACAGGUAAACUGUGCAAUUAGUUUUUGUUUUCAUCUAUAUUUAAUGCUCCAUGCAUGCGACCAAAGAUUCGAUGUGACGGAGAAUCUUGAAAAUUUUUGCGAACUAAACAAGGCCUCAUUUCCCUAAAAUUUUUGAAACUAAACAAGGCCUGAGUUACCUCUUAUGGACUGACAAAAGUCAUAUGAGUGGUGGUCUGGCUCUCAUGUUAGAAAAGUUGUACCUUUUUGCAACAUAUUGACAAUCAUUUUAAAAUCAUGUGUAGGGAUAAAAACGGAUCGGAUACGGACGGAUAUCACCGAUAUUAUAUUUGUUUUCAUAUUUCUGGUCGGAUUCGGAUUCGAAUACGGAUAAUAUCAAUCAUGUCGGAUAAGAUAUGAUUGGAUGUCGACAUCAUAAAUAUACGAUUUAAGUAUUCGGAUACGGAUACGGUAUCAGAUGUUAAACAUUCAAACUCGGAUACGGACAGAUCUAAACCUCUCUAAACGAAUUCGGUCUCGAAUACGAUCGGAAAAUAUCUGUACCGUUUUCAUCCCUAAUCAUGUGCUUUUGGUUAUAAGAAAGCACAUGAUUUUGUGUUUUGCCAACUCCCAAAAUAAUAUGUCAAGUAAAAAAGAAGUCUUCAAGAGUUUGCUAUUUUUAACUUGCCAUAACCAAAAAAAAGAAGGCUCAUUUUUUUACCAGUCAACAGUACAUCGCGACUCCUAUCCUUCACGCAAGAUUGACACCGCCGGCCAUUUGCUCCACCGCCAUCUGCUCCCUGUGCUGCAACGUAUCUUCCCUCUGUCGGCCAUGGGUUAUAUUUUAUUGUGAUAGACAUGAGCUAGGCCUUGUUUAGUUCCAAAAUAUUUUGCAAAAUUGACACUGUAGCUUUUUCGUUUGUAUUUGACAAAUAUUGUCCAAUCAUGGACUAACUAGGCUCAAAAGAUUCGUCUCGUCAAUUUCGACCAAACUGUGCAAUUAGUUUUUAUUUUUGUCUAUAUUUAAUACUUUAUGCAUGUGUCUAAAGAUUCGAUGUGACGGAGAAUCUGAAAAAUUUUGCAAAAUUUUUUGGAACCAAACAAGACCCUAGUAGCAUUCAGUACCACUAGCUAUAGCAGGAUUUUAUUCACGAAUCACGAAGAAGAGUAGACACUCAAUGUCCUUUCAGCAGGAGACAAGGACCUGCAAUAGCAGUCGGCUUGGAUUAAAUUAAGCGUCACGAAGGAGCAGACAACCGUCGUUUUCAUGUAGCAGGAGCAUCACUCACGCGCGCAAGAAACUCCGAUGCAGAUGUGCGUGCGCGUGCGGAGGGGAAGGAUGUCAGGUUCCCAAAACUGCCAAGUUGAUUUGUCAAUCUAGGUCUUGUUUAGUUUCAAAAAAUUUUGCAAAAUAGAAAUAGUAGCGCUUUCGUUUGUAUUUGACAAAUAUUAUCCAAUCAUGAACUAACUAGGCUCAAAAGAUUCGUCUCGUCAAUUCCGACCAAACUGUGCAAUUAGUUUUUAUUUUCGUCUAUAUUUAAUACUUCAUGCAUGCGUCUAAAGAUUUGAUGUGACAGAGAAUCUGAAAAAAUUUGCAAAAUUUUUUGGGAACUAAACAAGGCCCUAUUGGAGAGCAAAAAUUUUUAUUUUGCUAAAUUUUCAAGGAUAGCAACCUUAUUUAGCAAAAUCUUGGAGAUGCUCAAUCUAUCAUUGUCCUUAACGUACCGUUGUCAUGUUGCUGAACUCAUGAAAGAUCGAGCUCACGCGCGCCUCUUUAGUUUACACAUGUGUAAAUGCUCAUGCUGAAUCUAUAUAGAGUGUACAAGUAGUGUUAGGCUCAAUUUACUUCAUGAACUUGUUUACCUUGCUAAAUCUAUAUACAUAGUACUUCUUUGCGUAUUUUUUUAGGUAUAAGAGUGUAAGCCUAUAUUUGCAAUCUUAUCGUUAAUCUGUUAUUCCAAUUAAACAGACGCCGAUAUAUGAGUGCUUCUACGGCCAUGUUCGGGGUGGGAGUAGAGUUUGUCCCGGUCUCAAUAGAGUUUCAUGCACAUUAAAUAUGUUGAUGUGACUCUGUAUUAAUGAAGAGAUAUGAUAAGAGUUUUAUGGAAGUACACUGUUUCUAAAAUAUAGAUGUGUUGGAAACUGGGACACGAAACUCCCAUUAAUAAGGAUGGUCUAAGCAACUCCAACAGUUUUGCAAAUAGGUUUGGGAUUUUUGUUUUUUGUCAAAACUCUCAAAAUCUUCUAUCGAACAGUUUGGCAAUUGGGUUUGACAUUUAUAGCAAGUUGGCAAAUUCUUCUCCUUUCUUGGCAUUUAUGCACACUUAGAAUAGGCUUGACAUUCUGCAUGCAUGUGCUUUCAUAGCAAGCUGACAACUUGAUGAUUCUUUGUUGAUCUUCAGAACCAGUAGAAUUUUGUUUUUGUCAAGUCAAAAUUGUCAAACACUUGGAGAUGUCCUUUUUGUUCCCUCCCCAUAUCGUUUUGGGAGUUGGCAAAUAACAAAAUUUGUCAAACAAAAUUUGCAAAACUGUUGGAGUUGCUCUUAGUACUAGCACAGAUGGUACGAAUCCAGAGAUGAGCAGAUUAAUUAAGUUAUUAAUCUGAGAUUAAUAAAAAAACAUUCAAGGUCCGUUUGCAAUGUAGGAAUUUCGUAGGAAUCACGCAAGAAUUUUAAGAAUCAGUUUAAUUUUACAGAAAAGAAAAACACAGGACCAGGAUUUUUUUUCCCGGUAUUUCAAACAGGCCCUCGAUACAACGGUAUAUAUCCCCCUCAUGAAUACUUUGAAUUAAGCAUGCCUUGCACGUUGUGCUCUAAAAAAAGUGCAGGGAAGCUGUGGCCUGGCGGUCUCGUAGAGAAGUAAUAAGGCGUCGGCGAAAUAAAUUGACGACACACCGUGCUGGUCCUCCGGCCGGGUUCUUCGCCGGCCGUUGGAGCCCAAUUUCUGCCGUGCGCGCGUGGGGCGUGACUGCCUGCACCUGCUGGCUGCAGUGAAAACGGUUCCGGUGUCCCGCGUCCGGCGCCCCCGGUUUAGGACGAAAAGCAUCGCACUGGGGACUAAAAAAUCGGAAAGCAAGCUCAGCUUGAGGGGUGAAUGGGGGUGCCAUAUUCCAUCGUGCGUUCACUAAAAACGACCGGCUGUAUACAUGCGUGCUCUAAUCCGAUCACCCAUGCAUCAUUGCAUUGGAGGCCCCUGUUACCUAAGCUAGCUAUCCGUUUUGUAAACUCUAAUCCGAUCACCCAUCAUUUGCAUUGGGGGUUAAAUGAUCAUUUAGACAAACAGUACACUGUACACGUUCAGUUGUAUCCAUUGUGUCAUCAUAGUUGGGCUCUUGGCAUGCAUGCAUGUGGCGGCAGCCCUUUGUUUAAUGCAUGCAUGCAUAAUGCAUGGCGGCAGCCCUCUGUUUAAGACAGGUCUCUCAAGGAACAAUUUCUUCUUUUAGUGUAAGUGGUGGGCCCGGGUGACCUAGCUCGUUGCUUCACAUGGCUAUAAAUUGAUACCUCGUUCCACAGGCUAAGCCAAACCCACACUGCACUGAGACACACACAUAUACUUCACAUAUUCUCUCCUGACAAUCUCUCGCCCAGCUCAAGUGCUCAACACCAACUCGAAGGAUCGCCAUGCGUCCACCACGCUUCCUAGUGCCCACCACGGCGCUGCUUGCGCUCGCCGUUGCACUGUCACUGGCCGCCGCCGCCGCCGACGCGGCCCGCCACUCCUACGCCAUCGUUCCGGCGCCCGUGGAGCGGGCGGACGACGAGGUGCGGCGUAUGUACGAGGCGUGGAAGUCGGAGCACGGCCACGGCCACGGCUCCGACGACCGGCUGCGUCUGGAGGUGUUCCGCGACAACCUGCGGUACAUCGACGCGCACAACGCGGAGGCGGACGCCGGGCUGCACACCUUCCGCCUCGGCCUCACCCCCUUCGCCGACCUCACCCUCGAGGAGUACCGCGGCCGCGCCCUCGGCUUCCGCGCCCGCCGCGGCGGCGCGAGCAGGGUCGGGAGCGGCAGCAGUUACCGUCCCCGCCCCCGCGGCGGCGACCUCCCCGACGCCAUCGACUGGCGCGAGCUUGGCGCCGUCACCGGGGUCAAGAACCAAGAACAAUGCGGUGCGUACACUCGGCGGCCGGUGCCAUGCACGCGUGCAAGCUCAACUGUGGGUCGUUCUUAUAUAUAUAUAUAUAUAUAGAGAGAGAGAGAGAGAGAGUUUGCAGUUAGUUAUCUGAUGAUGAUCAUCUCUGGGCCGGCGCCUCCGGCCGGCCGGCCGUCGUCGGGCAUGCAUAUGUUGCAGGUGGAUGCUGGGCGUUCUCGGCAGUGGCAGCCAUCGAGGGGAUCAACGAGAUCGUGACAGGCAACCUCGUGUCGCUGUCGGAGCAGGAGAUCAUUGACUGCGACACCCAGGACGGCGGCUGCAACGGCGGGGAGAUGCAAAACGCUUUCCAGUUCGUCAUCAACAACGGUGGCAUUGACACCGAGGCCGACUACCCCUACCUCGGAACUGACGCCGCCUGUGAUGCCAACCGGGUCGGUACUCAUGAGGGUUUGCAAAAAUUUUCAAGAUUCUCCGUCACAUCGAAUUUUUGGUCGUAUACAUGGAGCAUUAAAUAUAGAUAAAAAUAAAAACUAAUUGCACACUUUACCUAUAAUUUGUGAGAUGAAUCUUUUAAGCUUAGUUACUCCAUAAUUAGACAAUGUUUGUCAAAUAAAAACGAAAGUGCUACAAUAACCAAAACACAAAAAAUUUGCAAACUAAACAAGGCCUCAGUACUAUGCCGCCAAAAGAUGCUGCAGUAGGAGUAUCUACAAUUCAAUCAGUACUGACUGAUUGUAAUGGAGAGAUUUGCAUGCAUUGUUCAAUUAAUUAAUUGCAGGUAAAUGAAAGGGUGGUGACCAUUGACGGCUUCGUGAGUGUGGCCACCGAGAAUGAGACAGCGUUGCAGGAGGCGGUGGCGAACCAGCCUGUGAGUGUCGCAAUCGACGCAAGCGGACGUAAAUUCCAGCACUACACCUCGGUAAGCAUCAUCGAUGACGAAUUGACGAUCAAACGUGUGCCAAGAUCAGAUCAUCGAUCAGAUGGAGGUGUUAUCAAUUAAUUUCUGGCCAUGAACGAACUGCAUGCUGUCUUUAAUUACAAUCGUACGUGCAUGCGCAUUAAUUCAGGGCAUCUUCAACGGGCCAUGCGGGACGCAGCUAGACCAUGGCGUCACGGCGGUGGGCUACGGCAGCGAGAACGGCAAGGACUACUGGAUCGUGAAGAAUUCGUGGAGCAGCAGCUGGGGUGAGGCCGGCUACAUCCGCAUCAGGCGCAACGUCGCCGCGGCCACCGGCAAGUGCGGCAUCGCCAUGGACGCGUCCUACCCGGUGAAGAGCAGCUCCAACCCGGCAGGGAUGGCUGUGCUGAAAAUGGUUGCUUAAUUAGGCCUUAGGCUGGCAGCCGACUGAACUGAAGUUACUCGUCUCCACUAUAGUGUGUUGUUCUUAGUUGUGUGAUGAAUGACGAUGCAUGGUCUAGUUUAACUUUAUAUAUAUGUGUAUCACCGGAAGAAAUAAUUAAGUUAGUCCUCAUAAUAAAUUUGUGAUGUGUGAUAAGUUAAUAACUUAUUAUUGUAAUAAAACUUCUGUCUUUUUAGUAACCAUGGAUUAUCAUUCCGUUUUGCAUGGUUUUAUCGAUCUUUUUUUUUAAAAAAAAAAAAGGCAACAAGAGGUUUGUUGCAGAUAUAUAUUAGAAGGUAGAGUAUGGUAAAAGAGAAACGCGCUCGUACAUGCUCCAGACUGCUAAACAGCCUAGCCAUUUUACCAAACUCACCUUUAGAAAACACUCUAGAAUUAGUGUUAUUAUAUUCAUGUGGCUCUUAUAUACAAUAUAGACUAUAGACUGCAGCAAGACUACAACUACGAGGAUGGAGAAAAAUUAUUUUUACGUGUUAUGCGAAUUGCGAAAGAAAUUUGGAGACCUCCCUCCACCUAUUCAUCGAGUGUCCGUUCACGCGAACUGUCUAGAAGUUGGUGCCAGUUUGGAGCAACUGUCUAUGCCCGUCGAAAUGGACCGAGCACAAUCAAAUGGAAGAUUAUUGGUUUCUAGAAUUGAGUAAUAAGGGGAACAUGCCCUCGCUCUCCUAUCCGUUGGAUUCGCUUUGAGAAGUGUUCAAACAUACAUCUCAAAUUCGCAUUGAGAUGUGUGUUUGCACACUUCUCAAAGUGAAUCUAAUGGAUAGGAGAGUGAGGACACAUACCUUUAAGAGCAAAAUAAAUUUUACCGAACAAAAUGUCAUCCUGACUCUUAUGGCACGUCUGGAAGCAGCAAAAUGCAUCAGUGGUCUUCUGCGAAGAUCAAAGGACAACUAAACAAGUUUCAACAGGGAGAAGAGAUGAAUAUUCUCUGUGGGCGUCGGUGGGGGAAAUGUUCUUAGAACCAUAACGAUUGUAAACCAGACAUAGUAAAUAACCUAGUAGUUCCAAACCUCAUACAGCCGUCGGCUGCGUGAGGUAGCGCAACUUGCACUUAUAAGUUGUAAACUGUGAAUUCUUCUUAUUAAUGCAAUGUCGGAUAACCGGAUCUUUCAAAAAAAAUAUAUAACAGAUGAUUAGUUUGUACCACACUAAAGGAAUAACAUCGUUGAUCAUGGCCUCUCAUCCUCCAUCGUCACCUAAGAGCAACUCCAAUAGUUUUGCAAAUAGGUUUGGCAUUUUUGUUUUUUUUUUUUGCCCAAACUCUCAAAAUCUCCUAUCCAACAGUUUGCAAUUGAGUUUGGCAUUUAUAGCAAGUUGGCAAAUUCUCCUCCUUUCUUAGCAUUUAUGCACACCAAGAAUAGACUUGGCAUUCUGCAUGCGCGUGCUUUUAUAGCAAGCUGACAACCUGAUGCUUCUUCGUUGAUCUUUAGAACCAGUAGAAUUUUGUUUUUGCCAAGUCAAAAUUGCCAAACACUUGGAGAUGUCCUUUUUGCUCUCUCCCCAUAUCAUUUUGGGAGUUGGCAAAUAACAAUAUUUGUCAAACAAAAUUUGCAAAACUGUUGUGUAUCAAUGGAGGAAUAGUUGUACCACUGAAGGAACCACUACGCAAGAUUUUAUAUCACUGCCUCUACCACUACUACCUGGCGCACCCUAAUUAUUAUAACUGAAUACUAGUGACAUUAUCAUCAAUGUGGGGAAUUGGAAUUGUGAUAUCCUUUAGGUGUACCACUAAAGAAAUAAUUUGCACAAUGGAAGGAAGAACUCAGUUUGUUAGAUCCGCACCAGAUCUAGCCUAGCACCCUAUGUCCUAGGAUUGUGAUAUGAAAGAAUAGUUUGUACCGGUGAAGGAACAGCUCGGCUAUGUUAGGUUGCAUAGUGAAUUUGCCCAACUCGCUAUAUCCAUGACCAUGAGGAUUGCAAUAUCCUUUGGGUGUAUCAAUGCGUACUACUGAAGGCAUUGAAGGAAUAACGAAUAACCCAAUCAUGGUAGAUUGCACAAUGGAUAUAGCACAACUCGUUAUAUCCACGAGCCAGCGCCACAGUGGUUGCCUGACCUUUUAUGGUGUGUUCCCCCUUGUUGGGGAAAAGCUGCAUCCUUCUCCCUGGUAGCGCCGGAGGUUAUCCUUCACCUGAGGAACCUCCGACGUCUGGGACGUCGGAGGAUAACCUUCGACGGGGAAUACUAAUGUUGACGACUCGUCAGGUCAUGCAAAGUGUGCGCAGGAACUGAAGCACCGGCGGAGGUCCGCGAGCGAGGAAAAGGUUGGAACCUCCGACCCUCCCGAGUCCGAGGAUAACAGGAGAACGCAACCAGGCCGAGCAACCUCCGACCAGCCGGGCUGCGGAACCUCCGACACCGAAGCGUCGGAGGAUCCACAACUGGGCGGAGGCUCCGAGCCUUCGACCUGCUGAAGCCCAGUCGAAGGAUGAACAAAGAGUUUGCGACGUGAAAUUACGCGAGUACAUUGGGGUCAGUAGACUGCGAUGAAAGAAUAUGCUGGAAUAUUCCCCCACCGUCGCGGGGCAUUUAUGUAAAUGUCGUUGAGUCGGUCUCCGAGCCCUAUAUAAGGGGCGUGAUGCCGCCAUUAAUAGAGAGAGAGCAUUCACUGUAUUCACCUACUGUUGAGUCCACUGUCCGCUAUUGCUCAAGCCUCUCACGGCACCGAGUGAGAAGGUUCUCGAUCUACUGUACUGCUGGGGCGUGCGAAGAGCAUUUUCCCAACAUUGGCGCCCACCGUGGGGCCCGAACUAUAACCUGCGAUGGCUGGAAAGAGAACAAGCACCACAAGACCUCGGGGAGAGCCCUCCAGGAGAGGAAGGCCAAGGAGGGCCGUGCGGAGCACGUACGCGACCAUGGAGGGAGAAGGUUCUGAGGGCGAGCAGCCAGAGAACGAGCAGCCGGAAACACGCCAGGAACCUCCUCCCGCCGCAGACCCGGCGCAGCCCUCGGCCACGCAAGAGCUCCAGCAGCUUCAAGCGCAAUUGCGGAACCUUCAGCAAGAGCGAGACCGGAUCGCUGCUGCCUACGCCGCCAGCCAAGAGGCAGCGGUAGCGGCGACGCAAGCGGCUGAGAUCAGGCAGCAGCUUUCACUCCUGCAGGCAGAAAUCCUUAGCAUGCAACCCCCAGCUCAGCCAACAAUUCAACCCGCUGUUCUGAACAGCGCCGGCCCAACAUUAGAUGUGCAACCGACGAACUACGGCGGCAUGUUGCGGGGCACGUUGGACCUUCGUUCCCCUCUGUCCGAAGGAUUGCAGACCUCGCCUUGGCCAACGACUUACAAACCGAUCACGCUCCCUAAAUUCAGCGGAAAGGCCGAUCCGCGCCAAUUCCUGAUGAGUUUCGAGGCAGCCGUGGCCUCAGCUGGAGGGAACGAGACUGUGAUGGCAAAAUCCUUCGUGAUCGCAGCCGAGGGAGAUGCCUUAGCGUGGUACUCGAUGCUCAGACCCGGGUCGAUCUAUUCAUGGGAGAACCUUCGAGACAAGAUUUUGGCGAACUUCCAGGGAUUCGCGGUCGAAUCACUAACCUCCACAGACCUGUUCCAGUGUCGCCAGAGUCAGGGAGAGGCACUGCGGGAAUACUUCCAGAGGUUCGUGCAGACUAAGGCGAGAGCACCCGGUGUGCCAGAGGAGGUUGCCAUCGAAGCGGCCAUCAAGGGUCUUCGCAUAGGACCCUUCGCGGCUCAUUUGGCCAGAGAAAAGCCAACAUCCAUGCACGAGCUGUACCACGAGUUUGAGAAGUAUUGCAGGUCAGACAACGACUACCGCAAAAGGUUGGAAGACCAAAACUCUCAGAAGAGGCAGAGCAAUGAUAGAAAUUCACAGAAGAAGAACCUCGGACAGGAUGAACGCCGGCCACAGCGAGAGACUGGUGGACAGAUGAUGAAUAUCGAGCAACCGAAAAAUGACAGGCCGGAAAAUAACCGUCCACCAGUGGAGGCGCGGAGCUCGGAACGCAUACCCAAUCAAGCCGGAAGAGGGGGUCGAAAUGCGGGAUGGCGAAAAAAUCAAAGUCAGCGACCACGGAAACAGUAUUGUUUCUUCCAUGGAGAAGAGAAGGGUCACUCCACCAGAGAUUGCCCAGAUGCAAAAGAAACUCAGGAGAGGAUCAAGAGCAGGUCGGCUCCGCAACCUCCGAUACCAGUUGCUCAGCCUCGGGAAGUAAACCACACAUUCCCUCAAACCUUCUACCAUUCAUAUGUCGGAGGUUCAAGCCAGCAGCACCCAGCUCCACUUCAGCCCAGCGCGCUAGCCUCCGCUUACUAUCCCAGCUUCCUACCAGCUUGGCGCCCAGCCCAGCAAACCGCGGACCACAACCUUCCACCAAACUAUGUUCCUCCACGGCCUCCACAUAUUACGUACAUCGAAACCCCGCAACCCCACCAGCAGUCACUGCCUCCUCCCCCAAACCAGCUACAGCUACUCCAAGCCCCACCACAACCAAAAACCGAACCCCACCCUGAUAAUCAGAUCGGUCCCCAUACACCCCUCCCCACAAUUGGAAUGAUCUUACCAAUAGCCGGGGGGUCCUCAAUGGAGUUCCAGACAAAAAAACAGAAGAAGGAUCACCUCAGGCUCGUCAACAACGUUGCAGUUCAAGGGCCAGUGAGAUGCACUGAUUGGUCCAGAACCCCAAUAACCUUCACCGAGGAAGACCUAAGAUUGGAAAGCUACCCUCACACAGACGCCUUGGUCAUAACAACAAAUGUUGCGGGUUGGGGGGUAAGCAGGAUCUUAGUGGAUUCAGGGAGUUCCGCAGACAUAAUAUUUGCUGGAACCUUUGACCAAAUGAAGCUCAGCAGAAGCCAACUCCAACCUUCGGAGUCACCUUUGAUCGGGUUCGGAGGAAAACAGAUACAUGCUCUGGGAAAGGUUGCAUUGCCCGUAUCCUUCGGCACAACAGAGAACGCAAGAACAGAGUACGUCACCUUCGAUGUGGUAGACUUGCACUACCCAUAUAAUGCCAUAUUCGGGCGAGGAUUCUUGAACAAGUUCAAUGCGGCCGCUCACAUGGGAUACCUCUGCAUGAAAAUCCCAGCUCUGCACGGAGUGAUAACGGUUCACGGAAGUCAAAAGGAGGCAAGGAACAUAGAGAAAGCAAUCUACAAGUCCUUCCGGAACGUAAACUCCGUAGACUCUACGCAGCAUGAAGCUUCCCAGCCGCCAGACAUGCCAAGGGGGAAAACAGACCUGGCUGAUCAGGAGGAAACGAAGUGUAUCCCUCUGCAGGAAGCUGUUCCAGAUAAGAAGAUCACCAUCUCCGCCACCCUUGGCAGAGAGGAGGAACUCGAAUUGCUAGACGUAUUGCAAAAGAACCAAGAUAUCUUCGCUUGGAGUGCCGCUGACCUACAAGGAGUCAGCAGAGACAUAAUAGAGCAUUCGCUGGACAUCGAUCCGAGAAUGAGGCCGAAGAAGCAGAGGCAGAGGAAAAUGUCUGAAGAAAGAACCUUAGCCGCGAAGGCAGAAGUACAAAGACUCCUGGACGCAAAGGUCAUCAGAGAAGUCAUAUACCCGGAAUGGUUGGCAAAUGUGGUCUUGGUCCCCAAGAAAAAUGGCAAAAUGAGAAUGUGCAUAGAUUUUACAGAUCUCAACAAGGCUUGUGUCAAAGACUCCUUCCCCUUGCCAAGGAUAGAUACCUCUGUGGACAAAGCAGCCGGUUGUCAGAGAUUCUCACUGCUGGACUGUUUCUCUGGUUACCACCAAAUUUGGCUCAAAAAAGAAGACGAAGGAAAGGCAAGCUUCACGACCCCAUUCGGCACGUAUUGCUACACCAGAAUGCCAGAAGGUCUCAAAAACGCUGGAGCAACCUUCUCCAGAAUGAUGGGGAAGGUUCUAGGAAGUCAGCUACAGAGGAACAUCAUAGCCUACGUCGACGAUGUUGUCGUCAUGAGCAAGCGCAAGGAAGAUCAUAUCAAAGACCUGCAGGAAACCUUCGUCAACCUUAGAUCUGCCGGGCUGAAACUCAACCCGGAGAAGUGUGUAUUUGGGGUCAGCAAGGGAAAAAUGCUGGGGUAUAUCAUCAGCUCCGAAGGAAUUAGAGCUAACCCAGACAAGACAAAAGCAAUCAUGUCAAUGGCAGAACCUUCAAACAAGAAAGAAGUGCAAAGGCUGACUGGCCGAAUAGCAGCACUCAACAGAUUCAUCUCGAGAUCGGCAGAACGAAGCCUCCCAUUCUUCAAAGUGUUGAGAGGAGAAGGUAAAACAGAAUGGGGUCCGGAACAAUCAGAGGCCUUCAGGCAUCUCAAAAAUUACAUUGCGACCAACCUGGUGGUGACAGUGCCUGAGCCGGACACCCCACUACUACUGUAUGUGGCUGCCUCCAAUCACGCUGUCAGUGGUGUCCUGGUGCACGAGACAGGCGACAGUAAGGGAACGGUGCAAAGACCCGUCUACUACGUAUCUGAAGCUCUAUCAGGGGCAAAACUGAACUACACGGAGAUAGAAAAAAUCGCAUACGCGGUCCUGUGUGCAUCAAGGAAGCUCAAGCAUUACUUCCAAAGCCAUGAGAUUAAAGUGCCCACUUCACAGCCACUGGGUGAUAUCCUUAGGAACAAAGAGGCUUCCGGACGUAUAGGAAAAUGGGCGGCCGAACUAUCACAGUUUGAUAUCACCUAUGUCCCCAGAACCUCCAUCAAAUCUCAAGCCCUGGCUGACUUCAUGGCAGAUUGGACACCUUCGAACAAAAACGAGGAGAAGGUAGUCGAUCAGCCGUGGACGCUGUAUACAGAUGGCGCCUGGGGCCAAGCGGGAGCAGGAGCAGCAGCCGUUCUAAUCGCACCAUCUGGACUCAAACUAAAGUUUGCUAUACGACUUGAAUUCAAAGCAACAAACAACAUAGCUGAGUAUGAAGGUCUCAUCCUCGGGCUGAACAAGGCUAAGGCUUCGGGAGCAAAAACCCUACUCAUCAAAACAGACUCCCAGGUGGUGGCAGGACAAGUGGAGAAGGAAUACCUAGCACACAACCCGGAGCUGGCAAGGUAUCUGGCCGUCGUAAGAGGCCUGGAGAGAAGGUUCAAGGGAUUCACUCUGCAGUACAUUCCAAGAGCCGAAAACUACGAAGCAGACGAGCUAGCGAAGGCAGCAGCCAACAACACCCCCUUGCCAGAAGGAACCUUCCACCAGAUUGUUACAACACCCGCAACCGAAUCGUUGCCAAAAGCCUUUCGCUCAGUCCUGCUAACAGAAAGCGAAGAUUGGAGGCAGGCAAUAACUGAUUGCCUCAAAGGCGAGACAGCUGUAGAUGACGAAGCAACAUCCAAGAGGAUGGAGGCAAGAGCAAGGAAUUACACCUCCAUUGACGGGAUCCUGUACAAGAAAGGCGUAGUCCAACCUUUGCUGAGAUGCAUAUCACAAAGCGAGGGCAGAGAACUCCUACAAGAGAUACACUCAGGGAUGUGCGGGUCUCACAUUGGACCCCGCGCGUUGUCUGCUAAAGCACUAAGACAAGGCUUCUACUGGCCAACUCACAUUAAAGAUGCUGAAGAAAUAGUGAAGACAUGCAAAGCCUGCCAAACCUUCUCACCAAUUCAGUCAGGACCUUCAGCACCAACUCAACUCAUACCAGCAUCAUGGCCGUUGCAGAGAUGGGGAAUGGACCUGGUAGGGCCAAUGCCAACUGCCCAGGGGGGAAACAAAUUCGCAGUCGUGGCCAUCGAAUACUUCACAAGAUGGAUCGAAGCUAAGCCACUGGCAACCAUAACCUCUGAAACAAUCAGGAAAUUUUUCUGGCAGAACAUAGUCUGCAGAUUCGGAGUCCCACGCUUGCUCACAGUUGACAACGGGAAGCAGUUUGAUUCAGACAGUUUCAAGGAAUUCUGCCAUCACAUAGGAACCAAAAUUGCUUUCGCAUCUGUUUACCACCCAGAGUCAAACGGGGCCGUAGAGAGAGCAAACAGAACAAUAUUCUCCGCAAUCUCCAAGACCUUACUCAACCUACGCAAGGGGAAAUGGGUUGAAGAACUACCAAGAGUUAUAUGGUCACAUAACACAACAGUUUCAAGAACAACUGGGUUCACUCCAUUCAAACUCUUGUACGGGGAAGAGGCAAUGUUGCCCGAAGAAAUCAAACACCAAAGCCUGCGUUCCAUGAAGCAGCAGUUGGCUGAAGACGAAGAGUACUGCAAGGAAACCUUAGAAUCAAUAAGACUUGAGGCAGUGGAGAACAUUACCAGGUAUCAACAAGAAACAAAGAAUUGGAGAGACCGCAAGGUAGUACGAAAAGACAUACAAAAUGGGGACCUGGUGCUCAAGAAAAAAGGAGAUCACCCAAACGCUGGUAAAUUGCAACCCAAGUGGGAAGGACCUUAUACAGCAAUACAAGCGGGAAGGUCGGGAUCCUUCUACCUGAAAGACCUCGAAGGUAGAACCUCCACCCACACGUGGAACGUCGACAAUCUACGUAGAUUUUAUAUUUGAGUGUAAGGAUGACCCCUGCAAAAUAAGCGGCGGCACCCACAUCCCUAAAUACGCUUGUUUUCUUUUUCUCUACUUUUUCGCAUUCCAAGGUCUGCACUCUUUUCCUCACAGGGGUACUCCUACCAGGAGGUGAGGUUUUUAACGAGGCAGAACCUAUGUAAAAACCUCUGAAUUAUAAAGAGGAAUCCACCCCAGAACCAAAUCCCAAAAGUCGAAAAACAGCCAGCAACGAGGCUGUAGCAUUCGACAAAACAUCACGUGAUCACAAGGACCCUCCGUAGCUUUCAUCCAAAAGCUAAGAAAGCUCGGAACGUCCUCAAAGGUGAAAAAAAACACCAAAUCCUUAGCAAAAGACCUAGCCAAGAGCCGGGCAGCAAGGAUAACAUGGCCAAAAAGUGAAAAAGUCCUGUCCUCCUCAGGCAUCACAACAUGGCCAGAAGGAACAAAACCUUCAAACCUGACAAUGACCUGAGGAGAAUCAGGCAUCAGGAACUAUAUUAUUUUUGCCAAAAGGCAGCGUAGGUUUAACAUUCAAAGGACAGACCUCAACAAAAUCCACAUAACCUUCACCAAAAUAAGGUUGAAGGUAUCCUGCUACUCCAAGCAGACCCCCAACAAACAAAGUGUGAAAUCAAAACGAAACUACAAUAACCCUCGGUCAGAUACAGCCAAACCAACUACCACAACAACCAUCAAUAACCCGAUAAUAAAUUUUAACCUAACAGAGUACAUAAAAUAAAUGCAUGAAAGCCUAUAAAACCAGGCUCACCCUACCCCCACCCUCAAUCAGGAUCAGCAUACAAAGACCCGAGCACCAAGUGCAAACCUAGCAGCCAAAAAGCAAAAAUCCUAAGCCACCAUGGAAGCAGGAGUUAGCCUCACAACACCAACAAAAGUUUGUAUCGCACGAAGCUUCGUAAUACUAGAACUACGGCGUUGUGAUGAACAUCGACCACAAAGUCGUGUACAGCCACAACAGAAACAAUGGAAGUCAGACUCAGAGGUCUCUGAAGGGUAUCGCACGAAGUCUCGUAACAUCCCUUCAGAACCUCCGACUUAGACAGCCGAAGGUUCUCCUCGACAACACUCCACGGGAGUCGAGCAAAGGAAAAAAAUAGCACAAUUCAGCGAAGGAUCCUUCGCGCCAAAAAAUUCGAAGGUUCUAAGCCCAAGAAACGGCGAUCCUCCGCGCAAGAAAAAAUCAACAACUCCUUCGCAACAUCAAGCAUCAAGAACAAGCAAGCCACAGCAACACAAAGAUCCUUAGGAUCAACACCACCGUAACGUUGCAACAUAUAAGUGCUGUAGCGCGAAGGUUGUAAUAAAAAUGAGAUCGAAGGUUGUAGCAAACUUAAAAACUUUAUUAUCGAUGAAGAAAUCAUUACAAAAGUUCGUUUACAAAAAAUGAAUAAACUCAUCCUUCGACCCAUAAAAAGUCGAAGGUUGCAGCGAAGGUUGCAGGUAGCUUGUACAAGUUCAACUUACAGAUCCUCCUUCAGCUAAACAACCGAAGGACCUAUGAGUCACGUACAAAUUAUAGCGCGAAGGUUGUCAAAAUUAAAAGGUGCGAAGACCAUGUAGUAAAAAUGUCUGAUCUUUAUUAACCGUAUACAAUGUACAUAACACAAGCUUACAACAAAAAACGAGAAACAUCCUCCGACCGUAAAACUCCGAAGGUUCUAAGACCCUCGCACAAUUCUAACAUACGAAUCUGGAAAAAGCCUAAGAUCAUCACAGUAAUCACGUACAAGGAAAUCAACUAAGUCAUCUAUACUACGCGUAGGAUACUUGUGGCGCCACCAGUCAAUUAAAUAGCCCCUCGCAUACAAAUCUCCGCGCUUGAACGUCACCGGGGUAACGUAACUUCCUUCGACAAAGUUCGAAGGAAGAUCUUCCAACGGAGAGGAAUUGACAACCUGCGCGCAGAAAAUAAUAACUUCAAAUCCAACAAAAACGAAGGAUAAAACUAAAAAUCCAAACGAAGCUUUCGAACCUCCGGAAAACCUUGAAGAAAAGGCUCAGCAACAUCCUCAGAAGCCUCCGCCACCCAACGUACCCUAUCUCUCUCACCAAAGAUGCGAAGGAUAGGAUAUGGGAACUACAUAAACACAUCAAAUCAUGUCAUAAAAAAUAUAUAACCAAAACCUACGAUAAACGAAAAGAAAAUCAAAAUCAUCAACCUAAGCCGGAGGCCAUGAACCUCGGCGCGCUAGCGACCGGAUAAACCCAGAGCCUUCGCCAUCAAUAUCAUAUCCAACAAACUCGAACAUGUCCACCAAUCUCAUAUUAGGGAAGGCAACUUGCCAAUACUCCCACAAUUCACCAGAAACAUAAAUCCCUUUGUAAAAAAACGAAAGGGGAGUAAUGAAACGAUCCUGCGCAGGUCCUCCGCCAGAGACCUGCGCAGGAUCAAAGUGUAAAACAAAGGCUUAUCUGAAAACAACUCAAUAUAUUAUAUUUUAAACAGUCUUUACAAAAUAAAGCACAACCUCCGGCCUUACUUACAAAAAAAGCGUCACACACUUGGACGCAAAAAAGACUAAGAAAAACCUAAAAACUAAAAAGCCUCACACCUGAGGCGGAGGAGGAGCAGGAGCUUCGGGAGUCUCUGAAACCUUAGCACCAGAUCCCUCCGGAGCUUUGGCACCAGUAUCACGAGCCUCCGCUUCGGGCUGGGUCGGAGGGCACGCCUCACUCGGGAGACGCGAAGGUCCGGCCUUGACAACCUUAGCCUUCUUCUUCGCAAUCUCCUACAAAAUACCAAACUUAACUAACAAUGCAAAGAUGCGAAGCAAAGUACAAAAAGAAAAACAAAUAACCAAACAAUACAAACCUCAGCUCGACGAUCCUCCGCCAUUUUCUUCGCCUCACCCCGCCCAAACCUAAUCCAGAACGAACUGAUGAAGUUCCGGACAGAUUUGCGCAGGGAAGAGGUCCCUUCGCCAACGUCCUCCGCCGCGGCAAAAUCCUCCUUGGCAACUCCCUCCGCGUGAGAGCAACCUCCGCGGCGCAACAGCCUCGCGAAGGAGCUAACCGCGGCCAAAGCCCCAAAAUCAACAGCACCUCCGACAAAGUCGGGGAGCAUGCGGAUAUGAGACUUCAGCCACGCGAGGGCAGCCCCAACAUCGCCGCCAGGCGGAGGAGCAGAGGUGCUUCCCCCAAACUUCGCAAGCGAUUCGGCAUAGAGCUCGACAAUAGCUGCAGCCUCCGCUUCCGCCUUCCGCAUGCGAGUCUGCAGCUCAGCCGCAGACGUCCGCUCAGCGUCAAGCUCUUUGCGAAGGCGUUCAGCAAUGUCCUCCGCCUUCUCAGCUCGCUGCAGGGCUACAUCCCUAACUCUCCCCGCCUCAGCAACACUUGUGCGGAGGACCGCCACAGAAGCUUCGGCAUCCUCCUUCUCCUUCCUUAGAGCCUCCGACCCAGCCUUGUAGUCAUCCCUCUCCUUCUUUAGGGAGUCAACCUCCCUCCUGACGGAGGAAAACUCCCUAACCUCCUCCGACAGACGAGCCUUCUCAGCCUCCAGAGUCUCGUUCUCCUUCUUCAGAACACCAAUUGCCUCAUCACGGCAGAUAACCUCCCGAGAGCAACGCUCCUCUAAGGCUGCAGCCAUGUGAUGACCCUGCGCAAAAAUAAAUAGUUACAACAAACCUCCAAGUGAAAAAACCGCGAAGGAAGAUUCGGCAAAGUGCAAACUUACAAGGCUAUGGUGCUCAUAUUGCACGCGAAGGAGCGUGUCAAAGUCCAUGCCGCGAAGCUUCUGACGAAAACGAUCUGUAAACCAAAAACAAUUGAGAAAAAACAUCGUAAGAAACAAAAAACCAUUGGCGGAGGCCAGAACACUAACCUCCGACCAAGGAAUGAACCUCGCGCAAGGCAUCAGUCCAACCUGUGAUCGAAGGUUCAGAAGCACCUGCACAUAACAAAAACGAACCUUAGAAUAAAAUGACAAAAACAAACCGAACCAUUGAAACCAAAAAAGAGGAAACUCACCAGGACCAAGAACAUCAGCAGGCGAAGGCCUGUUGGCCAAUGCGGAGGGCGCAGGCUCACGCGGCGGAGGAACGGCAAGCCCCUCCUGCGCGACGCUGGCGCCCUUAGCCAUUUCCUCCGCGGUAGCCAGCCCAGUAAAAACCUCCGCUGAAAGAUAAACAAAAAAACAUGAGAACAAGUCAAUCAAAACUUGCAUAAAAACAAAAUAAUCAAUAAAAAAUCAUUACCCAUGUAUAACGAGUUAAUACCGUCACCAGCCGGACAAAGGGGAGCCUCCGCCCUCCUGAUCCUCCGAACGGAGGCGGACUCAGCCUCGUCGCUGGACUCCACCUGAACCUCCUUAGGCGGAGACCCUCCGCCAACCGAAGCAACGCGCGGACCCUCUGACUCCGCAGGAUUCGCCUCCCGCACAGGGCUCGCCACGGGGGCCUCCGCGUCAGAGGACUCCUCCCCAAGCAGAGACGCGAAAGGCGCGCGCACAGAGGAAACCGCACGCGAAGCUUCAGCUUCAGGAGCUCCACCAGCAUCAGCUUCAGGAGCCCCACCAGCAGCAGCAGCCUCCGCAGGCGCAGAAGCUACCGAGUUCGACUCGGCACCAGAUGAGCGGGCGGAGGAAGACUCCACAGGAGUCUCUAGCACAACCUCCGCCCUCCGCUUCUUCGCAAGCUGCUUGACUGCGCCACCCCCUCUCCUCUUCUUCGACUCCGCCAAAGCGACAGCCUUCGAGGAGUCCUUCUUCUUCUCCAACCCAAGCAAAACAUCCGGAGGAAUAACAUAAUCCUCGUACUCAAUCCCCAAUUCCUCAAAAACGCGGUUAAACCGGGGCAUCGUCCCAAGCGCAGACCUCCGCUGGAGAAACUCCUUCUCCGAGAUCUUCCCGACGAUCCUCCGCGCAGAUACCUCCACGCGAUCAAGGAAGGACUCCUUGGUCUCAUCCUCCGGAAUACCCGCGCCGAACCGGGGAAACGGCAACCCCUCCGGAGGACCAAACACAGGAACUUGCACCAUCUCAAUGGUGAACUCAUCGGUCCUGCGGCCAAGUGGCCAGUAGUCAGCAGCGACCAUUUCCUCAACCAAAUCCCGGCCUCCGGAGUAUCGGCAUGCCAACGCAAAUGCCUUGUCACAAGCAACUCGUUCCUCCGACAUCUCCUGCGAAGGAUCAACCUUCGAAAAAGGCUUCAGCUCCUUCAUCAGCGACGCGUAAGGAUAAACUUUGUCAACGCUGCCGUCAUCCAAAGUCUUCGACGCAGCGGGGGUCCUCACGUAGAACCAAGCUCUCAUCCAAUCCUUCUCCCACUUCCCCUUUUGGCAGUAGGAGAUUUCGCACCUCGGCCCAGGCAUUGUGCGGCGCGGCAUGAACGCGCAGCUUCCGAACUGCGCAAUACACUCGACACCUUCGGCAUCCUUCACCUUCUUAGGCUGGCGCUGGAGCUCAAAGUACGAGCAGAAGGUGUCGAUGUGGGGCAUGGCUCCGUAGGAUUCGCACGCCCACGCGAAUUUGCUAAGGGUCAGUAUCCCAUUGGGGCUGAAAUGCUGCAGCUCCACGUUGAAGCUCUCCAUCACUUCGCGAAGGAAAUGAUACGGAGGCAUGCGAAGUCCGCAGGUGAAGAAGUCCCUGAAUACCACCGCAUACCCCUCUUCGGGCGCAGGCACCGUCUGACCAGCAGGAGGAGCCUCCGCACGACCUUCCUUGAAAAAUCUAGCCUCAACCAUGUCAGCGAUAUCCUCCGCCCUCACAGUCGACUGCCCGAAUUCAAAAGUAAUCGCCGCCAUCCCCUCAAACUCCUUCGCACUUAUCAGAUCACCAACAGAAGCUUCGACGUCAGACAACGUCUCCUCCAGAUCUUGAGCUUCGGCCGCCUCAAGCAUCCACUCCUCAAACCUCCGCAGCCAACCUCCAGACCUCACGCUAAGAAAAUUGCGCAAAGGACCAGAAAAAUCUGACCUCGAAGGACGCGGUGAAGGAAGAUGAGCCACCGUAAAACCUCCGACAACACUUGAACUAAACGCACGCAAGCAACUCAGAGAGAAAAACGUAGCGAAGGAAAGUGUGCAGGCAAUGAGCAGCAGGGGUGAGAGCUCAGGGCUCCCCAGCACCUCCUUUUAUAGGGGGGGGCCUGCGACCGCGCGGCCGUUGCGAUUCCCCGCGCCCAACGGCUAUAAGCGGAGGAAUCGGGCAGACCGUUGCGCUUCAUCAAUGCCAACGGCUAACUCCAACGGCAAUAAUAUCCUCCGCAAUCCUCCGCAAUCCUCCGCAAUCUAACGAGCGUAGGAUACUUAACAGCAAUGAUCGAAGGAUCCCGGCAAAAUAAAGAAACAAGAAAAAUUACGACUAAGUGAAAGAAACAGUUAUCCAACAUUUGCUAACAAGCACAUCCUGCGCACCAGGGGGGAAGGCAGCAACCAUGCUCGUGACCUCCGCAGCGUAGCAUGUUUUUGAGCGCAUGGACCGCAGGAGUGCCAUUAGCCCAAAAAGGGGGGAACUGUUGGGGAAAAGCUGCAUCCUUCCCCCUGGUAGCGCCGGAGGUUAUCCUUCACCUGAGGAACCUCCGACGUCUGGGACGUCGGAGGAUAACCUUCGACGGGGAAUACUAAUGUUGACGACUCGUCAGGUCAUGCAAAGUGUGCGCAGGAACUGAAGCACCGGCGGAGGUCCGCGAGCGAGGAAAAGGUUGGAACCUCCGACCCUCCCGAGUCCGAGGAUAACAGGAGAACGCAACCAGGCCGAGCAACCUCCGACCAGCCGGGCUGCGGAACCUCCGACACCGAAGCGUCGGAGGAUCCACAACUGGGCGGAGGCUCCGAGCCUUCGACCUGCUGAAGCCCAGUCGAAGGAUGAACAAAGAGUUUGCGACGUGAAAUUACGCGAGUACAUUGGGGUCAGUAGACUGCGAUGAAAGAAUAUGCUGGAAUAUUCCCCCACCGUCGCGGGGCAUUUAUGUAAAUGUCGUUGAGUCGGUCUCCGAGCCCUAUAUAAGGGGCGUGAUGCCGCCAUUAAUAGAGAGAGAGCAUUCACUGUAUUCACCUACUGUUGAGUCCACUGUCCGCUAUUGCUCAAGCCUCUCACGGCACCGAGUGAGAAGGUUCUCGAUCUACUGUACUGCUGGGGCGUGCGAAGAGCAUUUUCCCAACACCCCUAUCAAUUUUCAAUGUGAAAUUAAGCCCAACAACAAUUCCCUUUCAAGAAUAAAUCAAGCACAUGUGCCAUGUCAUGGCAGAUUUAACAUGGGUGAAUAAGUUCCGCCACAAGAAACUCAAUCAACUAAGUCACUAUGCUUAUUCCACACCUUAUUGAGUUAUCAGCUUGUUUAAUGUAGAAAAAGAAGAAGUGGAGAAGCCAGCAUUUAUGGAAACAAGUCUUGAGCAUAGAGCUCUCGAGAGCGCUUACAUGCGAAAAACUGAUUUGCUCAUUUAGAUAUCACACCACCUGCUUAUGUAUCAAUAAUGUUAAUCUCAAAGUGAACUCUUCAGUUCAUCAUAUUUUUAAUUUUAAUACUCCGUUCAUUUACGAAAGAAUACAAUUCAUAAUUUUUGAGAAUUCAGUCGAUUUAAAAUUUAACUAAAAUUAUAUAAAGAUGUAAUAACAUUCACGAUUAAGUAUUAUUAAAUUUAUUAUGAAAUAUAUUUUUAUAGUAAAUCUAGUGGCAAACAAAUGUUAAUACUACAUGCAUGCACUCGUUUCGGUGGGGUUGCAUGCAAUCCUCUCUAGGCAAUCAACGCAACCAGCGUCGCGGGCGUGCGAGAGCAGUAGUCGUAGAAACCGACUCAUUUUAGGGCUAUAUAUGAGUAGUAAGGCUAAUCUUAGGGUACGUUUGGAUUUUUCAAUUAAACUUUAGCCAGCUAAAUUUAGCUGCCAAAGGAUCUAAACGACCUAGAUAAAAGACUAGCUAAUGUUUAGCGAAGUUUAGCUGCUUCAACCCGGCUAAACACAGCCAAAAUUUAGCUAAGCCUAUUAAUUGGAGGAACCAAAUAUCCUAAUUAAGUUUAGCUGGGUGUAUACUUAUUGACCAGCUCGGUCGGGCACGAUGGGCCGACCUAGGCACAAGACUAAUAAACACGGCCCAAGCACGGCACGGCCUGGCUCACAUCAUGCAUGUGCCACCUGGCACGGCUCGGUGGUAGUGUCGUGUCUAAGCCGUAACUCUAGUCUGCAAUGCCAGCGUGAGCACGGUAUGAUUACUAGGCUGGAACGAUGUGACCCAUUUAUUCUCCACCAUUAGAUGAGCACUAAUGAAUCAAAGCCAUUGGAUACUAGUAUAUAAGCAUAUCUCCCUAAUUUCCUCCCUCUCUAGUUUCCCGACCCUCCGCCCUCACCUUCCUUCACCCCGAUCACUGCCACCCCACCACCGACUGCCUUGCUCGGCACCCCGUCUGCUCCCCACUCUCCAGGUCGACAAGAUCUGCAGCGGUGCCCUAGGUGACGACAUCGGCGCGAGGGUUGUGUGGCAUGGCGGCAUCACGGGCGCACAACGACGACACGUGCUGAUGGGCACUUGUUGGCAACGUCACGGGGCGUGUGGCUGCUUGGCGCAAAGAUGGUGCACGGUGGGCUAUGGCUGGCACAAGCACUAUGGGCCGCUGUGCCUAGAAGCAUGGCAUUGCAUGGCUAAAGCCUCGGUAGUGUCGUGCUUGGGCCGCAACCUUGGCACAGCAGACACAGCACGGCUAGGGCACCGUGUCAUAUAGUGUCAUGUCGUGCAGCUCGGUUGGCCAUGUAUAUAUAGCUAGGAAAACAUUUAGUUUUGAAAUUUUAGCUAGCUAACUUUAGUAGCUGGAUUUAAAUAGGGUCGUGGAUUUCAUGCGGUGGUGUUAUAAAAAUUGUCACGUCAAUUUAAUUUUAUAUCAGUAAUUAUGAUAAAACUCUCUCUAUUUUACAAUUGACUUGUCAAGUCAUUAAAAAUUAAAACUGCUGAAUCUUCACUCGAACAAGUCUAAAUAGGUUAACGAGGAAUUAAUAGUCCUUAGUCUCCAUUAAAAAUUGUCGUGCGCUUGUAAAUUCUAGAUGGAGUACUAGUUAAAUUUUUUUAAAAAAAAUAUCACUCUAUCACCACGUGCUGGCGGACGUGAAGCAUCCGGUUUAAUUUUUCGUGGAAUCGGCGUCGAGCCACGACGCAAACGUCAAGAGCUGCGUGCCCAAAUGUGAGACAGGAUCAGAUGGGCAAGGAAAAGCACCCUGUUUGCUGCCCGGAACGCCCGCCAUUGAUGGCCUCCUCGUGCCUUCGUCCGUCGUCUCCUAUUCAUCAGUCGACAAGAUGCUUUAAUUACCGCACGUUUCUGCAUAUGAAGAAGAGAUAGCUAGCUCUUGUUGCGCAAAAGGGAAAUAAAUAAAGCUAGCUAGAGAGAGCUCGUAGAAAGGCGUUGCCCAACAAAGCGUCGCCGUGCAUGGGACGCACUCCACAGUCGGAGUCGGAGCCCGGCGCCGCCGCAAGUACAAGCGGUCUCACCGUCCGGCUCCGGCCGGCGCGCACAAGGUAUUGGACGUAGGCAGUUGCACGCCUGAGCGUAUAAUCGAGUGGUGAGAGUGCACGACGGUGCCAAUCAGGAUAUCGUUUGGCAUGCAGUAGACAGUAUAGUGGUGGUGCCGUUUAGAAUAAUGGCGCCAAAAGGAUGCUCAACUUGGAGUAAAUAGUGUGCCUCUCCUUGAGUAUUAGUGAUGGCUAACACCAGUCUCAAUGGAGAGUUUCAUAGUGUUGUUUGUAAGAUUGCUAUGUCAUAUAAAAUAAAAUGAAAUUUGGAUGAAACACCUGUUCUCAAUGGAGAGUUUCAUUCUAUAGCUUAAUAGAUAUUUAAUUUCAAGAUUUAUAGAGAGUUGGUAAUCGUGACAUACUUAUUUCUUCUCUCUUCUUAAAUACACUACUAUGUCAUCCAAAAUAUCUAUGUGACAGUCUAUCUAAUAUGAAUGAAAUUUAGAUGAAACUCACUUAGACUGGCUAAGCGGCUGCUGUGUAGUAAACUAGUAAUCCUACCCACGGUAGCCAUGUCGAUCGAUAGAGGGAUCGUCCAAAUCCGAGUACCAAAGCACCCAACAUUAGAGGCCUUUAUUUACCGGCCCUAUACAUGAUAGGAUACUAGGAUAAGCAUGUUGAUGGCGAUAGUACUACAUCUUUUUUAACUGAUGACUGGUAGUGAUUGCAGUCCAGUCAGGAAGUGCUAGGUUCAAACAAUGGGAUGCCGAACAGGGGAUAAUCUGACUCAAGCUCCCUAAUCCACCUGCUUGCAGUGGUAUCGGCAAUGGGAUAAUCAUAUAUCUAUGAAGUAUCACCUAGACACCUACUGUAUUUGUUUAUGUAGACUAAGACUCAUCUGUACUAAAAAGGGAUCCGAGUGGCAUAUCAUAUGGGGCCACUUGAGUCGCUGACGAUGGGCCAUAUAUGGUGGCAAAUUAUAUGCCACACACCCCUCAUAAUAAUGCAUCUUGGACGAUGAUGUGGGUUUCUUAUGCAGAUCACUGAAGUUGCGGAUGGGCAAAAUUAGAUUUUGGCUGCUCAAAUCUUAAGACUUUAUCUCUCCAUUUCAAAACACAAGUUAUUUCAGUUUCAUCCCAAAUCAAAAUUUUCCUAACUCAGAAAAAAAAUAUAAUCUUGUUGAGUAGUGCUUUGAAAAUAUAAUCUUGCUAAGCGAAAAUAGUAAAGUACUCAUUCAGUUUUAAACUAUAAGACUUUCUGGCUUAUAUAGUUUUUGCUACACACACCUAGAUACAAAUUAUGUCUAGAUGUGUAGUAAAAGCUAUGUAUCUAGAAAAAAAACUGAAUGUCUUACAAUUUAGAAUGCAUGGAACAGUAAAACUUUUUUUUUGUGAUGAUUAAGAUGGAGACAAUUAAACACUUGUUUUUUAACUGCCUUUUUGCUUGUUCCCAUAUAUGGCAUGUAUUUCAGGAAGCUUUGGAUCUAUAUUUGGGAAUUAGUUAGGAAACUUUAGUAAAGAAUUAAAACUGGUAAUACUGUUAGGGGGAGGGCCGGCCGCUAUGUGUUUGGCCUGUUGGGCACUUUGGUUUACCGGGAAUUCUUUUAGUAUUUCAAGGGAGGUUUCUUUUUCAGGUUUUAUUCUCGAUUAUCUGAUGCUCCGUACUUGGUUUAUUCUCCAGAAAUCAUAUACUUGGAGUUGCAACAGUUGGUGAGGGUGGCCAAUAGCGUUUUUCUUCUAGACACAUGGGUCGCAAUCUAGUAACUAAUAUAUUCACUAGAUUGUGUGUGUUUUUUUAUUACACCCACGUCAAAACUACUUUUUAAUUUUUUAAAAGUCUUUACAUACAUCCACUGGACUGAAUUUGCUCUUGGAAUCUUGAUACUUGAUAUAGCUUUCCCAUCUAGCUUUUCAUCACGAUGGCAUAAUCCCACAAAAGAAUUGCAAUCUACCUAGCUAGUGCCAUUCAGUCCAGCUUAUACUUUUUAUGAUUUAUCAAGUCCAUAAUUCACUGUUAAGGCUGCUACGUAGUUACCCUAGUAGUUUAUCUCAAGGUAGCUAGAUAUGUCACAUCUUUUUCUUUUUUUGAAACUAUAUGUCACAUCUUGGCCGUGCAUGCAUGGCGGCCUGCAGCCCUCUGUUUAGGACAGGCGUCGUGAAGAGGCGUGGAGGCUAUAAAAAAUGGUGGGCCCGGGUGGCCCAGUUCGUUCGUUCUUCGUUCUGUUGCCUCGCGUGGCUAUAAAAUGGCAGCUUGCUCGUUUGCAGAAGACACACACAGCAGUUCACAGUAACAGAUAGUCUUCUCAAUUCCCAUCCAUCGAUCUCUCGCCGUCGCCGAGCUCGAUAUCUCAGUCCAUCGAUCGCCAUGCGUCCACCGCGCUCCGCUGUGCCGGCCAUGGCGCUGGCGCUUGCGCUGGUCGUGGCACUACUGGCACUGGCCACCACGGCGGUGGCCCGCCACUCCUACACCACCACCAUCGUUCCGGCGCCGGCGGAGCGGGCGGACGAGGAGGUGCGGCGUAUGUACGAGGCGUGGAAGUCCAAGCACGGCCGGCCGCGCGGCAACUGCGACAUGGCCGGCGACGAGGACCGGCUGCGGCUUGAGGUGUUCCGCGACAACCUGCGGUACAUCGACGCGCACAACGCGGAGGCGGACGCCGGGCUGCACACCUUCCGCCUCGGCCUCACCCCCUUCGCCGACCUCACCCUCGAGGAGUACCGCGGCCGCGCCCUCGGCUUCCGCGCCCGCCACCGCGGCGGCCCGAGCGCGCGCGCGGCAGCCAGCAGGGUCGGGAGCGGCGGCACCCGCUCUCACCACCGUCGUCCCCGUCCCCGCCCCCGCUGCGGCGACCUCCCCGACGCCAUCGACUGGCGCCAGCUUGGCGCCGUCACCGACGUGAAGAACCAAGAACAAUGCGGUCCGUAGCCUACUCCAUCGGCACCAUGCGUGCAUAUUCUUCUCCGGCGAGAAUUCGCAUCUAUUUAUCUGAUGGUCUCUGGGCCGUGGGACGUGUGGAUGUGUUGCAGGUGGGUGCUGGGCGUUCUCGGCGGUGGCGGCCAUCGAGGGGAUCAACGCGAUCGUGACGGGCAACCUCGUGUCGCUGUCGGAGCAGGAGAUCAUCGACUGCGACACCCAGGACAGCGGCUGCAACGGCGGGCAGAUGGAGAACGCCUUCCAGUUCGUCAUCGACAACGGCGGGAUCGACAGCGAAGCCGACUACCCCUUCAUCGCAACUGACGGCACCUGUGAUGCCAACAAGGUCGGCACUGUGUACUGUGUACUGUCGCCAUCAUCAUUCAUCAAAAGUGAAGCUGCAGCUUGCUUCAUUAAUCUCAGUACUAACAAUAAUGGAGAUCGAGAGGUACGUUGUAUGAAUAUAUAAUUGUUGGAUGCAUGCAGGCGAACGAUGAAAAGGUCGCCGCCAUAGAUGGGUUCGUGGAGGUGGCGAGCAACAACGAGACGGCGCUGCAGGAGGCGGUGGCGAUCCAGCCCGUCAGCGUCGCCAUCGACGCCGGCGGACGUGCGUUCCAACACUACAGCUCGGUAAGCACGCACACUGCCCAAACCUCCUAAUUAAACCUGACGAUCGUCGAUCGAUCGUCGUCUGAUCUUGGCUCAUCUGAUGAACCCCCCUACUCCGUUCCGUUCCGUUCCGGGUGGAUAUGAUGC